GAAGGAAGGCCAUGAUGACCAAGUCAGGAGCGGUGGAUGGAAACUAAAAGAAAAUAAAAUUGGGCAGGGAAGGGAUUGACCGAGGAAUUCCGAUCAAUUUCGUAACAUCACGCGCGAUGUCCUCCGUCCACGUUAACGAAUACGGAGAGGGGAGGGCUCGCUUAGGAAAUCCGGCGAACAAUCGCUGGAUCACUAUAGUUAACGUGCACGAAGGUCACAAUGGAAUUGAAGUUUCUUUCGGGUUUUCUCCCAUCCAAGACGUUUUCCUUGUCAUCAUAACCAGCGGAAACGAUACGACUGCGGUAAGCCGCUGAAUUUUUCGUAAUUAUACGACUGGUUUACGUGAUAGAAUUUAGGGAAAUAAAGUCCAAUCUAAAUAGGGAUUUCGUUUUUUUUUUUGUUUUUGUGUAAAUGUUGAUGCUAAUGUGAUAGAAUUUGUAAUCGUCGCAAAACACUCUAUACAAAUCUUCUUAUUUAUAUAUAAUUUAUUUUUUUUUAAUAUAUUUUUUUUAGAUGCUUUACAGAUAUAUUUAUAUUUAUAACUUUCACUUCAAAUAUGAUGCGGUAGUCAAGUUUUUAGUCACAUAAAAACUUUAACUUAUUUUAAAUAAUUGUAGUGGAGUCAUGUUUUUAUUAACCAUGUAAAUACAAAUAUUGUUCGUACACCUUAUCUCGAGCUCCUCUCAUUUUUCUCAUCUAUUCUUUUUUUGUCUGUCUAUUUAUAUUUUUAUUAUAUCUUGUUGAACUAUAACAUCUUUCACCCUUAUUUUAUUGAAUCUCGGAUUUUGAUGAUGAAACCAAUUGAGAGUGUUUAUGAUUUAAUCUGUGUUUUAAGUAACACAGAAAGCUUCAAUCAUGGGGGAAGACAAUUAAAGCAGGAAGAAUCAUGUUGGGCCAGAGAAAAAUAUGUCAGAAGAUUGGACGUCGAGCCGAAUGAUCGGUCGACGUAUUGACAAAAGGCUUCGGGCCAUGAGUUCGGGCAUCUGGCCAAGAAGAGCGAAAAUUACGCGCAGGAUAUCGGAGUUGCAUAGGUCAAUUGACCGAUUGGACAAUAGAUCGCAAAAGAGGACGAAGCGUCGAUGAACCAAUAUCAUAUCGGACAACAUUUGAUUUAAGCUUUAUAAUAAUUAUCUAUAUCGAAAUAUAUUUUAUUUGUGCAGGAUUAACUACGAUAGCGAUCAAGGCAUAAAGCAAAAUAAAAUCCCGGAGUCAAGAAUGAGAUUUCGUUGGGAGUUCGACAGUUAAUCGAAAGUCUGAACAUUCGUCAUAAGUUUUGCCGGAAUUGAUCGAGAAGUCCAGGAGCUUGCCAAAGAAACUCAUUGGAACUCGCCAAGAAGAUUAUCGUGAAGUCCAGGAGCUUGUCGGGAGUCCGUUGGAAUAUUGCCGAGAGAUCGUCGGAAGUUCGCCGGAAGCUCGUUAGAAGAAAUCCAUACUUACUAGACUUAUUAAGCUUAGUGUAUGUCUUAAAAUUCAUAGUUAGCACAUAAUUGGAUUAGAAUUGGCCUAACUCAAUUAGGGGUCAAUUGGGCCCAAGUUUAGAUUGUGUUGGGCCAAGUGAAAGGCACAAAUAAUGACCCAACUAGUGAAAUUGUCAUGACAUAAUCUCCGAGACUAUGUCAGGCAAUGGUACCACCUAGACACAGUCUUCUAGGUGAUGGUACCGCCAGACUAGGUGAUGGUACCGCCCAGUGUUAGUGUCAGUGUCAGAUUGGCAAGUGGUGGUACCGCCAAUACCUCGAAGACCUAGGAUAAGACAUUUUUAGGCUCUAAGUUUGAAUCAACUUAAGGCCUAUAAAUACCCCUCUCAUCCUUAAUUAAAACACACAAAAAUUGAAAGUGAAAAAGAAAGAAAAUGUUGCUGUAAUCUUGUGUGAACUCCUCUCAAACUCUAAGUGUUAGUGAAGUUUAAGAGAGGAGAUUGUGGGGGUUAUAAAGAUUCUCUCUUGAACCUGCCAAAAGGAGAAUCGAGUUAUAAGGAUAGUUGAUCUUCGCCCAUUAAAAGAAGAUCGUUAGUGGAUGACGGUGGCCUCGACGGAAAGAGAAUCGAUGGAGUGGAUAUAGGUCACGACGAUCAAACCACUAUAAUUCGGCUUAUAUUUUUGUUUUGCUAUUUACCUUAACUUUAAACUGUCUUACUUAUUUUACAUCCACUACACUCUUCCAUAUGCUUUCAAGUUAAUAUCUUCUGAAAUGGGUUUAAUCACAACAAGAUUUUCAACGACGUAAUUUUUAUCCACUGCACUAAUUAACCCCUCUCUUAGUAUCGACUCGUUCCUAACAUAUUUGUCAUCUAAGUAAACUUGUGCCUCUCAUCAUACUUCAAAAAACUUACAAAGUCAAACAUUGAUAUUCUCGCUAAGUUCCUAAUCACAUUAAAUCUUUUGGAUUUUAAUGUGAAAAGAAAGUAUAUAGAAACAUAAAAAAUAAUAUAAAAAAUAUAAUAAUUAUAAUAAAAUUAAUUAACAUAAAAUUAAAUUUACAUGGCUCAAAGAACGAAGAUAUAAGAAAUACAGCACUCUCUUAAUUUAAAUCCAAGUCAGAAGCAUCUUUUAUGCUCUCAUCAGUCCCUUACAUUAUUUCACAUAAAAUAUAAAAAAAUAGUUUAGUUUUCUAUAAACCCUCUCAAAAUAUAUAUUUUGUCUCCAUUCUUCUCAUUAUAAAAGUCUUAAUAUAUUUAUGAUAUUUAUAAAACAAUCAAAUAUUCAAAUAUUUUUUAUGCUCAAAUUGUAAGAUUGAACAUGUAAAAUAUAAUUAAGCAUGAUUGAAAUAUAAAUUAUCAUAGAUCGACAAUAGGAUGCGUGUUUUUUAAUGCCAUCAUCGUAUAGUAUACCUUGGAUGUCCGUGAUCGAUGAAGUAUGGAUCAAUUAAGAGGCGAGACACAUGAUCUCAUAUGUUAUCACGUGAUUUAUAAGAUCAUUAGGAGGUCCGAUUAUUAUAUAAAAAAUUAUAUAUUUCUCUCAAUAUUUUUAUAAUAUAAAUUUUUAAGAUAUUUAGGAGUUAUAUAUAAAAAAGAUAAUUAUCUCCAAGAUUUUCCAAGAUAUGAAUUUUCUUUCUGUUAGAAUCAAAUUAGAUCUUUGAUAUAUUUUAUCAUAUAUAAAUUGAGCCAUAAAAUUAGUUUUUGAACUAAUUUAAUUACUAUUUAAAAUUCAAAAGUAAUUAUCGAUCGGUGACGAUGGCGUGGGUUUAAGGGUACAGAACAAGGGAUGGGGUUUGGUGUGCGUGAUGCAUUUCCAGGGUCGCUGCUCAUCAACCUCUCUUGCAAUAAUGCUCUUCCGAUGUCAUUAUAACUCGAGCUCUUGCAUGUUGUUGAUGAACUGAUGCACCGUGAAUGAUGAGUCAGCAUGGCUUGGUUCACGGGUCAAUGUCGGGAGUCUUCGGUCGAGUGAGCUGGUUGCCGAGGUCGAUCGUGCCCUUCGGACGGGGUGCUACCGUCGGAAUGUUGAAAGCGUCUCUUUCGAUCGGGAUGGUCCCACCUUAGGGAGAUUCGCUUUCCCACACAGAAGGCCCCCGUCGAGUGUUUUCCGACUAUGGCCCCUUUGACGAGUAAGUCAGUAGUGGAUUGAUCUCUCUCUCUCUCUCUCUCUCNNNNNNNNNNNNNNNNNNNNUGGCCCCUUUGACGAGUAAGUCAGUAGUGGAUUGAUCUCUCUCUCUCUCUCUCUCUCUCUUUUGCCUCCCCUUGGGCCGAAUGCCGACCAGGGGUUUUUAUACUACUGUACGAUGGUCGGUCGUAUUCAGAUUUGGCAUGGUGAUCGAUCCUCAAGAGGUGAGAUGGUACCUUUGUGCGGUCGUCGUCUCGGAGUGCGCAGAACGACGCCAUGCGACGCCGUCCUAAGCUUUCUAGGUCAGGACGUACUGAGUAAUGCCUUGGUACGGAUUUUGGCUCGGCAUGUGGGGGUGCUCCUCUUGCUGACUUGGCUGUAGCGUGGCAUAGCGUCAGUCGUGACAUAGCCUAGAUCCGAAAUAUACCUUACACCCUAUUACCUGUCUCAGUGGUAUGAUUUCCUUUUUAUAUCUUUGGCGGUGUCAGAUCAAUAUAAAAUUUAAAAUGAUAAAAUUUUUGUUACCAUGAUUCAAACCCCUCUUUCCAGUUUAGCAUAAGCUAUUGGUGAAAAUCGAUCAGUUAUGGUCACCUAGCCGUGGACGGGGAGUCAGCACGACUGGGUCUCUCUACGUCAUGGUCAGGGAGUCAGCACGGCGAGGGUCGAUUCUAGAUGCGCAGGGUCUCCUGGUCUAGCACUCGCGUCUUGGGAGCUGGCGUCGGUCGUCUCGAAUCCGAUGCUGCCCUUUGUCUUAGGGUCCUCGAUGCGCAGGGUCUUUCACAUAUACAUUUGUGCGUCAGGUUGGGUUAAAACCUUGUCUCUCGAGAGUAACUUUUGAUGUCGUUGGGCUCCUACACACAAGCUGAGAUUGGGAGGGAAAUUUCUUGAUCCGACCCCUCAAAUGUUUAAGUUAGCUUUCCAUUGAAUGAGUGAGAAUAGAAUGUGUGAGUAAAAAGCCUCUCCUAUGUUGGCCAGAUGAUGGGCUUUUAUGCCUGCCUGUGAGGGUUGGCUGUUACCAGCCUCUUAAUGGCCACUGCCCUCUUAAGUGGCGAACCCAUACCUUCCACGCUGACACCAGUUGUCCUACGCAGCAUCGUACCUGAACAAAGCUGUCAUUGCCUUUGUGGGGUAGAGGCAUACUCGAGCGGCGUCGUUCCAUUCCUUGCGAGGACGCCAUCGUACCUGAGUGGUGAUGUCAUCACACCUGAGCAACGUCGUUCCAUUCUUUGCGGGAUGGUGUUGUACCCGAGCGAUGCCACCGUCAUACCCGAGCGACGCUAUUCCACUCUUCGCGGGACGACGACAUUGUAUUGACAUGGUGUGCCACACCGACUUCGAAACUUUUCAUUAGCACUGAGGUGGGGAACAAUAGUUUGUAUCAUCCCCAACAAAACUUGGACUUGGCGUUAGGGUAAGGAAUGCCUCGGCGAAGAUGGGAGGCUGAGCGGUAGCGAUCCUAGGAGGCAAUAACCCCCGAUUAGUGAACAACUGCUAAUAGCGGCCCGGGGUCAUUGCGGAGAUAUUCGCCUCUUGCCCCGGGGGAGGCGGGAGUUGUUCUCCGAACCCAAGAGUUGAGUGGGUCGAGAGGUGCUCGUUGCCUAAGUGUUCAGCCAAGUUGCCUAGCUAGGGCUAAUCUUGCGACAUCAGGGCCCUCAUUCUAGUGCCAAAAUAUUGGUGAAUCUUUACACUGUGGCCGAGGUGUCAGCACGGCUCGGUUUAGUCCCGGAUGUACAAGGUUGCCCAUGUGGAUGCUCGAGUUGUGAGGGCGAGCAUCGAGUCGGGUCGGGUUCAAGCCUCGUCUCCCGAGCGCGGUCUUCUCUCUUGGCGAGUGGCCUACUUCUCCGUCAUUGGACUCUUGCACACAGGUCGAGGUCGGGAGGGGGGAUUUCCCGACUCGACCCCUCCAAAGCUUAAGUUAGCUUUUGGUGAAAUGAGAUAGAGUUGGUCGAAUAAGGUCCUCCCCCUCCUAGUUAAGGAGGGUUAACUUUUAUACUUGCGAGGAUGAGUUGGUCGUAUGAGGUCAAUUAACUACGGUUGGCUUCUCGGACAACCGACUUUAGCUUCUGUACGAGCGUCGAUCGACUUGCACGGAUCGACGUCACACGACACUGCCGCGAGCUUUCCGAGACAGUUGUACCGUGAUGAUGUCGUUUGUACGGAAGGGGUGGCAAGCGACUGCUCGCCAUGUGUGUGCUGCGCGCCAUGUACUUGAGAUUCCACGCCUACAUCAAUGUGUCUGUUUGCCUAGGUCCACGUGGGUGAUGCCAAAAUAUGCAUUAUCAGAUCAUAAUCUGAAUAAGAAUAUAAAAUUUAAUAUAAUAAAAUUUUAUUCGGAGAGAUUUUUUUUUAAAAAAAUUCGAAUCUUGCUUUUUUUUAUUUAUAUAAAUAAUAAAUAAAAGUUAAUUAAAAAGUGAACGAGAGGCCAACCGUUCGGAGGGAGGCGAACGACAGCAUCGAGUUCAAGCCAACCAUCGUGUGCAAGGAUAGUUCUGGUCACAGUCCCGCCGGUCGCACACACAUGCAGCUCAAAGCAGGAAUACUACAUAUCCGUCAGAAAUCUGAAGGGUCUUAUUUAUGAGCAAUUCCUCGUUUUCUUAUUAUUUUUUUUCUCGCCCAUUUCGCGGCGCCCAUCCUCGAAGCAAAACCCUAACUGUUACCUGUUGGAUUCGAACACCCAAAAGAUUAAAUACCUCUCUUAGAUUCGCUCCCCACCAACCCAUACCCUAAGUUCGAAUUUUCUCAUUUCAUUAUUCCUCGCGAUCUCGGCUGCUUUGGACGAGCCCAUUCCGUACUCCGUUAAAAAUCGUUCACAUUCCUUAGAUCGCCUUCCCGACUUCGGAAUCUCCGUCUGCUUCUUGUAUGUAUCUCUCUCUAGCUUCUCCAAUCGAACUGGCAUCUGGGUGCUGAUGGAUUCUAGCCGAGGAAGCUCGGAUGAGUUGAAGAGGACAAAUAAGGGCAGAUCGAAGACGAAUUGCAUGGAAAAAGAAAGCCUUUUGAAGCAGAGUGAGUGUUCUUGGAAACCGCCACCCGUGCGUUCGUAUUCUGGUUUUUUCUCGCUUUGAUUUGGGUUUUUCUGUGCUUUUUUUUAUUUUUUGCAGAAUCCCCGGCUGAGUUCUUCGCUGAGAACAAGAACAUAGCUGGAUUCGACAAUGUAAGCUCUUCCAGUAGCUCUGUUCUAUCAAUGAUUUCGUUUGGCCUGUGCGUUUUGCUUAUUUUUUUGGCGGUGUGGUCUCUGUAUUUUCACCUUGAAAAUUUUAAAUCAACCUAUAAGUUAGGAAGUGUAUUUCUGAUCAAGUUGAGUUUUUUUUUUCUUUCUAUUUCUCCUCCAGCCUGGAAAAUCAUUAUACACAACCGUGAGAGAACUUGUGGAAAAUGCUCUUGAUUCGGCCGAGUCUAUUUCUCAGCUCCCAGAUAUCGAAUUAAUAAUGUUAGUGACUUGUCCAUGACUAUCUUGAUAGUUAUCUGGUUUGCCGGUAGCCCACUAAAAUAUUGAUAUCCCAUGAUGUCUUUGAUGCAUAGAGAAGAGAUCACUAAGAACAAAUUCAACACAAUGAUUGGGCUUGUUGAUCGACAGCGUGUUGAUGAAGAACUUUAUGAUGAUUUUGAGACUACUAAGGCUCGUGAGGUGUGUAUUUUGGUCAUCUAACCUCUAUUUGUUUAAAAUUAUGUUAUCUAUUCAAUUGCUUUGCUAGAACAUGAAUGCGAUCCAUGGUUACGGGGGUGCUUCUGCAGCUCUCAAUCUUUAGAACCUAUCUCUCUUGAUUUCACAAAUAAUUUUGUUUUUUUAUAUUGUUGUAGAAGCGUCUUGCCAAAGAGGCUCGUAUGCAAGAAAUUCAAGCUAAGAAUGUUGCCCUUGGGAAGAAGCUGAAAGAACCUCCUGCUAUCAAGAGUGGGAAAGGUCGAGGUGAAGCAUCAUUCUUUAAAGUAACCUGUAAGGUGGCUUUCAAAUCUAACACAAUGAAAAAAUUCUGCUGUCAUUUCAAAACACAUCUUAUUUUAUUCAUUCCAUUUGUAUCCUCCAAGACUGGUUUGUGCUCCCAGAGAAAUCACCAAUUUUGUGGUUGUAAUGAAUAUCUGAUGCAGGAUAACGGAAGAGGGAUGCCACAUGAUGAAAUCCCAAAUAUGUUUGGAAGAGGUAUGAUGCCAUUCGUUUGUCUGUAAUGUUUGCGGUUGAUGAAAUUUAUAAAGCUAACUUAAUUGGGUCCCUUUCAGUUCUCUCUGGUACAAAAUAUGGGUUAAAACAAACACGUGGGAAAUUUGGACUUGGUGCAAAAAUGGUAUGUUUUUAUUUGUUGGUUUCCUCCUAUGACAUUAGUAAGAUACGAUCAGUUUAUCUAGUUGUUCAACAAUGUUUAUAAGUGAAUGUAAUUCUGCGUGAAACAUGUAUGCAGGCAUUCCACAUUUAUAGAUGUUCUAAUGCAAGUUCAAUUUACAAACUGUUGGUAACAGUACAGAGUUUCAAUCUUUUAAUUUUCACCAUAAAAUGCAACUUUUUGUCUUCAACAUACUUGAUUCUAUAGAAGAUCAAUAUUACAUUCCUCAUUGAAAUGUAACAUUUGUGAAGUUUUCAAACAAGACCGACUCAUGUUUUUAUUCAACCCUAGAGUCAUUAGGACCUUACAAUCCAAUAAUUAAGAUGGCUAGGGAGGAUACUGAUUAAACUGAUGUUUGUUUUGUAUUAUGCUGUUAAAUAUGGUAUCUCCUCAUGUUCAAUCCAUCUAAUUUUCAAAUAAUUCGUGCUUCCAGUAUUCUCUGUUCUAAUUUUAAUGAGGAAUCACUAAUUAUUAAAAUACAGAUUCUUAAGAUCCCCAUGCUUUUCUCUGUGAUUGUAUACCAUCCUGAUCCUGACAACGAUGAUUAUGACUUCAUUAGUAUUCUAAAACAUUAGUUCUAAUGUCACCCUUCUUGCUCUUGAUACCUUUUCUAAACUGAGCGACUUAUUCAUGGAGUAUAACAGGCAUUGAUUUGGUCUAAGAUGAGCACAGGGCUUCCCAUCGAGAUUCUGUCAGCUACAAGGGGCCAAAAUUAUGCAUCUUUUUGUCGAUUAGACAUCGAUAUACAUCAGUAAGUACAUUACCUGGAAUAAAUAUUUGUUUGAGAACAGGCUUGAUAGACUAUUGCAUUUACUUGUCGUUUUUCAGGCAUUUUUAUAUGUUUGUUGAUGUUAUUUCCUGAUAUUUUGUGUUUUCUGCUGCUCAGAAACAUUCCUCAUGUUCAUCUACAUGAAAAAAGGGAAAACAAAGACAAGUGGCAUGGAGCUGAAAUUCAAAUUAUCAUCGAGGGCAACUGGACUACUUAUCGAGUGAGUGGUGCUUCUGUUACUUUUUUCAUGUUUGGACCAUUAAAACUUUUGUGAUAAAGAAUGAAAAUGCAAAUAGUUUGGUUGUUAAUCUUUAACGACCUUAUUUGAUUAUCCAGUCAAAGAUUCUUCAUUAUAUGCGGCAGAUGGCUGUGAUCACCCCUUAUUCUCAGUUCUUUUUUAAAUUUAUUUCAGGCAUUUCAGAGUAAGUUAUGUUUCAAAAUUCAUGUUUCCAACUUUAUUUCCUCAUAUAUAUGACUGACAUUUUUUCAUUUGUUUGGUUAUUCAGAAAGAAUUUGACAAUUAGAUUUGCACGAAGAACAGAUGUAAUGCCUCCAGCUCCUCUUGAGACAAAGCACCACCCCUCUGCUGUUGAUAUACUACUCAUCAAACGCCUUAUUGCAGAAACUUCAAAGCAAACACUUCAGCAAUUUCUUCAACAUGAAUUUGUAAAUAUAAGCAAGUCAUAUGCUGAACGUUUAGUGGGUAAGUAUUUCAUUCUAAUGGCUAUUGACUUUUACUGCACAUGAAAUUAAUAAUACAUGCUACCAUUGAAUAAAUUGCUGCUGGAAGGCUCAGAACUUUGUGAAGACCCCUUCUUCAGUUUUGGUACUCAUCAAAUCCCUGAUUGGCUAGGUUCUUACCUUUUUAUGGGUUAAUAAUUCUUUAUAUCCUAUUGGAGUUCCCAUUUGGUUAUUGAUUUUAGGACUUAUUAUUAAACUUUUGGUGAAAUAACAAAAGUGCUGAAUUUUAGCUCUUUCAUUUUUUUCUAUGCUUUUGAAGAAUCGACCCUGGGUUUUAUGUGAUGAAAGAAAUUUCUCCUAUAGGCGAUUAAUCACAUCAUGUGGGGACCAAAUAUGUCAAUGAUCUUAUCAUUAGCCAAAAGUUUAGCUUCUUUUCACAGUUGUGAUAACCUGAUUGAGUUACAUGUUGCACAACACUCCUUGGCUGCCAUUUACAUCAAAAGGUUGCUUUGCUGCAUGCUGACCACCUAUUGGCCUCAGUUCAUGAAAAUGGUUAUCUUUUUCCAGUUUUGGUCGAUAUUGGAAUAAAACAUUUUAUCAUUUUUAGGUUAACUUUAUGCUCUUCGGUUUAGGACAUUAAAAUUUUCUAAAAUUCUAGUAAAUUUCAAGAGAAUAGAAAUAUAAUGGAUUCUUUUUUACUGUUUGGCGCCAGAAGUUAUAUUAAUUAUUAUAAAAAAAUAUUGACGAAAGGUAAAUAAGUUCUAACUUUUUUUUGGUGAAAGAAAGUUAAAAUCCUAUUAAUCCAAGAAAAAUAAAACAAUAAAUACAUUGACAUGGUUCAUUUAGCUUAUGCAACAAAAUGCUGAAGAAUUAGACUCUUCUAGCAACCUCAGUCUAGAAAGGUAUUGGGGGGUCUCAUAGGCUGCUAACAGUCUUUGUCCAGGCUGAUGCAAGUUGUCAUAUCCACAUAGAUCUUUGGAAGCAAAGCUUUUGGAUAAAUGGCUUAGAAGGCAUUGAUGAUGGGUUGGAAGAGCAUGGGAGUAUUAGCAUUUCCAAACUUUUUAAAAGCUUGGGAUUGGUUUUGGUUUGCUUUGGCUGAAGUGGCUGAAAUUAAACCAAAAGUGGUUCAACUUAGGUGGAUUUGACCAAAAACUGAACUGAAUUUGGUUCGUGUGCUCUCCAGAGCUGAUUGGCAUGCCUACUGCCUUGAAGAGUAAGAUAAAGGCCUAUUCAACUAAUAUCUCUUUUUCUGUAAUGCAAGUUGUUCUGCUCCCUGCCAUAAACCCAACGUGCAUUUGUUCAUGCUAAGUUUAACUAUGGACAUAGUUAGAGCACCAAUAAUUUGUCCCAUUAUGUACCGGUGUGGAAUAGUCAUUUUAGCCAAAACUUAACAAAUGUUGGCAUAUGAUGUGCCACAUGAAAUGUAACCUUUUGUGCUACCUAUUGCACAUAUGGUGCCAAUUUGCACAUGUAUUUGCUAAGUUCUAUACAGGGAUACUAGAGCAUAGGUGGCACUGAUAUCCUUUGUUUAUCUUACUGAUGUAGGCUGAGUCUGUAUUAUCAUACAGUUAAGGGUGCCUCUAAAAUUAUGGCACCUGUAAGGUACGGACAGCACCUGUUGUAUAUGACUGCACUUUUAAUAGCAUUUCUUGCCAUCUGGAUAUCUCAUGAAAAGUUAGAACUCUUAAAUCUCACACAAGUUGUUAUUCCAGUAAAAGGUAGUGACUAGAACAUUACUUCCUAUUCUAUUGUCUGCUCUCCAGGGGAAAUGGGCCCUGAUUUUGGUCCAAAAAUGGCUGUGAAAAAUCUAACAUCUCAUCAAAUUGUUCGGAUUCAUCAACUAUUUCGUCAGGCUAAAUUUGAUGAUCCUAGUGGUGAUGUAAGUUGUGCGUUGUUUCUCAUUAGACUCUGAAAUUGAGUAUGUAUUUCUCAUGCUAUUUUGAUUAGAACACUUUCUGGACUUACUACGUCGACAGUGUCUUAGUCCAGCAGGGGAAUACAAUCUCCGUCUUGGAAUCAUUAAGGAGCUGCAGCCAGACAUGGUUGCCACAUGUUCAAGCAGGUUGUUAUCUUCAUUUGGAUGAAAACUGCUACACAUUUCUACUUCCUGUUAUGCAUACAGGACCUGUUACCCAAAAGUUGAAUUAAAUUGUUGCAUCAUGGUCAUCAAUUGAAUCAGCUGAUUCUUGUGGGAAUUAGUUUUUCUUUUCUUUACUUUAUUAAAUUGUGGAUUUUCUGAUAAUACCUCUCUAAAACCUGGUUGCAAAUUCAGUCCCCAGGUUUUUGAAGGGCAUCCAUUCAUUGUUGAAGCUGGAAUUAGCCUUGGCGGAAAAGAUGUAAAACAAGUAAGAAAUUUUACAUUCUUAAUGGUUUAUUUAUAAGAAAUAUUUGCAGCCAUGGGUUGUCCUCCCAUAUGAGUAAUAUUAAUUACUCUUCAUGCAUCUUGUAGGAUGAAUGCAAUAUUCCUUUUACACCAAAGAAGUAUAAUGCUUUGUAAAGACUACUCCAUUCCUGUCUCUUUGAUAUCUCUUAAACAGCCCCCAACCUAACUCCCGCCCUCUUUCCCUUUUUGAAAUGCAACCAUAUCUUGGUUAUAUUUUAUUCUCAGAAAGAACAAUAUACCAAUUUCCUGGUUCAAAGGCUCUCUAUUAUAUAUGUUCUACAUGUGUGUGUGUGUGUGUAUAUAUAUAUAUAUAUAUAUAUAUAUAUAUAUAUAUAUAUUGUUAUUCAUGACCGUGUUGUUCUUAUUCAUAGGUGUACUUUUAGCACAUAUGAGAGAUGGGAUUUAAUUGCAAGAUUUGCUAAGAUUCCGUGGCUGGCUUUUCAUGCUAUAUUGUUUGAAAGUUCUUGUGCUGCUUUCCUGAACAAACCACAAUCUUGUGCAAGCACACUUAACGCUUUGUUGGCAUGAUAAACGUUGGGCUUUGUGAAGCUGCAGUUGUUUAAUUUUAGGGAGAAAAAACCCAUUGGAGUUCAUGCUUAUUGUGAGUUAAAUGCUGAUGACGUUACUGAUAUUCAAGAAUGAUUUUUCAUCUCUUGUACCAAUCAUCUUAAGUUAUCUAUUUUUCUUAUCACUACAUUUUUUACCCGCUCUCUUGAAGAUACCCGCUGCCUAGUAAAUCCUUCAUGGUCAUGACAGGUUGUGUUUAAGGAGUUGCAAUAACCAGGAUGUUCCAUUUUUUGUGAUAGGGUCUUAAUAUAUUCCGUUUUGCAAAUCGUAUACCACUUUUAUUUGAGCAAGGAGCAGACGUCGUCACAAGAACUGCUAUGAAAAAGAUCAAGUUUGGAUUCUUUGCCACACAAUUAUUUAGUAAAUUACCAUAUGUUCAUUCUUUUCUUCUGAUAUAAUAAUUAUUUAUCAUCUUGUUCAUUGUAGCUGGAGUAGUUACAAGAUCAAUCAGAUGCAAGAUAAAAUUGGUGUGUUUGUAAGCAUUGUAAGCACAAAAGUACCCUUCAAAGGAACUGGGAAGGAAUAUAUUGGAGAUGAUAUUACUGAAAUUUCUUCAGCAGUCAAGGUAUAAAAAAACUUCACACCUUAGUGGCCUAUAAAGAGAAAAUAAACUAAUAUGAUCCCUGCGUCCAAAUAUGCAGUCUGCUAUCAAACAAUGUUGUCUUCAACUGAGAUCUAAAAUAGUGAAGAAACUUCAAGCUCGUGAACGACAGGAGAGGAAACGCAAUCUGACCAGGUAAUGCAAUUAUGAAAUUGAGAUUCUUGCAUCAAAAGCUUAUUGGUGAUUUAUCAUUAUGAUUGCCAUAGCCAUGAAGCUUGUGAUGCAAAUUUAAGUUUUUAAACUUUUCUAUUUUUGAAUUAAAUAUCCAAGGUGUCUGCUUGUUUCAGUAUGAUAGUUGAUUGCCUCAGCUUAAAUAUUCUACAUAUCUGCAUGUAUUUGUGUGUGUGUGUGUGUGUCUACUGUUUUAAAGAAAUAUCUCUGGAGCUUCAGGUGUAAUGCAGCUGGGUUUAUCAAAAAUUCAGAUGAAGUUUGUUUGAUGAGUUUGCCUGUUUUUUGAGGUUGACAAGUGUUUGACUAGAUUAUUGCAGCAAACCAGAGUUGAACAGUGGCAUCUUGCAUUAAUGCCCAGCCAUUCACACACAUGUAAAAAGAUUUAUAUGGUUGGAUGCCUUUCUGAUGUUUUUUCUAUGGCAGGUACAUUCCAGAUGCUUCAAGAGCCAUCAUGGACGUCCUUGAAGAAAUGGCUCAGAAUUAUGAACCGAAGAGGCAGCGCUAUGACAAAGAGGACGAUGAACUUUUAAAUAAAAUAGCAUCUAAGGAGAUAACGGAGACGACCUUCGGAGAAAGCCUUUCUCAAUAUGUUGAGCAGGUAAUGUCUUGAUUGACUUAAUUUUGUCGUCUGUCAUCAUCAUGAUAGGUUCAGCCACUGAUGCUAGGAGUUAUCCUAGCAUCAUCAAUUGGUUAUACUCGUAUGACACUUCAAAGAUCUCUAGAAAACUAUUUAUUAUUUAAACAACUUGUAUCUGGACUAAUUGCUACGGAAAAUUCAUGUUAAUCAGUGCUUCGGCUGUCUUCUUGAAAUGUUCUUCCGAUAUACAUUUUUCAUUAUGCAUCAGCUAAAAGAGUAAUUUCUUCUAUCGGUUCAGGUGGAUUAUGAGAUGGCCUUGGAAUAUGCUACACAAAGUGGAGCGAGCGAGGAACCAAGGGAACCCAUUUAUUUAAGUUCACUCGAAGGCUCCUACAGUUACGUGGACCUUCAUAGCCCUGUUUUCGUUUUUAGACUAAUUACUUAGUAGUUGAUUUAUUUUUGGUUAUUUUUGAAGAAAAGAUUCGUUCAUGUCGAACUUGAAGAAAUAAAUCUUGCUCUCUUCCAUUUCUUCAGAAGAGAGUCAGCUUAUGUUGUUUCAAUUUAGAUUUCAAUCUGCGGCAGCUCUAAUCACAAGUGCAUGUGGACCAGACUCAAUUGUGUUGUUUGUUGGGGAACAAUUUGAAGUUUCGAAAACCACACCGAAGCUGAGUUAUCAUACCGAAAGGCUGAAUCUGCACCAGUAUUUAUGCAGAAGAGAGAAAAACUUGAUAACCGCUGCUGGCUGAUACAGGCUCUCGAAUGAUUGACCGUGUGCUUCCUUGGUGAUCAAUCAAGUUCCAGGAACAAGCGCAUCUCUCUUCCCUAGAGAAGAGCACUCUACAGAAUCAAGGCUCUUUUUUGUUUGCUUGUUUGUUUAUUUAAGGUAAAUCAUCAGAUAUGACAAAAUCUGCAUGGUGCGUUUGUGUUGUUCUUAUUACUACUAUUAUAUGAAUCGUUUGCGCAACCGGGCGCCGGAGAACGAGCCCAAACCCUGUGUGCCUUCCAUUUCAUAGAUCCGUGCAUUUUCAUUGGCUAGUUUUUAGAAAUAACCAAGAUCCUACUAACACAGUUUAUUAGGAGAAAAUCGAUUUUUUUUUUGGCUCGCCUCCUCCUGAUGCGCUGCAGCGCACUUGAAUUCAUAGGUUAGCUGGUCUCAUGCUUGUUACAGGGAUUGGUGAAGUGAACCUUCCCAUCUUAAUCCUGAGGAUGCCGCCAGUAUUCAGUUGAUUCGGCAUUCUAUAUAACCUUUCAUGCUAUGUAGCAGCAAUAACUUUUGCAGCACUCGUGAUGGAGGGCCGGCCAGACCGAUUAUUCACGGACGGCUGUUCCGUAGAAUUGUUGACGGUUCGUUAUCCUCGUACUAAGAGAUGUCCAAAUUUCAAUCGAACUCGCCGAUCGAGUGCCCGAAGAUACAUACAUACAUGCCUACGUCUGGAGGCCCAUCUUUGCUAUAAUUUCGUUGGUUGGGAGAUGUUUACGAGUAUGAUUUGAGCACACCAACCACUGUCUAUUUCGUAAAUGUUUGAAGCGUGCAUCGUGUGGCAAAAGGCCAAUAAUGCCCACCCACCAUCGCCCACGGGAGGAGGACGGUUGGUUUUCUUUCUUCAUCGUUUUCAAAGAAAUAAUCCAUUUUCCUGGCGCUUCCAAUUUCGAGGUCAGGGGGUGGUGGUAAAAUGGCCGAGGCAAAAGUGAAGCGGGUCCCAUGCUCUACUUGCUUCCCCCGAGGAACACAGAGCGAAAAGAAAGCAGCGCACGUCCUACAGCUGGAUGCCACUCUUAACAAUGGUAGGAGCUGCACAAGAGGCCAAAGGAAGGCCGAGUCCUUUCUGUCUACCGGAAUUGGAUAUUACCCAUAAAGACACCAAAAUCCUCGAGCAAUAAAUAAACGAGGAGCAGUAGAUACAACAAGGCGUAAAAGAUCAGAUCAUUUUGUAAGGCGAGAACUGGCCUUCCACCAAUUUAAUUUGGAUUAAUUAGAUGGUGGGAGGUCGUUUCUACGUGGUCGGGUAUCAUCCAGUUCCCAUCACGGAGGGGAAGAGUCGUCGAAGCUGCUGGCAUCCAUAAUUUCCGUCGGAGCGCGCGACAUAUGCAAUCGAGUCCGCAUCAAACGGUGAGGCAGGGCCUGAUCACCUCAAUCUUUUACGGUCUUGUAUAUACAACGAGAAAGAGGUAUGUAUGGCUUGUACACGUACCCAAGCUAAAUAAACGAUGUCGAAUUGAGACUCGAACCCACCCGACGAAUGAAUGCAUUGGGUUCGAUUAAAUCUCUAGAUCGGCUUUAACCUUUUUUUCUUUUUAUAGCCAGUUUUAGCUUUUUGACGGUAUUGCAGGAGGAACGAACAUAAUACCGAUUAAGCAGCCCAUCACCCAUCCAUCGCUAUGAUGAAUUAAAUUAGAGGGGACCGCCGAGUGGGGCAGGAGACGGUGAGACAACGGACGGAUAACGACGCGAGCCAUUCGAUGAGGUCGGGGGAGGGGGGGGGUCCCGCCACAUUUCCCUCCCUUCACUUCACUUCGCUUCCUUUUAUUAUUAUUAUUAUUAUUAUUAUUAUUAUUAGUUUUCUCUUUUUCAUCUCUCAUUCGUCAUUUCACCUGCCGUAUCCUGACGUUCGAUCAGGGCCGUCGAAGCAGGGAAGUGGGAAAUGAUCAACAGCUUUCUUUGCCUCCUCUGGGACCCAACGGGCUGCCGAGAUGCGGAGGUAGCAGUGGUCGAGGAUAAAAUCGUCCAUCCCUAUAUUUCAUGCAGUAAGAUUGGUUUCUAAAUUUAACAUUAAAGAAUUGAUACCAUCAAUAUUUCUAACCAGACGAUAAUUAAUUAAUGCACCAAGGAAAUUAGAUCCGGAGUUGGAGGGAGAAUAUUCUUUAGAGUAUUCUUAAUAUAUAUAUAUAUAUUCCUAGACUCUAGGAAUAUUUGUCUUGUGAAUAAGAUUGUUGCAAGUAUGAUUCCGAAAAAUUAGGAUCGAUAAUCACAUUUUCCACUACUACUACUACUACCACAUCAUUCUCGCAAACUCUAAGGAUAAACAUUUAAAAAUAUUUUUUAGAUUGUGUGUUUAUAAAUCUGAAAAAUGACUUUUAAGUCUUGUUAGAAAAAAAAGAAAAAGAAAAGGGACCACGACAAUGUUUUAUGCGUUUGCGGGGUUAUACUGUCACUUCACUGACGCCACCGUUGGAUUAGUGAGCGAGAUAGUAACUCAGGCAUUUCCAAAUUUUUGGAUGGCAGAGACAAAUAUGUGAAGCCACCGUAACAAUCGUUAAAAAGCAAAGAGAAAAAGGGAAACUCGGUUUAUAUAAAAAGUGAGCGGAGGAGGGUUUGGGUUUGGGGUUUGCCUUAAGACACGCUCCUUCAGCAUAAGCGAGGAGUGUGAGUUCGCUUCCCAUUUCCUGUUCCGGACUCUUCCUUUCCUUUCCCUUUCCUUUCCUUUCUUACCGAUGAUAAAGCUGAGUAGGGCUUGAAACCAAAGGCUCGGAGGAAACGAUUUCGAGUUUUCGCCAGGAUUGCAAUCGUUCUAGGUCUGCAUUCGUCUCGCUUUCUCUGUAUCUUUUUCUUUCCUUGCUUUCUUUUCCUCGAAUCUUCUCGUUGCUCCUUUCUGCUUUUUUUUGGUGUGGGGGGGUCAAUGUUCGAUUUCGAUCUAUGUUUUCUUUUUUCCAUUUUACCAUAUAUAUAAUUUGUAUCCCUAUUUAUUUAUCCGUGCCUUGAGCUUUUUCCACUUUAAGUUUUUUUUUUUUUGUUUCGUUACUCGCUCCUCCUCUUCUUCUUCUUCUUCUCCUCUGCGGCUUUAUAUUUUUCCCGUUUCAUAUCAGAUAUUAAGGUGCCUUUUGUUGUAGGGGGAGUGCUCUGUUCGAGCUCGUUGUAUGUUUUCUAGCUUGGAUAGUGUACUCUUCCCCUUCUUGGUUGGCUAUGUCUUCCUUCCUUUCUUUUUUUCUCCCAAGGCAUCAGAAUAAGCACUUUUUCUUUUUUUGUCUAUCUAGAACAUGGUUGUUAAGAAUUAGGAUUCAUUGUUGUUCAUACUCAUUAAGUUUCAAGGAACAUUUGUCCAUUUUUUGGGCUCAUCUUCUUGACGCUUUCAACAUCUCAUCCUGCGUUGCUAGAGAUUUUUCCCUGCUGCAUGUCUGUGCUUUGAUGCUCAGUCGAACUUCUAUCCAUGGUGCAUAAUGGUGACCUUACUGGUGUUGUUUUGAUUUCUUUCUACUAGUCCGUUUUAGUUUCCAUGUUCGCGGGCGGAUUUCAUGUGAAUGCGUGAGGGUGCUGCCUCUUCCCAAGUAAGUUUCUAAUCUUCCUUCAUCAUCAAGUCGGGGGGUUUUGCCUUCUUUUUACUAGCCCCGAUUUGUGUCAGAUAUCUUUUCUAAUUUCUUUCACGUUUUCUCCGUCUCGACUUCUAAGUUGAACAGGAAAUUUUUCCCCAAGUUGUUUACUCCGCUCGCUACAGUUUUAGAUGAUGCAGAGGCCUUUGCGUCCCGAGGAGUACUCUUUAAAGGAGACUUCUCCUCACCUUGGUGGUGGUGGAGUUUCUGGUGACAAGCUCACCACCACCUAUGAUCUCGUUGAGCAGAUGCAGUACCUCUACGUGCGUGUGGUGAAAGCCAAGGACCUUCCACCAAAAGAUGUAACCGGAAGCUGUGACCCCUAUGUUGAGGUGAAACUUGGGAACUACAAAGGUACAACCCGUCAUUUUGAGAAGAAGACUAAUCCUGAAUGGAACCAGGUCUUUGCCUUUUCCAAGGACCGCAUCCAAGCCUCAGUUCUUGAAGUCAUUGUAAAGGACAAGGAUUUCAUCAAGGAUGAUUUCAUCGGAAGAGUCCUGUUUGAUCUUACUGAGGUACCGAAGCGGGUUCCUCCUGACAGUCCAUUGGCUCCGCAGUGGUACAGAUUGGAGGAUCGGAAAGGCGACAAAGGUAAGGGGGAGCUGAUGUUGGCUGUCUGGAUGGGUACUCAAGCUGAUGAAGCAUUCCCUGAUUCUUGGCAUUCGGAUGCUGCCACUAUCCCCAGCGAUGGACUUGCUAACAUAAGGUCAAAGGUUUACCUUACACCCAAGCUUUGGUAUUUAAGGGUUAAUGUCAUUGAAGCCCAGGAUUUAAUACCUUAUGAAAAGAAUAGGUUCCCUGAGGUCUUUGUUAAAGUUAUGCUUGGGAACCAGGCUCUGAGAACUAGAAUAUCACAAAGCAGGACCCUAAAUCCUAUGUGGAAUGAGGAUUUGAUGUUUGUAGCAGCAGAACCAUUUGAGGAGCACUUGGUCUUGAGUGUCGAAGACCGAGUGGCACCCAACAAAGAUGAGGUAUUAGGGAAAACAGUAAUUCCCUUACAGAAGAUAGACAGAAGGUUGGACUACAAGCCAGUCAAUAGCAGAUGGUAUAACCUUGAGAAACAUGUGAUUGUUGAGGGUGACCAGAAGAAAAAGGAGGUGAAGUUCUCUAGUCGGAUUCAUUUGAGGAUAUGUCUGGAAGGAGGUUACCAUGUUUUAGACGAGUCAACACACUACAGCAGUGAUCUCAGGCCAACAGCGAAACAAUUGUGGAAGCCGAGCAUAGGGGUUUUGGAACUUGGUAUCUUGAGUGCUCAGGGGCUGUUGCCAAUGAAGACCAAGGAUGGCCGGGGAACGACAGAUGCAUACUGCGUCGCUAAAUAUGGACAGAAAUGGGUCCGUACAAGGACUAUCAUAGAUAGUUUUGCUCCAAAGUGGAAUGAGCAGUACACUUGGGAGGUAUAUGACCCAUGUACUGUCAUUACAAUAGGUGUGUUUGACAACUGUCACUUGCAAGGAGGGGAGAAAGCAGCUGGUACAAGGGAUACAAGGAUUGGGAAGGUGCGGAUCCGCCUGUCUACGCUUGAAACUGACAGAGUUUACACCCACUCUUAUCCUCUUAUUGUUUUGCUUCCUUCGGGAGUAAAGAAAAUGGGUGAAGUCCAGCUGGCUGUCCGAUUUACAUGUUCUUCUCUUCUUAAUAUUUUGCAUAUGUAUUCCCAGCCGUUGCUGCCAAAGAUGCAUUACCUCCAUCCAUUGUCUGUCAUGCAGCUUGAUAAUUUGCGACAUCAGGCCACACAGAUAGUAUCAAUGAGAUUGAGCCGUGCAGAGCCACCCUUGAGGAAGGAGGUUGUUGAAUAUAUGUUGGAUGUGGAUUCUCACAUGUGGAGUAUGCGAAAGAGCAAAGCGAAUUUUUUCAGAAUCAUGGGCGUCUUAAGUCCUCUGGUUGCUGUGGGAAAGUGGUUUGAUCAGAUUUGCCAUUGGAAGAAUCCUUUGACUACAAUUUUGAUCCAUGUCCUCUUUGUCAUCUUGAUCUUAUACCCAGAAUUGAUACUCCCAACAAUUUUCCUGUACCUGUUCUUGAUUGGAGUCUGGUACUUUCGUUGGCGACCACGGCAGCCUCCUUACAUGGACACUCGGUUGUCACAUGCAGACACUGCACACCCUGACGAGCUUGAUGAGGAGUUUGAUACUUUUCCCACAUCCCGUCCGCCUGACAUUGUGAGGAUGAGAUAUGAUCGUUUAAGGAGCGUUGCAGGUAGAAUACAAACUGUUGUUGGUGACCUGGCGACACAAGGGGAAAGGUUACAAUCUCUGUUGAGCUGGCGGGACCCUAGAGCAACUGCUUUGUUUGUGACAUUCUGCUUGGUUGCUGCUGUUGUUCUCUAUGUUACACCAUUCCGUGUUGUUGCUUUUUUAACAGGUUUGUACGUGUUGAGGCACCCAAGGUUCCGGCAUAAGCUUCCAUCAGUGCCUCUAAACUUUUUCAGAAGAUUGCCUGCUAGAACAGAUAGCAUGUUAUGAGAGUUGGUUGCCCAUAUGAAGAUGUCUGUUUUCUGAUAGGCUGUUCCAGUUCGGUCUCAAGAUGCUGCAGGUUAAUUCUGAUGAAAUUCAAUCAGCUAUCAUUCAAUGGACAACUGGAGUAUGAUGUGAAUCUUUGUGUGUAUGCUGGUCUUAGUUAUCUACCUUACGUAUUUCAUGUUUUUGUUAUAUUUUUCUUUACAAUGUGCGACUUAUCUUAGAUGUUUUCGCUGUUAAUCCAAUGUUUUUCUUAUAUUUUGCUUUUCGAUGUGUUACCUAUAUUAGAUGUUUUCUCUGUGGAACAUUUAUGUCUCAGCCUUCUUCACUAUCUAUAAAUAUCUUGCUUUAGUAAGAGCAUGAUGUGAGCUGUUUGAGCCUGACCGGACUUGAGUGAGGUAAUUUAUUUUUUAUUGGAUUACAGUUGCUCUGUAGCUGAUCUCAUGGAGUUGCUAUAAGGGAGCUACUGAAGUUUUAAGGUAGAUUUUGCGUAUGCUCAUUAGACAAUGUGAUAGUGGCAAAACCAGUAGAAAGCCUUUUGUUAAACUUGAUAUUGGAAUUGAUAGGUUGUAUUUUCAUGUUUGUAAAAAAGAAAAGGAAAAGGUAUCAGUUUUAUUGCCGUGUGACCUGCAGGUGUUUUCGUAUCAUUUUUCCACCGAGUUUCCGAGUGAAUGGGAUUAUUGGUUGUUCAAGUCAGGUUUUUAUCGAGUCUAAGCUGACCAUGUGAUUCUGGGAAAGGCUGCAGCAUCUCCUGCAGCCUUUUUUGGCUCGUUGUUUGGAAGAAGCCCAAUUUAUAAUGCUCUUUUAUUUCUGUUGCAGCCUCCCAGUGUGGACCUGUGUUUUGAAUCAAGUUUCUUACGACUUUGUAUGAACAUCCUAAGGUGCAUCAGUUGCAUGUGCACAUAAUGUUUCUACGAUCUAUUAUUGCUGUGACUAAGACGACUGGAUGACAAGAUCUUCUAGCUCUUUUGCUACGAUCUAUAAUUGCUGUGACUUGACAACUGGAUGGCGUACCUUGUGAAAAUUGAUUGGACUAAAUGCUAACCUCACCGUCCUAUCGUGGGGCUAACAUUUAGCGUGGGACAUGAUGUCCGGUUGCUUCUAUUGUAGUUUUUUUACUUGGUCUUUACCUUUUUCUGUUGUUGUUGUUGUAAUUCUGAGUAUAUUGGUUUAGAAACCUUAAUACUUGAUUCAAGUCACAGCGAGUAAAACUCGGUAUCAGAUUGUCCGUAGGGUAAGGUUCCAAAUAAUACUGAGUUGUGUAAUCUGUCUUUAAUCUAUGAAAUGUCUCUGUUUUUGUGGGGGGGACAUACGGUUUUGGAAUUUGAUCGGCAUAUCGUCUCUGGAUAGGCUAGGAAUUGCAUGGUUUAAAAAAGAAUAAUUACUUCGAAUCAGGUAGUGAAUAAUUACUUGUGUUGGGAGACACGAUGUUCGUAAUUUCGAUAGCAUGUUGGUCGGUCUCGUAGCAUCGAUAGCAAUGCGUGCAGGGGUAUGUAUAGGUUUGCUUAAAAUCCAAACGCUGCUAAAAAGCAGAAUUCGGAUCACGAAAACCUAAUAUGACUCUCCAUACCAUUUCUUCAUGGAUGCGGAUUAUACUGCUCAGACACACCGCCGAUUCGUGCAUUUGUUUCGGCAGAGAUUGCAGGAGGCACUCGGUCGUCGUCCGCUGUCGCUACCACUGCCGUUCAGAAGAUUGUCGAUGGAGGAUGCUGCAAGCUUGGCCUGCUCCUGAACCAUUUCAGUAUGGCACUUGAGCACAUAUUCAUGGUCGCCGCACUUGCAAAGAAUCCACAGUAGUUGAUGCACAGGCACAGGCACAGGCACAGGCACAGGCCUGGCAUCCAGUCUCAUCGUGCUCUAUCUUCAAUUUUGCCGUGCCACAAUGACAUCAAAUCAAUCAAUCAAUUCGAAGCCAAUGUUGUUCGUCUAAAAUCGAAGCCCUGACACGAAUCAUUCACCUAUGUUGUUUCUGGCUGUAAUCCUCGAAUGACAUGAAUAAAAUUUAUUACGGGGAAAGGUUGACCAGGAGCAACAUUAUUAUAUUGGUAUGGAAUGGAUGAUAUUUUGUUUAUCAUUAAUAAUUUUAGUUUAUUGUAUUAAAAUUUUUAAAAUGGUUGAUAUUAAUAAAGUAACUUAUAUUAUUAGCAUUGAGAUAUUAAAGGAGAUAUAUAAUUUUAGAAAAUAUAUAUAUUAAUCGAGUAGCCAAGAAAUCUAGUAAGUGAUUUUGUUUGGCUUUGGCUAAUGAUAUGCUUGUUGUUACUAGUUGUCAAAAUUUUAAUUAAGGCUAGUGUCAUGUGAAAGUUUAUUAUAUUAUAAAAUCUAUGUGAAACCAUAUAUCCGUUUUGUAGUUAGAAUAUUAUGAGAGCAACCUAAGAAUAUAAUAUCAAAAAAUUAUAAAACAAUGAUACAAUAUAUAUAGGGGAUGAAAGAUUAUAUGCUCGCAUAUAAGAUAUCAGAUUAACUUAAAAUGAUACGAUAUUCACAUGCUGAUUUUAUAAAUUAUCUUAAUAGUUAGAAAUUUACUUCGAAAUUUAUUUUUAUGUUAGCUAAAUGGAUAAUUUCUUGAAAAAAAUAUAAAACAAUCGCUUGUAGAAGAUAAAUUUAUUACAUAUUUUGAGGUCACAAAUCAAGAUGUAUAGUUAUAGAAUUUCAUCUUAAAACUUAGUAUGGUUAACUCAAUUGUUAGAUCGCUAAAAAUAUUUUGUGAUAACAACAUAGUAGCCUUCUUUUUUAAGAAUGAUAAAGUAUUCUCAUAGUUCCAAACAUAUCAAAAUAAAAUAAUUUAUGAUUAGAGAAAAAGUUUGAAAAAAAAAGUCAAUUGAGAAUUUAAUGACCACCUUAAUGAUUACUUAUUCGUUUACUAAAGCCUCCUUAAAAAAUAUUUUCUUAGAAUAGAGAUUGUGAGCAUAAAAAGACGAGUUAAUAUAUCAAUAAAUAUUAUUGUUAUGUUGUAGGGAUUUGUCUAAAUAGUGAGUUCUAUGAUUUGAAUGAUACUAAAAUAUAUAUAUCUUAAUCUUAAUAUAUUAUUAUUUAAUUUUAAAAUAUAAUAUUAAAUUUAUUUCAAAUAAUAAUAUGAUUAUGAUUUUAUGCUCCAAACGGAUACUGUUUUGUGCAUGCCUGCAGUUGCCUUCGACACCACGCAGUCCGAAAGGAACCACCAGUCUCCCAGGGACAUUUCCUCGGAUAAUGGUGUACCUGAUUGGUCGCAUGAAUGUCUCGGCAUCCAAUGGUUAUAUCGAGUUCCAUUGUUCAGAGCGAGCUCCAUCCACCGGUGAGAGUAGAAACAUAGUACGGUACCGAAUUUAUAUCGAGUAUAUCCCGUUACAACUAAGAAUGACACAAUCACGCAAGCUCGUAUGACAAAGCAGCUGCCUAACCCACAUAACUGUAGAAGCAAUUCACUCGACAACAGCUGCCGUGGAACACGCCUGAAGCUACAAGUUUUACUGGAAAUCGAUAGUGCCCAAGGAUUUGAUGUUGUCGCCGCGGGUAGAAUGGGCCUUGGGUACGUCAUUCAACACAGUGCUGCCCUCCUGCCAGACCUGGUUGAACUUGGUGCCUCCACCGACGAGCCCCAAGGUAGCGAAGAUGAUCAUCUCCUUGUUGACAUACUCCGCCGACACGUCGUUCACCGGAAAGCUCAGCGCCGCGGGGGCCAUCGACGGGGCGUAGCUAUCAAGCUGCGUCGGGUAGGCCAUCAUGCUCCCGUUGGAGUGGAGAAAUGCGACGAUGGCCUGCGAGCCGACCAUCUUGGUGGCGUUUGGGUUGAGUCCCCAUGCAACCCAACCGGUGGAGGUCUGAGGGGCCUUGAAUGCAACGGAUACCGUGUUCGCGGAGGCAUCACGGUCGUAGUAGAGGGAGGCACCCAAGUGAGGGAGGUCAGUACAUGAGCUGAAGACUUUGUUGUCAGAGAAGGUGUAACCGGAGCAGGUUUGAGCGCAGGAAGAAGGGAGAAGGGACGUGGAGGACGUUAGUGCGAAGAGAAAACAGAGGAGUUUGAAUGGAGUUGCCAUUUGGGGUUCGAUGAGCAAGGGCGGGGUCUCGGCUGCGUUCUUAAGCAUAGCAUGUGGUUGAAGAUAGGUGAGGUGGUUCUGAAACCACCGAAAUGAGCUUGUGGAGACGAGACUUUUCCUUCAGAGUCGGUAGAUAUGUUCUUCCAGACCAUCCUGCAACAUCUUUCCCGCCUUUGUUGAGCAACCCUCUACCCGUUUGAGUUGCAGCGUCAUCAGACCGAGCAAGACCUUGUGGGCAGCAGGCCAGUACGGAGUAUCAUGUCUCCAAGUGCUCACGUACAUGCAUUGCGGGAGAUAAUAUACUCCGUGCGUGUGUCUGUCUUGUCUGUGUAUAUGAUAUUUGCUUCAGUUCCCGAAGGGAAUGCGGUCAGGAUCACAAGUAGUAUUGACGAGGUCUGGAAUCUUGUGAUCUCUUGCGCUGGAAGAUUAAGCAAGCGAAAGCGAGGCUGGAUCUCAUCAGUAAGAUCGGAUAGGUAGAUAUUGCACGAUUCCUGAUUCUUCUUGAAUCAUUUGUUGCUCCUUGGACAAGAUCAGUAAGAAGAAGAAGAAGAAGAAAGAACAGAGUUUCAUUGGACGAACUACGUGAUCCUUACAGACUUAUCCAACUUGAACCGUUGCAGUUUGUGUCAAGUAGAAGUCAUGAACGAAACGCCAUGGCUGCAAGCCACGCGAAUGGCGGGGCUUGCAUGGAAGCCAUGGUGUUCGAAUAGUGUCGUCCUUCUGGGACCGAAGCAUGAGGUUUUACUCGAUCGUAACAUGACUUGACCUUCUGAUGCUGAUCUUUAGGAAAGCUUAUGAUCAUGGAUGGAAUUCCCUUUCCACGAAACGUCAGUCACCAUCAGUCGCGUCAAACCAAGUGGAAGGGCCAGUGAUAGUUGUAAUGUUUGGAGGAACGGGCAGCGGGCUUUAAUUUUUAUCUGUGAUAGGAAACACAAGUAAUGACAAUAGCGGACUGAAUCAGUCACCAUUAAUUGCAUAAAACUGUAGCGAAACUUAUAAUGCUAAGGCUUCUUUUGGCAUGUUCAUCUUUAGAUUGUUCUCGUAUUUGGACUUGGGGAGUAGGAAGAUCUGAACUCUGUGAAUUUUCUUUCUUUCUUUCUUUCAGAGUGAGACCAAAUUCUUUUUACACGACUACAGAAAAUUUUAUCAGGCUGGUUAUUACCCCGAACCCAAGUCAUGAUAUCUAUGAAAUAAUCUCACUUUGCUAUUUUAAUCUCCGGUCUUCGCACAUUGGGACGAAACCUUCUACCAUCUCCGCAGUAGCAUCGACCGGCCAAGUUUGAAUGUCUGGUUUCGCUCCAGUGUAUCUAUCACUCGUUUGUCUUCAACAUAUUGAGUCGUCUCAGCCUUUGGUCGAGCUCAGCCAUGACUGCUGGUUCCUGUUUCUUCCUUUCCUUUGUGAUUGUGUUGCUAGUCAUAGAACCAAUUUUUUCAAAAGCUACCUGCAAUGAAACAGUGGAUAAAUCACCAUGGUCACUUCUUGAUGUUCAAAAAUUGGUCAGUCACCGCUGUUCUUAUCUUGAGUCUGCCAUUUAAAACAUGGCGGAAACCUCAUACAACUCAAACUAUUCCACUCAUCUGAGCUCCUCAGGCAGACAACCACUGACAGACAAUAAUUAAGGUUCUAAGAAUUGGCAUCCAGGAGGUAACUCGAUACAGUUCUCACGAGCUACCGUACAAAAUAUUCCUCUCACUAUUUUCCAAUGCCAAUUAAGGAAGACAAUGCUAGAUAUUUUCUUUCAAUGUUAUUAAACUCCAACCAAUAGAAUUCAAGAGAGGAACCAAGAAUGCUAUUUGAACUCACAAUAAAUGGCCUAACAAAAUAUAAUUGCAGAUGCUCUAACUAUGAUAAAAGAACUUCCAUUGCUGGCAGCAAAAUAAGGAAAUGUUCAUACCCUCAGCAAUUCAUCAGGGUUGUAUAGAUGAUGGGUGGUCGUUUGCAGAAUAUCAAUUACCUCGCCGAUUUGAAGGGCCUGUAGCAACUCUUCUUCCUUCAUCUGCGGUAACAUGGAGAUUGUUAAAGCAUGACCAUGAUGAAGGACAAAUUAUAGUCCUAUCGAAUGCUGUUCUAUCCAAAACAGAUUGCAUGUAAUUUCUUUCUUCAUGCGUAAUAUACUAUAAAUCGAUGACCUUUCAUUGCUAUAUUUAAAAGAAGUGCUUCGAAAAUUUCUCAAAGCAAAUGAGUUUACCUAUAAAAGAACAACACACAAGAUACAAUUAUAUACCUUAAAGAAUGCCAGGGCAACAUGGAAAAGAACCUUUGCCCCCUCGUUGAACAGAACAUCCCAAACCCGUAGUGUUGUCUGAAAAAAACUUCUAUAAUUAAUAUUUCAAAGAGAUGAUAAGAAAAUUUUAAUUGACAUAGUUAAAUAUGAUGUUAGUUCUCACAUUUAGAUGCUCUCUCUCUCUCUCUCGCAUGAGAUUAUGGACAAACUUGCAUUUAAGUAGAAGUUAUGACUUACAGAUUAUGACUGUUCUCAAAGCAAAUGUGUCUAGUAAACCCAUUGCCUAGUAGUCAAUCAAAGAUACUAGACUACUAAGUUUAACUAAUUAGCGUACAUAAACACCAAAAGUCUUUUUCUUUUUUCAUAACAAGUUGGGCCAAAGGUAGCUUAGACAAUCCACAUAAGUGAUGCUAAAUAUUCUACUCAUCGAUGAAAUUAGUAUAAUAUGUUACUAUGUUGCAUACAAAUUAUAUGGCAAAUAUUUCUUAGUCCUUUUGGGUCUCACAUCUAUUGGCAAAUCAUUAAAAAUUGCUCAAAUUUUAUGUCACCUCUGAACGUAAGUAGUUAUGCUAAAUAUUCUACACAUCAAUGAAAUUAGUAUAAUAUGUUACUAUGUUGCAUACAAAUUAUACAGCAAAUAUUUCUUGGUCUUUUUCGGUCUCACGUCUAUUGGCAAAUCAUUAAAAAUUGCUUAAAUUUUAUGUCACCUCUGAAGGUAAGCUCUUUGAGAAGAGGCAUAGGAACCAUUCUGUGGCUACAAGAGAAACAUCAAACUCCAUAGCUUCCAAAUGGACGGCUAUCCUGAAUGGUAAAAAAAAAUGAACUGGUCAUGGACAUUAAAGUAAUGAGCAUAGAGUUGGAAGCAUAGAAGCAUGGAAGUUACCUGGGGCACUUUUUUGCAAGAAGAUCUCUAAAUACCCUUUGCUCCACAUGGCAUCCGGAAAGGUUAUCAGUGUAGCAGUCAUUCACUAAUACAUUUUCCAAGAGGACAGCAAGCAACCAAAAAGCAUCUUCCUCUGUUUUCAUUACUAGCAGCAGUAAGGCAGCUACAUAAUUUAGACCCUGCAAUAGCAGUUAAAAUUUUCCAAUGUAUUAGAGGAACUGCAACACAUUUAUUUUAGUAUCAAAUGAAAAGGCAAACUCCAUUUACCUGGCAAUAACCAACAUCUGAAUCCCGGAAAGAAUACACAACAAGGACCCGCCGAAGUGAUGCCUGACCUUCGGGGCUGUCUAACCAUGGAUGAGAGGGAAAAGUUCUUGGAAGAUCCUGCAUGUAUUCCAUGGUAUUGAUUAAGUUAGUAAAAUUGUGAAUUAAAAAGCCAUAGGAAUCAAGAUUAUAAACACUGCUUGAGUUGGCAUAUACUGGCACAUUCUUACCAGUUCAACCAACAACUAGUAUCACACAAUAUAGCUUGUUUUUGGGUCAAUAUUUUUUUAAAAUAAUUUUCUUCAGUGAUAAUUGGGCAGUUCAGAUUGGUUUACAGACCAUAUGGUCUGGCAGAGUGUCACGACCGGCAAUAAACCAAAAUGUUAAAACUUCAUAAGAUUUGCGUCCAUGAUAAAUAAUGACAUAUCCAACUCUAGUAGUACUUUCACGAUUUCCAAAGAAACCUUUUUCCGUUGGAACACAUGGAUUAUCACAACUGCUUCUAUGCUUCAAAUGAAAUAAACAACCUGGAUGCGUGGCUCUAGGAAGAAACUCAUAAAAUUCACUGGUUACAAACUCUCUUAAAGUAGAAGAUAUUACUGUGACGAUAACUAACAUGGCUAAAAACCAGCAACCGGAUGAAAAGAUGAUAGUAUGAUGUAGUUUCUUUGGAAGAUUUAUUAGUUAUAAUAUGAUGCUCUUAGAAUUAUGACCAACUGUCACAUCUAGAAACUGUCCUAUCAAAUGCAGGAGUAUGUGCAUUUCUCAUUUCCAACUCAUCACGUAGACACGUUUUGCUUCUAUAAAAUUCCUCAGUUGUUUUUAAUUAUUUUUCAUUCAUUACAUUUGAUGUCUUACAAAAUACCUUUACAUGGAGUUGAACCUAUUAAUUAUGCAGACACUGCAUUAAUCACUAGGAUAUCUCAACACUUCUAACUCAUGAUUAUUACGGAUACAGAUGGACACAAACAAUUGCACAUAUGCACUGACAAAGCCUUUCCCCCCCCCCCCCCCGCGCCCCCAAAAUUGCUACAAUAAUGGAGUGGUGCAAUAUUGUUAGCAUGAACAACAUCCACAUCCACGAUGAACAACCUUGAUAUAUUGCCAAUAAAACCUGAAAUCUUCCAUCACUGCUAUUUGGAUUCCAAGGCAUCACCAUUGUUAAACUUUUCAUGUGUAUUUAAGCUACGUGUUAGUGAGGAAUGCUUAACUCAUUUGUUUUUGUUUUGCAGUUCAUGUGAAAUAUGAACUCUCCGAUAAGCACAUGAUAACAGAGUUGACAUGAGAUCUUACAUCCUUUUGAAGGAGGAAAGAUACGAUUUUGUGAUAUGGAGUACUCCUAGGCAUCAUAUCCAAAAAAACCAUACAACAUUCUAAACCAAUUUUUAAGAUAAUAUAUCAUGCCCAUAGCAAAUCAUACUAACUCAAUUUUAUAUUUUGGUAUACCAUGAGAAUCAAGAACUCACAUGAUCGAUUUGUCGUGUGGCAGCUGUGAUUUUCCCUUCUGUAGCUCUGAUCAGAUCAUCAUAAUAGCUCUCAGGCACCGUGGAUCGCUUCUUUGCCGCACCAGAUACGGAAAGCCACACCUUUGGCCUCAGCACCGGGGGUAUCCCCUUCCUGAUGAGCCUCUUCAACGUGAUUGUGUUGGCAAGUUUCGACAGCUUUAGCGAGGCGACGCUGAUGCCCUCACCAUUCCAUGAGAUUUGCGGCUGCAGGUACCAAUUUGCACCUUUGCUCGCCUCGAGGUCCCACCAAACCUUGCCCUGCUCCCUUACCCUCUCCCUCACCUCAUUCAGAACAUUGACAUCGUCGAUGUUCCCCUCGACGGUGAACCCGUACAUAUCUUCGAAUUUGACAGGGAAGUUGCUUGACUUCUUGGGAAUGGAAGAGGUGAUGGUGGUGGCCCUGGAUCCAGGGGUGGCUGAGGUUAUCCAAUAGGGUCUUCUUGUCGGGACAAACCCAUCGGACACUUCUCUCUGAGCUUGGGCUCCAAACAUCCUGUCUUCGCUGUCUUCUAAAAGUUGGUAGUGGAUUCCUUUGGGAAAAGAACAAUAAAAUCACUUGCAUCAAACAGGAAAUGAAUUUGCAUGAAGCAACAACACAACAGAGACGCAAAUAAUCGCAUUACCUGAAGACAAGAAGGAUCUCAUCAUCUAUGAAUCGAACCUUGGCUCUUUAUGAAAGAGAGUGAAGAAAAGUUGGAACUUUUCACAAUGGAGGUCUUAAGGUGAGAAAUGAUAUAGGAGUUCACAGCUCGCAGUUUGAUGUGAAAAUCUUGACACUAAAGAGAAGAAGAAGAAAAAGAAGGGAUGCGAACUAUCGCAAGCGGGUCAGAUUGAAAGGGCAAACAAGAAAAGCUCGGAUGUCUUCCGACUAUAAACUUGUGCAAACCUCGCCUCCACGAAGAUUGGAAUGGCAUGACAACGAUAAAAGAACAAACUCCACUUUCCUUUUUCUUUAUGUUGGGAGGGAUUGCCUUACACGAGAGAGAGGGAGAGAGACAGAGAAAUCCCAUUGACGAGGCCAUAGGAAGCAAAGAUUUCCAUCUUCUUGCCAGUUGUGAAAUCGAAGGAGCUUCCGUUUGGUGGUGGAUCUGACGACGGAUAGGCGGAAGGGAACAGGAGAAAUUAUGGGGGAGAGGGGAUUCAACAGGGUGGUGAUGGAGACCGGGAUGCCACGACGGCGUCGUAUGAUGACAAGGGUGGCCUACGAGUGCUCCGAACAAUGGCAUGGAUAUCACCAUAAUCUGAACGAUGGAGAUGACCACAUGCCAUGGUGGUGGGGUAGCUGGACAUGUAAUGGAUGUCCAAAUUUGGACUUUUUCCCGGUAAUCGUCAUGUGAAUCGGGGCGUGAAAAUACCGGACUGCCCCUAGUUAAUUACCAAAGACCCAAAUCUUCUAAAUUUAGGCAAUGUCGGGUCAACGAAUAGACGCCACUAGAAUCUAUGUACCAAAUUUAACUUUUAACCCGUCAUCUGUUUUUGGGAGCCAGCAACUCGAUUAAAUUCCGUGUUCGAGCAUCGUCGUAUCAGCAAGCGGUUGGGAGUUUGGAUGAUUGGAGAGGUUGACCGGGUCUCGUAUGCGUUGCAUGUAGGAGAGGCAACCGCGAGACGAGUCGCUGAAUCAGGAGAUAGAGAUACAGAAAGCAAGAGGCCGGAUGUCAACCGUCGUAGCAGUUUGGGCAAACGGGGUGGUCGUGGAGGCAUGUUGUUGUCAACCUCGAACAAACGACAAGUUGCUCGCGUGAUUUAGAGAAGCACAAGGGUAAGUGCAGGAGGUAGGUAGGAGACGAAUGAAUAAUAUGUGAUAAUGUAACGUAAAAGAAGACCCAAAGGCCGAGUCAGACAUGAGACUCAGCCAAGCGACGGACCCUCGUGCUCGCGCCCUUCUUCUUGGACGGUGAAAUAUUGCCCAAAAAAAAUCUCCAGCUGCUUUCACGCAAAUGCAUCCAAAACGACGAGUGAUGAUGGCUUCUCUGUACUUUCCUUGCCUCCGAAGCGAUGCACCGGACAGAACCGAAGGAGUGUUCAUGACUCAUAAGAACACCACAUGUACUGCCGCUUUCACCGCAGCAGCUGUGAAAGCCAAAGGAAUGGCUGGCGCAUGUGAUUGGAUGAGCCCUCGAGACACUGCAAUCUUGUCGAAUGAGAGACACCAGGGCAGUGGAAACCGGAAAGCAAGCGUGAUCGAAUCUAGCAAAUUAAUUCAAUCAAUGGAGAAAGAAGACGAUUUGAGCCCUCGAGACACUGCAACCUUGUCGAAUGAGAGCCUCCAGGACAGUGGAAACCGGAAAGCAACUGUGAUCGAAUCGAGAAAAUUAAUAGUCCUCUUGCCCGCCUCUUUAACCCCAACGCGCAUGAGCACCCAAAGCCGGCUAUCCAAUCCUCUUGUUGCCUUUUUAACCUCGACAUGAUCACCCAAAGCCUGUGCAAGCUUGAAGCUCCGGACAACCUUCCCACGAACAAACAAGCAGCAGGAGCGGUGCUGUCACAUAUGUCGUCCUAUCGGGUCGAACCAGUCUUAUCAGGUCGGGUUUCAACUUGGCGUGCGGCAGACCCGCUCUGGAAGACUGGGGGGUCCAGGUGCAGACGGAUGGCCGUCAUCGGCGCAUAUAUAUAUAUAUAUAGAGAGAGAGAGAAGAGAGAGAGAGAGAGAAGAGAGAGAGAGAGGAGGAGNNNNNNNNNNNNNNNNNNNNAGAGAGAGAGAGAGGGGAUUCGCGUGCCGGAAAGCGAGAGUACUUUGGAAGGCCGGGCGCCGAGGGCUCGAGAAGAGAGAGAGAGAGAGAGAGAAGAGAGAGAGAGAGAGAGGUUGGGGAUAGAUCGGGUGGGGCGGCUGAGGGCGGCCGCGAUGUCGGAUUUGGACCGGCAGAUCGAGCAGCUGAAGCGGUGCGAGCCGCUGAAGGAGUCGGAGGUCAAGGCGCUGUGCCUUAAGGCCAUCGAAAUCCUCGUCGAGGAGAGCAACGUCCAAAGGGUGGACGCCCCCGUCACCGUAAGAUAACAGCUCUUUUUCCUCUGAUGAUUCCUCUUCUUUUGCUUUGGGCAAUCCCAUCUGCUUGAUCUAUUCCCCCCUUUAACCUCGUUCUCGUCGUCUCUUCUCUUUGCUGAACUUUCGCCCUUUCUUGAGGUAGGUCUCCAUUUCCAGAUGCUUACAUUAGAGUGGGGAUAAUCUGUACCUUUGUCGAACGAGGGUGAUUUCUUUGUAAAUAUUGUCCCUUCAGUGAAAAUAUAAUCUUUAGGGUUUCUUCAGCUUCCGUGCUAGUGGAGUUUUGGUAAAAAUAGGUCUUUUUGAUAGAAUGUAAAGCUCUAAUAGAGUGUUGUAUUCAAUUGUAUCCUGUUGUUGCCUUUGCUAUUUUAGAAUCGUGAAAUUUCUUCAUGAAAUAGCGUGUUGGUAAAUGCUGAUUGCAAGCCGUGACCUGUUCUACUGGCCUUUUAAUCAAGCACCUGACAUUCUUCUUGAGCUAUUAGCAGUAAUACAUGUAUGUUCACUUGUAUAGUGGCCUCAAAGCAGCUCCUGUCAGAUUUGCUAGACCUUUGAAUUUAACAUGCAUAUGUUUCGGACUGGAAAAGAUGUCUUCUUCCCGCCAACUAGAAACGGUUUUCAGGAGAUUAAUUAUUUGAAGUCAAAAUCUUCUGAAAUACACAGGCAUUGAAUUGCACAAAAUUAAGGGAAGGAUGAUAUUUUCUUGCAAAUGACGUAGAAAUUGCUCUCUUGAGUUGUGAACUAGCAAUGGUUAGUAUUACUUGCUAAAUUUUAUGUUGAUGUGAAUGCCAGAAGAUAAUGAUAAAGUCAGUAGAACUAAAGAUCGAAAAAAAUAUUUGCCUUACAAUGAUGAUUAAGUUGAACUAACAGUAAAAGAUCGUGUAAAUGCAUAUAUAUGAGACAUGUCAGAUGCAAUAUAUCAUGUACUUAGUUGGAAUUACCUAAACCAUGAAGGAUCCAAGUGAUAGCUCACUUGCUGCUUUCAAAGGAUCAACCAAAUUGGAACCUCAUUCCGUCCAGAAAAGACCUACACAGAAAUAAUAUGGGUCAGUCGAAGAAGCGUAUGAUAGGUAAAAUGUUGUUGCCGCUCUGGAAAGAGACCAAACAAGGAAAGGUACAAGCUUAGAACUUUGUUAGCACAGAAGGGUCCUAAUCUUUUUGAACUUACCUUUAUUGUGCUUUUAAUUAAGGUGUGCUAUAUUUACUUGUGGCCUCUCUAUCUAUUCUGUUCUUCAUACAUACAAAUUUGUGGUGAGAAUCUAUCCAAAUAACUAUAAAUAAUUUAACUAAAUAUAUUACUUUUAUAAAACUUAAUGAUGAUAAAAGAUCAAUGUGGCUGACCUUAAAGCAUUAUGACUUAUUGUUGUUUUCAAUUUGCGCAAAUAUCAUUGCACUUUCUAGCGACAAAGUUGAGGGUCAAAUUUAAUGCAGAAGUUAUUUGGUUGUCAAGAAAUUUAGCAUUUUGGUUUUCCUUUCCAACAUCUAAUAUUUCAUAGUGGGAACACUGUCAUAAGUUUUCUAAGUAUUUGAGAAAAAAUAAAUACCUUUAGUAUGUUCAAGGGAUACUUAUUAGAUAAAUCUUUGGGAAACCUUUUUUUUUUUCUACUUGAAGUUGAUCUAAUAUGGACUGUGUAUAUUUCAUUGUUAGAUAUGUUAAUUUGUGACAUUUGUAUUGAGCAUCAGCUGAAAAAGAAAAAGGCUCAGUGGGAUGUGACUGAGGAAAUGCACUGGAGGUACUGUGUUACUGAUAUUAAUGCUUUGAUGAUGAAUUGGUGAAGUGUACUGAUUGACUAAUUUCAUUUAAGUAUCAUGAUAAGUAACUAAAUGCUCUAAAUUCUAAUGCCAAAUACAUGUCAAUCUUUGCAUAUAUGAUACCACAUACAUAUCUUUUUUCUUCAUAUAUUUGUCAUAUCGUUUAUCGUUAUAUUAGACAUGAUGUUCUAAUGUAUUUGUAUAUUCUCAAUCUUGUAUUUUGUAUGUCUAGGUUGGUUCAUGCAAGCAGCUUUUGCAUAAAUUUUCCUAUUUAGUGCAUGGAAGUUUCUUAAUGCUCUCUGACUUGUUUGUUCUCAGAUAUGUGGUGACAUUCACGGGCAGUUCUAUGACAUGAAAGAAUUAUUUAAAGUUGGCGGCGAAUGUCCAAAGACCAAUUACUUGUUUUUAGGUGAUUUUGUUGAUCGUGGGUUUUAUUCAGUUGAAACCUUCCUGCUGCUGCUUGCGUUGAAGGUAGCUACUCUUUUCAUUGGAUGACAGAUUUCAUAAAUAUAAUUUGCUAACUGGUUAUAUGACCUGUUCAUAUGUCUUGUUUUCUGCAUGGUCCGGAUUCAGUACCUCUCUGUCUUGUGUAUGCACCCUUUAUGAGUUGGUGGUGCCCAGUGUCUGUAAAUCUUCCAAGAACUGGUGUUUUCAGCACUUAAAGUUCAAUGCAUCCAAACAAGGGUCUUAAAGCUGAAGAUGGUGUAAGUAGGUACCAUGGAGGAUUAUAAGAUGAUGAGACACAUUGUACGGUUGGACAUUUUACCCUUUGUUCUUUGGAAAGUAUCUUCUAUUUGGAAGAUUUGCUGAAUGAAUAUGAUCAUGUGAAAGAUGUUUCUUUUGAAUCUGGGUAUACGUUCUUUGGAUAACUUCGGUCAGAUGAGUAAGGAGGAAGUUUGGAUGGAUUCAAAUAUUCUUAACAUAAGAAAUCUUGAUGGUUCUAUGCAAACAAAACACAAAGCGUUUUCCUUGCAAUAACUUCUGUGUUUUUUGGAACUUACAUGAUGCAUUCCCCUAGACGUGGCAUUUAAUUUGAUGAAAUCCGAGUCUGUUUCUGGACAUGUUUCUGCAUCUAUUAUCAUCAAUUUGUUUCUUAUUGUUUAUCUUAUCCAUGUUCCACCCAUCCAUGCGAUCUACAGUUCAGCAAACUAGACUAUCGCUUUUCCAGUAAAUGGAUAUUUUUGAAGUCAAUUAAUGGUAUACUAGUGUGGCACUCCCAUAAUAAAGAUUCUAAAGUUUUUUUAUGUGCAAACUUUCUUGUGAAUCUGUGAACAGCAAUUUUUUUCAUAUUUUAGGACUCCUGUAAAUUUUAACAUACCUUUGAAUCUUAUUCCAUUCUCCUUUUGUAUUCCUCAUCUGAAGAGCUUAAGAAAGUCACAUGAGGGGUAAAUCACUUGGUGAACCCAAUAGCCCAUAAUUUAUUGUGGUUAAUGAAAACCUUUUUGCAGUUUCUUAAGCAUAUUGCCAAUCUAUCCCUCAAACUGGAUACGAGCAUAACGUAUAUAUUUCUUUCCUUCUUGACUAACCAACAACUUUAGCAUACAUACAGGCAGGAUGAUGUACCAAGACAUUGAACCAAAUGAACUAUUACCAUGUAUGGAAGAACCACAGACUCUUGUUGGCUCUAAAGUUUAUUAUGGAUUGCCUCUGAAAAUAUAGUCAUUUGAAUUCUGCAAUGAUAUUUGGAUAUCUUAGUUAAUAUAUGUAAUUAAGUGUGUCCCAACUGCCCUCGAUUCAUAGCUUUGUGUGUCCAUGAUAAUAGUGAUCCUUUCACCUUCAAAUGCCACAUAACCUGAUGAAAUAGAGCCAUUAUCUAGCACUACAAGGACACAUAUCUAACUCUCAUGACUCAUAAUGAUGAAGGGUUCUUAUCAGCCCUUAUUUCAACAUUCUCAGGCUGCCUAAUUCAAGUAAAAUACACUCGAUGAAACAAUAGAAUUUGGUUAGUUGAUAGGCAACUCGAUGGUUGAAGCUCCAAUAAUGCAGGACAAAGGUAGAGUUAACUGUAUCUAGUAGAAUUCGGUCAAUGCAGCUAAGCUACCAUUUCGAGUAUUGCAUUCUGAAAUUGAAUGAUCUCAUAUAUCUACUAAGGUAAAUUACAUUUUCUUUCUGUGAAAAUAGAAGGUUGGCUUCGAUUGAUGUGAUACUGGGGUCUUGUUUUUCAGCCCUUGUUGGAAUUUCAUGACAACAAGGUGAAAGUAGAGUGGUUUUGCUAUUUGAUGAAAUCUUUGAUUUGUUUUCUUGGGGUGAUUUGUGGUCUCAAGGAUUCAAAGAUGUUGCUUUCAUUCCCUGUUAUGGAAGUUACCACUCUUGUUGUGGAUAGAGCUUGCUGGGCAGUAAAUAUGCCGACAAUAUACCUUUUUUACCCGUGGUCACAUUGCUUCAAUUAGUAAUUAUGCAGUUGCCAAUGUUUUCUUUUGACUUUAGAUUAGCAUACACCCGUAGAGGUUAAGUUAUCUAUUCAUGAUCAGUUUAUUACCCUUCUUUGGCUGAACUGUCCAUGAUAUUGAUUUUCUUAUAACUCUGAUUCAUUUUGCUAAAUUUGUGCAGGUGAGGUAUCCAGACCGCAUAACACUUAUUCGAGGAAACCAUGAAAGCCGGCAGAUUACACAGGUGAAGGAUCUAAAGAGUAGAAGUUGCCUUAAUUCUUUUUUAAUUUUUCCACAAAUGCUACAUUUGUUUCUUUUUAACAGGUAUAUGGAUUCUAUGAUGAGUGCCUCCUUAAGUAUGGAUCAGUAAACGUAUGGCGAUAUUGCACGGAUAUUUUUGACUACUUAAGGUAAUUUUCUUAAUGUUUUGUUCUAUUCUCAAGUCACAGUUUUCGAAAAGUGCGAUUCCUUAAUGUGGUGAUUGUAUCUAUAAUUCUCUCUGUGUUUUGCAGUCUGUCAGCACUUAUUGAAAACAAAAUCUUUAGUGUCCAUGGAGGUCUUUCUCCUGCUAUAACAACUUUAGACCAGGUCUAUUAUGUUUCUGUUGGUUGAUAUGUUUUGUUUAUUCUCCCAUUUAAAGCUCUUAGAAUUAUCUGAUCAACAGAUCCGAACAAUAGAUCGUAAGCAAGAGGUUCCUCAUGAUGGAGGCAUGUGUGAUCUUCUAUGGUCAGAUCCAGAAGAUGCUGUUGAUGGCUGGGGUAUAAGUCCCAGGGGUGCAGGCUAUUUGUUCGGAGGGAAUGUUGUUAUGUCCUUUAAUCAUUCAAAUAAUAUCGAUUACAUAUGUCGUGCACAUCAGUUGGUUAUGGAAGGAUACAAAUGGAUGUUUAACAACCAGAUUAUAACUGUCUGGUCUGCUCCUAAUUACUGUUACAGGUAUUUCUUUUGUCAUCUUUCAGUUGUUUGUUAGGUCUCUUGCUAGUUUUCUCUUGACCUUUCUUUCAAGAUUGACUGGAAAGAAAUGUUGUGUAAACCAUGGAGGCUAGCCGUUUGAUGUCUGUCUGGUUAAAUCUUUUGAGAACUACAAAUUUAUAGAACGUCUGGUCCUCUAUACCAGUAAAAGUUUGGAAAUGUACUAGUUCCAAGCAUAACAAGCUGUUGGCAUCUUGGGACCACUGAUGGUAUUGCUAAGCAUGGGAAGAGGCUUGCUUACUCGACUGCCUGCAGAUAGUAAAAGACUUGUAGAUACAGCUGCAGUUAAUUCAUUUCCUCUUCAUAUUUCCAUUACACAUCUUUACUACUUGUGACUUGCUUUAUGAAAAUGAUGAAUACUGGGCUACUCCAUGAAUCAAGUACUGAUUUCUUACUGAAAAAACUGGAGUUUCUUGUUUCUUCUGUCAAGGACUUUUGGGAUCACAUCAUUGUGAUAUGUAUUUACAAUUUUCAUGGAUAGCUUGUAUUUGGCCCGCACCAACGGAAUGUCAUUAGCAGUCACUGUUCAUGGUAAAGUUAGUUAAUAUGGUCAUAGAAAAACAUCAAGAACUUAAAAACUUUUUUUUUUUUCUUUUUCCUCCAUAGUUGAUCGUUUUUGAGAAAUGUGGCUGGCUGCUGCACUUGAAUGCCUUGGUAUAACUUCACUGGAAGAAAAUGUAGUUUCUGUAGAGCUGACGAUCUAAAUGAAUUCUUCUAGGUGCGGUAAUGUGGCAGCUAUACUUCAGCUGGAGGAGGGCCUGAAUAAGCAGUUCCAAGUAUUUGAAGCUGCACCACAAGUUUGCAUCGAGAACAUUUUGUUAUUCUUAAAAAAAUUGUUGCUAUUUUGAUUUGUUGUUGACAUGCAUUCAUUCCUAUGCAGGAAUCAAGAGGGAUUCCUUCCAAAAAGCCACCUCCAGAUUACUUCCUCUGAGAGCAAGCUUGAGACCUUUGCUUCUGCCUCUGUUUGAAGUCGCGGCAAACUCAUCAGAUUUUUUUCCCCAUGCUGAGGUGGGCAUACUCUGUCUGGUCCUUGUUGCAAUGUACAUGUCGAGGUUCCAAUAGCCGAGGGUCAGGUUAGUACUGUUGUAGUUGCAAAUAUGUACACAACUAUACAAACAUUUUUGCACUACCUACACAAAAUGUUGAAGGAAUAAAUGGGAAUUCUUUGGGACGGUGCCAAACAAACAGUGCUGUCUAUCGACUGUGGGAAUCUCUAAGUUUUGAUACUUACAAUGCCUGAUAUGCCAAAAUGAUGGGCAAGUGAAUGAACUUUUGAAGCACCGGGUUGGAAGACCAUUGUCGAUGGAGAAUCACGGGAAGCCGGGACACACAGCUUGAGGUUAUUGUUACAGAGAAAAGGAUCACCCUUUAUUCAGUUUGUACAAGGCUUUUACCAUGUCAAUCAUCACAUUGGCACCUUGGAAGCCCCAUUUAGCAUUCCUUCUCUCUGCAACUAAGAUGUAUCAAAUGCUGAAUUCUAAUUUUGUCUUCUUUAGGUGAAUAAUACAAUUCGACGAAAUAUGACUUCAGAAACACACAAAAGUAGUAUAUCAAUUUCCUUUACCGAUGGUCAUAAUUCCUCCCUAUCAACUUCAGCUCUCUGACAGAAAAAUAGUUCAAAGAAAUUUGUACUCCAAUAGUCAUGCGUAAGCCUACAGGCAUCAUCAUCUCCUAUCAUCUUAAAGAGUGUAUUUGUCCAGAGUGUCUCUGCGUGCAUGGCAGCUUGAAAUUUGACCAUCGCUCGAGGUGGAAGAGAGAAGAUGAAAUUGCAGCAAGUACUCUCUCGACCAUUUUAUUGCAAUGGAUAGCACACGACUGGUCUCACUCCUUCCCUUAUUAUGCAAAGACAAAAUAUAUGAAAGCAAAAGAGCACAGAGAGAGAGAGAGAGAGAGAGAGAGAGAGAGCAGCAUUCAUUGCUUAUUAGAUGUGAAGCGGACAUGAGAGCUGAGGGAAUGUGCCUACACUCGUAAACAAGCUUAGUAACCAGGACUAGCGCAGCAGGCCAUGUGUAGGAAACUAAAAGCAGACGUCCAGAAGGCCCUCCUCCUCACUUUGUGGUUUCAACAAAUGGGCAGUGCUCAGGUCCAGCUCUAAAGCUCUGCCACCUUGAACCUAACACAUGGGGUUUCCCUCCCACUCCUCCACCUGCAUCAACACAAUCAAACCUUGUCCUUUUUGGACAACGCAAGUCACUCUGAAUCAAUGUACCAGUUGGCUUAUCAGGGAGAGGUCGUCGAGACUCGAGUACAUCGGAGUGAGGAGUCCUCCAAAUCUCGAGCCUCUCCUCUUGACUAUUAGCAGUUGGCGAAAAUUUAUCAGCCGAUCAGAACAGGGAGCACUUUGCUUGGAAAUUCUCGUGGAAUGGGUCUGGCUGGUGGUCUUGUCAGGAGACUCUUCUCCAGAACUCGAUCUCGUUCGGGCUUUUCAAAAUGUCAUGUAAAAACCCCUUCAUAUCUCGGAGACACUUUUGCCGCUUUGCUAUGGCAUCCUGUUUGUCUUAUGAUUGGUUGAUGCUUGUGGUUAAUAUGUUUCUUUGACGUGAGGGACUGCUCUAUUAUCUGGGACCAAUUCGCUACCGCUGGAGAAUUAAACUGUGGUUCAUGAGAGCAAUGCAUCAUGGAAACUGCUGAUUGAUGCAGCACUAAGCAUGUAUUUGAUCUCCAUCUUCUCCUCAGUUUUGUGUAUGUUUUAGUAUUAGUUAGAGUGGUGUUGUCGGUCUGCGUUCUUUUAUUUUUGCAAUAGAUUUCAUUAAAUGCUGCUACGUAUUUCUAAUUCCUCGACUUCCAAGUUUACCACAUUGUCCUCUGUUGUCUACACUUCUCCGUUACCAGAGAGUUGCUUAUAAAUAAAUAUUCUUCUUCUUACGUUACAAGUUGGACUUGUUGAUUUUNNNNNNNNNNNNNNNNNNNNAAGGACGUGGCCGAGGCCGUGGACGUGGCAGAAACUCUAAAAGGUCUGAAAUACAAUGUUAUGUUUGCAAAAGGUAUGGACAUUACUCUUAUGAAUGUUAUUAUAAUCCUAACAAUCAAGGUGAUAAGGCAAAUUUUGUUGAGGAAGAAAAGAAGGAAAAUCAAGUUUUGCUAAUGAGUUAUGAAAAUUUGAAAAAUGAUCAGUCUAUGACAUGGUAUCUAGAUACAGGAGCCUCAAAUCACAUGUGUGGCAUCAAAGAGCUAUUUUCAGAAAUGGAUACAAGUUAUUCCGGGAACAUUACAUUUGGUGAUUUGUCUCAAAGACCAGUAAGAGGCAAAGGUAAAAUUCUCCUUGAACUUAAUAAUGGCAAGGAAGUAUGUAUUUCAGAUGUUUAUUAUGUUCUUGAUAUGAAAAAUAAUAUUCUAAGCUUGGGACAAUUGCUUGAAAAAGGUUAUGAAAUUGAGAUGAAAGAUAUGACUCUCUCAAUUCGUGACAAGAAUAAAACAUUGAUAUCACAUGUGAAAAUGGCAAGGAAUAGAAUGUUUCCUCUACAUUUGAGUAUUUUUGAUCAAUCAAAUUGUUUUAAAGCUGAUAUUGAUGAUAUUUCUACACUUUGGCAUCUUAGAUAUGCUCAUUUAAAUUUUGAGGCUUUGAAACUUCUAGAAAAGUAUAAUAUGGUGACAGGAAUGCCAAAAAUUGAUCGUCCAGCAAAAUUAUGUGAAGUAUGUGUCAUGGGUAAGCAAGAAAGAAAGCCUUUCAAAGUGAGAAGGACAAAAAGAGCAUGGAAUCGACUUGAUCUGGUACACUCAGAUGUUUGUGGCCCUAUUAAUCCAGUAUCACUUGGAGGAAGCAGGUAUUUUCUUACCUUCACGGAUGAUCAUAGUGGAAAAACUUGGGUUUAUAUGUUAAAAGAAAAGAAAGAAGUUUUAAGCAAAUUCAAAGAAUUUAAGGAUUUGGUUGAAAGACAAAGUUGUUGUAAGAUUAAAUGUUUAAGAACAGAUAGAGGUGGUGAAUAUAUAUCAAAUGAAUUUGAAAGUUUUUGUAGAAAUAAUGGAAUUCUACAUCAAUUCACCAUGUCAUACACACCUCAACAAAAUGGUGUCUCGGAAAGAAAAAAUAGGACUAUCCUUAAUAUGGUUCGAUGCAUGUUAAAGGAAAGAAAAAUUCCGAAAGAAUUUUGGGGUGAUACUGUUGCUUGUGCAAUUUAUUUGCUUAACAGGUUUCCGACAAAGCGAAUUGGUAAUGUUACACCAGAAGAAGCAUGGAGCUUACAGAAACCAAGAGUUGAUCAUUUAAGGAUUUUUGGCAGUGUUGCAUUUGCCAAGAUACCAGAAGAGAAGAGAACAAAAUUGGAGGAUAAAAGUCAAAAAUGCAUUUUGCUAGGUUAUCCAGAAAAUUCCAGUGGUUACAAACUCUACAAUCCUAUCACAAAUAAAGUUGUGAUGUCAAGAGAUGUUGAGUUUGAUGAACAACAGAUUUGGAACCGGAAAAGUGAUGAACAGCAUAAGAAAGCUGUAGCUUCAGAAGAAGAUGAUAUAAUACAAGCAAGCACCGAAGUUGCUGUGCCGGAAUCAUCACCUAGAUCAGCUAGGUUACAUGAUUCAAGAAGUCCAAUUAUUAGAAGGACAAGACCUAUUCAGGACCUAUAUGAUGUGACUCGAAGGAUUGAUACUAACAAUGAUGAACUUUCUUUAUUUUGUCUUUUUGCAGGAUAUGAUCCAUUAACCUUCGAAGAAGCUUAUAGAGAUGAAAAAUGGCGACAAGCUAUGAAUGAAGAAAUUCAUGCCAUUAACAAAAAUAAUACAUGGGAGCUUACUACACUUCCAGAAGACCACCAAGCUAUCGGUGUUAAGUGGAUCUUCAAAACAAAAAGAAAUGCAAAAGGAGAGGUGGAGAAAUACAAGGCCAGAUUGGUUGCUAAGGGAUAUAAACAACAAUAUGGGAUUGAUUAUGAAGAAGUAUUUACGUCAGUUGCUCGAUUAGAGACAGUAAGAUUACUAAUCUCUCUAGCAGCUCAAAUGAAAUGGAAGAUUUUACAAAUUGAUGUCAAAUCAGUAUUUCUUAAUGGAGUUCUUGAAGAAGAGGUAUAUAUUCAACAACUUCGAAGAAAAACUUGGCAUGCUAGAUGGAACAAGUUUAAGGGGGGAGAAUGUUGGAAUUAAACUUGUUCAAGUAUCAUAAAGAGAUUCAUUUUAUCAUAAAAAAGGUUCAUUGCAUCAAGUGGGAGAAUCAUUACAUCAAGAAGAAAAAAUGGAUUUNNNNNNNNNNNNNNNNNNNNGAGAGAGAGAGAGGAUCUGAUCUUACAGAUGUUGUCUCCGACUCUAAAGACCCUGUCGAUGGUCCAAGCAGCCACAUCAGAAGAGACAUCCCACCCAUGAUCAUCGCCCACUAUAUGUUGCACCGCUUGUGCUGAUGUCAAUAGCAAAGCGACAACAGCAGCAGCAGCAGCAAAGGAGCCGCCGAAAGAAGCAGCCAUGUCGUGAAGAAGAGAAGGGGAAGGAAGCAGAUGGUGGAGACGUGGGAGUGGAAGUGCGGCGGAGGGAGGGGCAGGUAUAUGAAGGAGGUAGACGCGAAAUAACAAGGAAAUGUUUAUUCCGUUUCCUUCAUCCACCCUUCUCAACCAACCGUCUGUCUCUCCGGUAGGUGGCGGGACGAAUGGUGGUUUUCUCUCGUCGUCCGAACCAAACCGAUAGGGUCUCUCUCGCGUAUACCAAUUACCGAUAGCAUCUAAAUUUUCACACAGCCACGGUUGUUUGUCAUAUUAAUUUUUGGCACCCAAACAACAAAAUGCACGUCUCGAUGCCCAUUCAUUUUUUAUUUUAUUCGUGGACGUAUGACAGACAGACAGAGACACGCCCCAUUCAUUUUAGCAAACAGCAAAGAAAUAUUAGAUUAGUCCUUCCCAAAAAAACACCCGAUCCGAAAUCGUUCUGAACCACAACGCCCCCCCGUCACCACCGACCGCCAGCUUAUGGGUCACAGGGACUGGGCUCUCAUGAACCGUAAGACUGGCACUUAUAUAGCUGAACGGGUCCAAAGAUGGCUCGGGUCGGGCUCAGCCUGCACCCACGGCACCGGACUCUAAACCAAGCCGCAGAGGCCCUGAGCCAGAUCACAUGUGCGGACCGUGCCCAAGCCUAGACAGCACAGCUCUGGGCCUGAUAAGCCCGUGUUGGCCUGAGCUGCGACUAAUGUACCAGGCCGGGCCGCACCGCGCCUCGGGCCUAAGUUCAAGCCACGACGAGCGCUGGGCGGGGACAAGCCUAGCCGCCUUGGUCGCCGAGCCGGCUGCUAGAUCCGAGCCGAUCGAAGACGGGGCUUCAAUGGGCCGGCCCACUGAGUGGCGCUGUUGCCGAGGCUAAGCCAGACGCUAGGCUGCUCGGACUGCAGGCCCAGCCCGCGCCGAAACCAACCAGGGUCUUGGCUUGAUCCGGGUUGGGUUAACCCGGUCCGAACUACGGUUGGACACGAGUCAGACCGAAUCCGAGCAGCUGAACCUCUCAUUCCAAUUUCAAUGAAAUGCCCACUUUUUAACAGAAACUUAACUUGAAAAGCUACACUUUCGACAUGCAAAAAUUAUCAGAAAGUUAGAAUCAAUCAAUCAAAUAGAUUUAUCUAAUUAAAAAUUCAAAAUAUUUUUUCAUGAAUUAAAAACCCAACAAGUUCAUAAUUCUGAAUUUUAAAAUAUAUAAAUAAUGAAAAUUCGAAUAUAAUUUCAUAAAACAUUUGAAUGUCUACAUAAAAUAAAAAUAACUAAUUUUAAUCCUAAAACAAAAUUUUAAAAAUUUAAUUUAUGUUUGUAUAUCAUUUUUAAAAUCUAAACAAAAUAGUAACUCAUCUAUUUCUAAAUUAAAUAUUUAGAAAUUUUCUAAAUAUUGUAAUUAUGAAAUAAUACUAAUAUUUAAAAUAAAUAUUAUAACUUGCCUCUCGCAUGUAUCUGACACUACUUUGUCACAUCCUUAGUUGAGAUUAUCAAAGAUAUAUAUUACUCGAGCGAUACCUAUCCGGAAGGAUCAGUAUAAAUGUUCUUUCUAUGCAGUCGACAAAGGACCUACACAGCAAGUGAUAUGUCAUCGUCGUGCAUGAAAAUAAUAAUAUAAUUAGGAUCUCAAAUAACACAAAUCAAGUAACUUUUAUUAAGCAUAAAAUAUUUUUAAAAAUGAGUUAGAACAAGUGCACACAAAAGGGAUUUCGAAGGCAAAUGUGGGGCUAAUGUUCAUGUAGUACUUUCAUCAAACAAAAAAUAAAUACACUAAAGACGUUGCAUCACCCUUAGAUAUAUAAACAAGACCCCAUCCACCCUAGUGCCACCCGGUGUUCAAAUGCAGUGAGACGGUUGACGUUUUAAUCGUUCUAUCAUAAAUCAUUUAUGUGGCACAGAGUUGUUUUGAUUAAUUUUCCUGGUAUCAUACAAUUAAAAAUAUUUUUGAGUUUUAUAUGAUAAAAAUAUAAAACAAAAACACUAAUAACAAACCAUAUUACAAAACUUGAAAGGGUCAAUGGCCUUCCCCCGUACAGUUUGCCCAUUGCAUCUUUGAAUCCUUCACCAUCUACUCUAACUACGUCCACGCUUUCCUUCGAAUACGAGAUAACUUGAUGAGAGGAUAAUGCAUAGACAUACUACCUUCGACUAACACAUCACCUAAAGAUGAGGAGUUGACGGUUGUUGAUUUCUGACCACUUUGAAGGGACUUCCAAUUGAAGCAAGCUCAACUAUAUUGGUGAGAAGAAUUGUGUUAUUUUGAUUAGCUUCACCAAAAUUCCUUGAGUUGUACUUCUUUAGCUAGCUACAUAACUUUCAAGAUCAUCCAUAACCUAUUUGCAACUAUAAUUAUGCUCUCUUCUUUAAAGUAUGAGUUUGAUUAGUGCUCCGAAGACUCACUACUUCAAUACCAUGCCUCAUCCUCUUAUGUUCAUGGCCUUCAAUCCGAUGCUUUCUAGAUUAAGUUCUUGGGCGAUCGAGUCCCUCAUAGAUUCAAGGUUGUUAUAAUGCCUUACCUCUACUGAUCAACUAUUGAUUUUGCAUGUCCUAUGACUCACGAAGCAUUUUGCUUUUAAUCUUUCAUUAAUCAACUUGUAACUUUUCAAUGUGGUCAACGCCAUCCUAUGUUACAUGGCUUUUGUCAACUCUAAUUCUUUGAGCGUUUAUUUGACAUUAAUAAUCGCUCACCCAAUCUUGAUCCUGGAAAGCAUCAGAAUAUCCAGAAGAAAAGAUAAGCUUUUGAGCAGUAUAUCUUCGAUUUGAGAAGCUUAUUUGAUAAGCCACAAAAAUUCUUCCACUCCGAAAAUGAUACCUAAUGGUUGAUAUCCUCGACUUUUUACCUGAAUUUAACUUUUUCUUUUCACCUUGUAUCCUCAUGAAAAAAGCUUUCGUAAUUAGAGUUGUUAGCACAUAUCGUCUUCAAGAGUGGCAUGAAGUUGGUGCUCCCUCUCUUAACUCUUUGUAUAGAGAAUGUUAAUAUUUAAAAUUCUAAAUAUUAAAUAUUAGCGCAUGUUUUUUAUGGACUUCAAUCUUUUGAUUUGUGUUAACGCUUUUAUCAAUAAUUUUUUUUAAAAAAAAUAAAACUUUUGAUAUUCCCACAUGCCAAAUGAAAACCCUAAUUAAUCACAAAGAUUUUUGAGAUACUUUAAUAUACUUUCUAUUUUCUUGACUUAAGUUAGAAAUCAAUUCUUUUUAAAAGUAAUCUCCCAUCUAAAUUUAGAAGUAACCCAAAAAAGAUUUAAAUAAUUUAAUCAUGUCAAAAAUUCGAUCUAUUUCGAAUUGAAUUUAUUCGAUGGGUACUUUGGCAAGGAGUGACAAUCUUUUCCAAUGGAACACACAAGUAUGUUGAGAAUCAUAUUAGCACACCGAAAGAAGAAGCAUUACGAGGAAAACUGGUUUGGUCAUCUUGUGAACCACGAACUCAUUCGUUCUUAAAGCGUUACAGUAGCCUGGAAAGAAGGAAAAUUACAAGAAAAAAGAAAAAAAAGAGAUCAUCUCUCCUCCAACACUUUUUGAUCACAGACCUCAGAACCCUGUCUUUUAGAUGCAAAUAGGAUGGGAUCUCCAGAUCCAGAUGCUUUCAUUAAUUCUUCAGGAGCUGUCAGUAGGAGGGACGACUACAGAAGCAUUGUUUUCCAUCUCCUAUCCACUCCAAGUUUCUUCCUGCUCCCACAAAAAAAGAAAAACAAAAAGUGUCAUGUAGGCAGGUGUUUGUAACUGAUCGUUCGAAGAUGGAUGAUGCAGUUGGCUGGUUGAACAUUAAUAAUGGAGAUGGAUUGACUGCUUGGGAGAAUUCAAAGCCAGAAGACGCAAAGUGAUUCAAGAACAAGUACAGGCUGUGUGGUAGUGGCUUUCACUGGGAUCCAAAAAUCUUGUGUCUGAUGGACAGCUUAAAAAAGGAAUAACUUGGCAUUACAAUUAUUAUACAGCUCUAAACUGCUUGUGGAUCCUCCAUAAAAGAAAGAAAGAGUAAAAAACCCAUUACCUUCAAAAAUUUGUCAUUCGUUUCUCUAUCCGAAGCCAAAAGGACACCAAAACAGGAAAAAUAUAAUGAAACAAAAAUGAACUUAUGCAAACUAAUAUCACCUGGGGAUAGGUCACCGAUUUUAAUCCAUUGAAAACUUCAUGCGAGUGGCCAUCCUUUGCAUUUCAUCAAAUAGGCUAUUACAAUUGCAGGUGACCUGCCACAAGAUAACAAUGAUACAGAUGAUUCGCAUAUGAUAUUCAUAUACAAACACACAAGUUAAGUAAAUCAACCAAUUUUUUUCCCAACUUACAGUGGACAAGAACACGUGCAUCCUCCUUGUUGCAUUGUUCUGCAUAACAGAAGAUAAAUGUUGUGGAAAAGAACACGAACUACAUGAGAGGAAAAACAUUCUGCACACCAAAUGAUAAAUGGUAUGAAAAGAAACAAAAACUACAUGAAGAAGAGAAAAUGAUGAAACCAAGGAUCAAUCAACAUAGCGACUAGCUUUUGUAGCAGGUCUGGAUAGAGCAUAUCAAGCUAUAAGCAAAAUACUGCAACAACCAUGAAAACAAUAAAAUGCAGAUGGAAGGUAAGUCAUCAAAACCAGAUACUACCAGAUUUAUCCUGCACUUUAAAUCCUAAGAAUACUUCUAUAUUUGCAUUUAGCAUAUUCAUCUAAAAAACAAAUUCUAGGAUACUCGGCUUAUUAAAAAAAUCCUAAUUAUGUUUGUCCGCUUAGUUACCUUUGCUCCAAUUGACUCAAUUUGACCCAAUGGAAAAACUGAAUUAAUUAAUUGAAAAGUGCAAAACCAUGUAACCCAAAAUGCUUUAGUCCUCUGAUAUAAUGAUGGUGGGUCCAUCUAGCCUAUAUAUCAUAAUAAACAUCAUCUCAUUUCUAACGUCAGACUAAAUCCGAAUGUUACACUUACCAUGUGCAAUUGUUAGUCUCACAAAAACCUCAAAAUUUAAACUUGUGUGAUGCCUAGUCAUUUUGAUCUAAUUUGACUAGACUUAAGUUUUACUUACCAAGGAAUAUUAAUGAUGAUAAUUUUAUUACUAUUAUUAUAGACUUGUUAUCAUUCCUAGAUUGAUGUGUGUUUUCUCGGAGAAUAAGGAAUUUAUUUUACAAGGGAAGAACUAAUGCCGGAUAAGAGUAUGAAACCAUAGAUAUGAGGCUUUCUCUUCCGCAACAACUCCGUUCAACGAACCGUUCGUCGCUCUCAUCUACAUGUACAACUACUUGGCAGCCUGUUUUGCCUUGGUUUUGAGUCAUUUUGCUUGUAAAAAUGUAAGUUCGAACAAGCUGCAGCGUUACAAAGCGACCGCUCACCGAACCGAGCAAAACAACCCCAAAACAGCCCAAAAGAGCUCCGUUUUCGUGUGCCGCGGGCUGAUUUCUGGAAUCUGCCUCCGCUCACCAAAACGUCAGCCAUCUCAGCCCCUUGGAACUCCCCGGGUGGCACAGGGUUGGAUGGGGCUUCGGUAUAGUACCGGGCGUUGAACACUCCUUCGCAAGUUCGCACGUUGCCUUGACGGGAACUUGUUGUCGCGCCUGGGACUCGGUGAGCAGCUGUUCGUUCAACCUUCUAAAGCCUUGUUUUCCCCCUCUCCCUCUUUUCUCUUGUGCACGCAAGGUGCUCGCUGAAUUGCUUGUAUUGCUUCCACUUUUCGCGAGACUUCGGGACUUGUCCGUUGCUCGUUCUUUCGAACUAAUCAACUUUCUCUUUUACAGGUCCUUCGGGACCUACGAGAGGUUGCAAGUGGGCUGAUCUUUGCGGAGCAAUAUCGCAAGGGCGAAGCGCGACUUAGGCAACGCAAGCUAAGUUCGUGUCUUGACCGCAAGCUAAGGUCGUGACAUUGUGGUAUCAGAGCGGACAAGCACUUCGAGCGAGCAGCGAAGGAACUUCGCAACUUCGCCAUGGCAAAGCAUCGUGGUGAAUCAAGCAAGACGGGGCAAGCCGGACCCUUGCCCCAAGCAGCCGUAGGUGGGCUGCAUGUGCACACUCGCUCUCAUGCUGUUGGAGCCGCUCAAGAGGAGCGCGGUAGCGAACUUGAUGAGCGAGAAGUUGGCUACUCUCCGCGAGCGGAGGAAGCGCAAUCUGGAGCGCUAACUGGGAAAAAGUGUCACUAGGAGAGACUCACAACAGCGAAAACCCGCCUGGAUGUUCUUGAAGUGAGCGUGGAGGAACUCUAUCAUAGCCAACAAAGGCUUGUCGAGGUAGAGAGUUCGCAAGAGGAAGCGGAGUCCAGGAUCGACAAGGUCGAGGCCCUAGUCGACCGACUGUCAGAUGGCACCAAAGACUCCGUGAAACACCUGCAGGAAGUUGUGACAGAACUCACUUCAAGGGUGACUAUGCUCACUAGAGCACUAAAUGCGGGAGGAAGCUACACCCGCGUUGCACCGCCACAAAAUUUAAGGGCACCCGAGCCUCAUAGAUAUGGAGGGGCCAAAGAUGCCAGAGAACUCGAGAACUUUCUGUUCGACAUGGAACAAUACUUUCGAGCUACGAGGCCCGAUUCUGAAGAUACCAAAGUUUCUAUAGCAACAUUGUAUCUGAACGGAGAUGCGAAACUUUAGUGGCGAACCUGUUGGGAGGAGAUCCAACAAGGUCGGUGUUGAGUCGACACAUGGGAGGACUUGAAGCGAGAGUUGAGAACUCAAUUCCUACAGGAGAACACAAAGUUCAUAGCAAGAAGGAAGUUGAGACAACUCCGCCAGAGUACCACCAUUCGAGACUAUGUGAAACAAUUUUCUGCACUAAUGCUGGACUUACAGGACAUGUCCGAGAAGGACAAGUUGUUCAGCUUCCUCGAUGGUUUGAAGUCAUGGGCUCAACAUGAGCUAAAUCGAAGGAAUGUUACCGAUGUGGUCAGGGCAAUUGCUGCUGCAGAAAGGCUCACCAACUUUUUUCCUCUGAAGACCCAGGGAGAAGGAAACAAUCUUCAGGCAAUCGCCCUCCAAAACAUUUUCGAGGGAAGGAGCUCGGGAGCGAACAAAAGAAGAAGAGUUCCCACAAAGGGCCAAACCCGAAAGGCAAGGCCUCAAAACCUGGAGGAUGUUUCUUGUAGGGAGGACCGCACAUGGUGAGGGAGUGCCCACAAAAACAGUCACUCAAUGCUUUGACGGCUUCCAUCCGCCCCCCCCGAUCGGACAAGGGCAAAGCUGUUGCUCUUAGUUCGAGCAAUUCUGAAUCCAGCAGCGACGACGAGGAGUCGCAAGGACCCCGAAUGGGAGCAAUGCGUUUGUUGAACGCCAUGCGGGGUCAAGUGGGGGAGAACAUCAAGACAAAGCUACAAAAAGCAGGAAGUAGUGAGCUGAUGUAUGUGGACAUCAAGCUAAAUGACCAAACGACCCGUGCAAUGGUGGACACGGGCGCUACCCACAACUUCAUAGCCGAUCGAGAAGCACAGCGACUUGGGUUGAUCUUAGAGAAGAGCCCAAGCCGAAUGAAGGCGGUGAACUCAGAGGCCAUGCGAAUCUCCGGGUUGGCGAAGGGAGUUCCCAUCAAAAUCGGGACAUGGAGCGGGAACACCAACAUGAUGGCCAUACCAUUGGAUGACUUCCGAGUGAUUCUUGGAAUGGAGUUUAUGCACGCGGCGAAGUUGGUGCCAAUGCCGUUCUUGAACUCCCUAUGUAUGAUGGGAGGUGACGACCCCUGCGUGGUUCCCGUCUCUCGGAGAGGAACCAAGGAGCCACAACACAUAUCGGUAUUACAACUGAAGAAAGGGGUGCGAAAAGGCGAAUUAACAUUCGUGGCUGCUAUGAAGUUAGAGCCACUCAACGAGAAGGCCAUUCAAGAACCUGUUGUGGUGGCGUACGUCCUGAAAGAGUUCAAUGACGUUAUGCCACCCGAGUUGCCGAAGACUCUUCCACCACGCAGAGGCGUGGAUCACAGCAUCGAGCUGGAGCCAGGAGUGAAGCCUCCAGCGAGACCACCCUACCGCAUGUCCCCGCCAGAGUUGGCGGAACUCAGAAAACAGUUAGGUGAAUUGCUAAGUGAUGGUCUCAUCCGCAGCUCUAAAGCACUUUUCGGAGCUCCAGUUCUCUUCAAGAAGAAACAAGAUGGGAGCCUCCGAUUAUGCGUCAACUACCGAGCCCUUAACAAAGUGACAGUGAAGAACAAGUAUCCCAUCCCGCUCAUCGCGGACUUGUUAACUAGUUGGGCAAAGCUAAGUAUUUCUCGAAGCUCGACCUUCGGUCGGGGUAUUGGCAGGUACACAUAACUGAAGGCGACGAAGCGAAGACUACUUGUGUGACCAUGUAUUGAGCGUUUGAGUUCUAGGUGAUGCCUUUCGGCUUAACCAAUGCUCCGGCCACGUUCUGCACUCUCAUGAACCAGCUAUUCAAGGAGUAUUUGGAUAUGUUCGUGGUCGUCUACUUGGACGAUAUAGUCGUCAACAGUCAAACGCUCGAGGAGCACGUCAAACACCUUCGGACAAUUUUCAAGGUUCUCAGGGAGAACACUUUGUUCGUGAAAAGGGAGAAAUGCCACUUUACUCAAACUGAGAUCUUAUUCUUGGGGCAUCGAAUCGGUGAGGGCUCUAUUCGGAUGGAUAAGUCGAACGUGCAAGCGGUUGCGGAAUGGUGGACUCCAAAGAAGGUGCCAGAGUUGAGAUCCUUCCUUAGUUUCGUCAACUACUAUCGACGCUUCAUAACGGGGUACUCGAAGCGUGCAACUCCACUGAUGGAGUUACUGAAGAAACAACAGCCUUGGAAGUGGUGUGACAAAUGUGAAAUAGCAUUCCAAGAUCUGAAGGCUGCUGUUAUGGAAGAACCAGUACUCAAAUUGCUAGACUAUGGGGAGCCUUUUGAAGUCCAUACAGAUGCUUCGGACUUCGCUAUUGGGGGAGUACUCAUGCAGGAGGGUCAUCCGGUGGCCUACGAGAGCCGCAAACUCAACGAGACUGAGCGGCGAUAUCCAGUGCAUGAGAAGAAGACAGCGGUGAUCCACUGUCUACGAGUUUGGCGACACUAUCUCCUCGGAUCGCGAUUUGUGCUGAGCAGACAGAGUACUUGGUGAAGUGGCGAAAGCUUCCCCGAACUAAAGCCAGUUGGGAGCCUGAAGACACCCUGCGACAUGAAGAAGAAAUCAUCAACAACUACCAACAAGCGUCGACGAGGGCGUCGACAGUUUAAGUGGGGGAGAAUGUCACGAACGGUCGUUGUGCACCCGCAACAACUCCGUUCAACGAACCGUUCGUCGCUCUCAUAUACAUGUACAACUACUUAGCAGCCUGUUUUGCCUUGGUUUUGAGUCAUUUUGCUUGUAAAAAUGGAAGUUCGAACAAGCUACAGCGUUACAAAGCGACCGCUCACCGAACCGAGCAAAACAGCUCCAAAAUAGCUCCGUUUUCGUGUACCGCAGGCUGAUUUCUGGAAUCUGCCUCCGCUCACCAAAAACGUCAACCAUCUCAGCCCCUUNNNNNNNNNNNNNNNNNNNNUUUUGAGUCAUUUUGCUUGUAAAAAUGGAAGUUCGAACAAGCUACAGCGUUACAAAGCGACCGCUCACCGAACCGAGCAAAACAGCUCCAAAAUAGCUCCGUUUUCGUGUACCGCAGGCUGAUUUCUGGAAUCUGCCUCCGCUCACCAAAACGUCAGCCAUCUCAGCCCCUUGGAAUCCCCCGGGUGGCACAGGGCUGGAUGGGGCUUCGGUAUAGUACCGGGCGUUGAACACUCCUUCACAAGUUCGUACGUUGCCUUGACGGGAACUUGUUGUCGCGCUCGGGACUCGGUGAGCAGCUGUUUGUGGGCUUGCAGCUGUUCGUUCAACCUUCUAAAGCCUUGUUUUCCCCCUCUCCCUCUUUUCUCUUAUGCACGCAAGGUGCUCGCUGAAUUGCUUGUAAAGCUUCCCCUUUUCGCGAGACUUCGGGACUUGUCUGUUGCUCGUUCUUUCGAACUAAUCAACUUUCUCUUUUACAGGUCCUUCGGGACCUGCGAGAGGUUGCAAGUGGGCUGAUCUUUGUGGAGCAAUAUCGCAAGGGCGAAGCGCGACUUAGGCAACGCAAGCUAAGUUCGCGUCUUGGCCGCAAGGGUGCCUCACGCCUUAGACAAUUCCAGCUAAGACCGUGACAGAUCGUCGCAAGUAAACAUAUAUAAAUUAUAUAUGGAGAUUGUUAAAUAUUAUUUGAUGCAUUCUAUCUUUAUUUUCGAUACUUACAUUUAGAUGGUCUUAAUUGUUUCAACCUCUAUGAUGAUAUUUAUUUGUUCACAUUGUUGAGUUUAUAAAUUUUAAGUAUAUAUACUAUAAACCUCAUCUUAAUCAAAUAUUAUACAUAUAUAUUAAAAAAUACGCAUGUCCUUGCCAUGUCCGUGUCCUAAUAUUUUUAAAAAAAUGGCGUGCCGCCAUGUCUGCGUCGUGUCAUGUCUGUGUCCAAUGUUCGUGCUUCUUAGGUUUAAGCCAACACGUGCUUCUUAGGUUUAAGCCACCAUAACAACCUCUACACAUUUAACCAAAGCAAACACUCUAAGCCAUUUGUUUUUUUAAUGAUAAUACACUGGAUGCAUCUCAGUCCAACCAAUUUAUUAUUGAAUAGGUUAAAAAUGUCUGCAACAAGAUUAUUGAAGUCAAACCAAUCUCUCACUUGUCAUUUGGUGCUAAUCAGUCCACAGAAAUUUUUUUGACCCAAAUUUCCAACCCAGGAACCAUGUCGCACUUGUUUCAUUAAGACUUCAUGGAGAACUGAGAGAACAUAGAGUCACUGGAUGUUCUUUCUCUCUGGAGAACAAAAAAGUCUUCUUGCUGAAGAAUAUCGUGAUUAAGAUCAUCAUUUACUUCCAUUCCAUGUUAUAAUAGACUUUGGUAUUAUUUCCAACUUUUUUUAUGAUAAUAUCUGGGUUAUGGAUAACUGUAUUACAAUUUAUUAUCUUGGUAUCACAUAUCAUCACCUUGUGCAAUGCUCUGUUAUUAUACACCAAGUGAAAGUGUAAACUCUAUAUGAACAUUUGACAUUUGGAUAUUUGUCAUACCAAAUUUACCUCUUUGUAUUCACAACAUCUGAAUUCACAUUAGUGGCCCAAAAUGGUUUCCUAGCACUAACUAUUUUAUAUCCAUAAUGGAAAUCUGCAACAGUGUGUCUUGGUCAUGCUAUUUAUAAUGCUGUUUCUGCUCUACGAAGUUUCUUACAGUUCCUUGGUGCCAUCAUAAGACACAUCCAAACCAAAGCACAUCAUCAUAUGAUAAUAAACAAUAUAGCUUAUGCAAGUGUACGUGAUGGACAUAAGUGAAAAGGCAACAUUUCAUUGCAACAAUCCCUUCACAAAAAAAAAAAAAAAAAAAUCCAGUCACUCAACCCAAAGACAUUACUCAAGAUUUAGUUAAAAAGAAUACUACAACAUAUAUAAUAAAUAAAAAGUAAAUGCCCACCAGAACAUAAUAAGUGCUAUUUCAUUGAUUCUCAAUCUGUAAGAAGCACUAUAUCAACAAAAUAAAUCUUAGAAUUAGUGUAUUCUGAGCAAUUAGAACUCCAAUUAUUCAUCCUAAAAAUAUGACUUUCUUGAGUUAUCUGCAGAAGAAAUCUACAGUGAUCAUUAUAGAUUCUUCAACCUUUGGAAGGUUUAUUGACCUUGACCAGAGUGUGGCCCACUUCUCUAUAAUCUAAGCAACUAAUUAACGAUGAUACCUGCAUAAGAAAAUACCUCGGUCCAUAUAUUGAUCUGCAAGGUAAACCACUUAUGGUUCCAUUGAUAUUUCCAAUAUCCUCACAUAAUCGAUCAACAUAGUAGGUCAGACAUAUUCUAAACAGCUCCACUUACUUCCUUAUACACCUUAAUAAAAAAAAGCGCAGCUUCAGUAGGUUAACUGAAGAUCAGAAAGGGAAAUAUCAGAGGCAUUGUUUCUUGUCUCGAAAAUGUGAUCUUGAUAAGUUCUUUGUUCUUCGGUAGACCUUGAAGCUUUUAGCUAAUCACAUUCUACCACCAUAAGGUCAGCCCUAAUACAACUGUUUUGAAUGAACCAAGUUUCUAAAACAAAUAGGUGAUACUAGAAGUUGCAUAAGUAUUGUACAUUAACAACAAGAUAUGACAGAAAAAAAACGUGUAUACAGGUUGGAGGCAGAAGGAAAGAUAUUUCCGCUUUAAUUGUAAAUGACAUAAUACCAUACCCUACUAAUGCUAUGAAUGAUCACCAAUUGUUACACUAAGUUUCACGCCUUCGGAACAGAAAUAUUGGAAAUAAGGCAAACAGGGUAGCUCAAAGCUAAGAUUUCAUGCACAUCCAGUGUUGCGAACUCGCUACACAAAUAGAACCAGCGACCAAGCCCUGGAUUCACUCCGCAACAAUGGAAACCAAUAAACAUCAGGGUCAAACCCAGAUCAUCCAAGAAAGCGCAAGAAUCAGAUCCAAAGAGGACAAGGCGGGGAACUCACGUCGAGGACAUGGGUGACGCCGAGGGCCUUGAGGAUCUCCCCACUGGGGGCGUUGUCCAAGGUAGAGGAAAUCCUUCAGGAUCUCUGUGGGAAAGGCGGAGGGAAAUCCUGUUGGGUCGGCCGCUCGAAGGCGGAGGGGACGCGGUGGCCGCAGACCCCGCCCUCCUUGGGUUCAUGAAACUCAAUCUAUGCGUACACGUGGAGAAAAAGAAGCGGGUGAUGACGAGACCCGUCGGCCAUCUGAUGGAGAGAGAGAGAGAGAGAGAGUGGGUACAUAAACCAUGGUUGUAUUUGGAUUUAUAAACCAUGGUUGCAUUUGGAGGGAGCCCAAAGGAAAGCAUAAACUCGACCCACCAGCGGGCCCACAGCGGAGGAUACAGUUUCUCGUAGUGUGGUUAACAUAAUCUAUGAUACAAUAUGUUUUCUUCUUUCAUCGUCUGUUAAUAUCGCUUCACAAAUUUAUUGUAUCGGAUAGGUCGGUUUUAGUGGGUUAAGAAGAAGAAGAAGAAGAAGAAGAAGAAGAAGAAGAAGAAGAAGAAGAGGGAGUUAAAUUUCAAUCGUAGUUGCCCAAGUUGUAAUCUGUUGCUUUUUCACGAAGAGAAAGAGAGACGAAGUCAUUACGCGAGGACAGUGGUUUUUGGGGUGGGAAGAUGCCUACUUCGUAUUAAGUCUUAUCCGCUGCUUCUCUCUCUCUGUCUGCUCUUUUCCCACAGUCGCUGCUGCUGCUGCUGCUGCUCUCAAAAGCAACCGAAGACGAAGAGUCGGCUCGAGGUUUGUCUGAAAGAUGGAGAGCGUGGCGGCCCGUCUGGGCCGGUCGUCGACCCGCUACGGUCCAGCAGCGGUCUUCAGCGGACCCGUGAGGCGGUGGAACAAGAAGUGGGUCCCGCUCUCCAGUCCCGACCACCACCGUCGCCGCAACAACGGCGCCAACCCCCACCUCCUCCUCUACAGGUGGACACCCGUCUCCUCCGCGGCUGACGGCGGCGCAACCACCGCCACCCCCUCCAAGGACUCUGCCACUCCCCCGCCCGAGGAGCCGCCCCGUAGGAAGUUCCGCUACAUCCCGGUAACCCUCGUCUCCUAUCCUUCCCUUUCGAUUGGGUGCUUAAUUCUUCGGCACAAGUCUUCUGCGACUCACGGGUGGGCGAGGUUUGGUUCUUGUGGAAUUUGGGAAGGAGGGUCUCUUUCUCUUUCUCUCUCCCUCUCGUGAUACACGAGUGCUAUUUUGUUGCCCCUCUUAUGAUUUUGGUGGGUUUCCUCCCGAGAACAGUAUGAAUGAUGAAAAAAUCUCUCUCCUCGGAAGAAGAAGAAGAAGAAGAAGAAGAAGAAGGCGACAUCUUGCUAACGGAACGCGAAUUUGGGUCCUUUUUUUUUUUUUCUUGUUCAUGAUAUGGGUUUAAUCAAAAAUAAAAAUUUAGCUGCUUUCUAUCGUGACUCUUCCUCGGAAAGGAGGCAGGAAGAUGUUGUCGUCUUUGUUUCUGUGAAAUGUACACUGAUGGUUAAAUUUUUGAGAGGGAUGACGGCGAGUGGAAAUUUUGCUGAUGAUACAGAAGAGUAAGUGGUUGUUGACAACAUGAUGGCUGGGUCGGUGACAUCCAACUCACAUGUUCAGAUGGAAUGCUAAUUGAAAUCACCUUGUCCGCAUCUAGUGCUAAGUUUUUCAAAGACUAUGAAAACCUGGUUGUGUGGAAGAUAUAGUCAUGACGAUUCCUUUUUCUUUACUUUAUCAGCGAGGGAGUUACGUAUAAGAUGCUAACUUGAAGAUGUUGGAGUAGUAUGGUAAUGGUUAUGGGCUUAUAGAAAUAUUUCUCGAGUCUAUACAAAAAGCUUCUCAUAGCACACAAUUCUAAUUAUACCGUGAGUGUGUUGAAUGGAGCUCCAGUGAAAUCAGAUGGUUUGUCUUCUUGGUUGGGGUUGUAUUGUGUUGUGUUGUUAAGAAAUAGACAACUUCCAUGUAUAAGAUCCUGAAUGAUUCCUUAGAGAACCUUAGAGUUGGCCAUGCAUAAUAUUUGAUAGUUAGUAUUAAGAUUCUUUUGGCUUUCUGUGGUUAAGUUGGAUAGAAGGUUAUAUGGACAUGGCUUGUGAAAAGCUUAUGCCCUUAUCCCUUUUGAACUUUUGGGUUCUGACGGUUUCUAGUUAUUCUCUAGCACUAUGAAGAUAAUUGAGACUGUCCCCCUUCAAAAAAAUUAGUUGUCUGCUGAAAUUAUUGUUGUAUUUUUCUUCAAAACAAGAUAUAUGUAUAUAUGUAUGUAUGUGUACUUACAUCAGGGAGAUUCAGUAAGUUUCAGUUUUCACCAAAAUCGUAACCUAAAUCACCAAAUCAGAAGAUAAAAGCUUCAUAUUUGGAUCAAAAUUGUUCUCCUCUAUGCAUUUGUGCCAUUCUGCAGCCUUCUUUAGCACCAUAUGUCAGCAUUUUCUCGUUAUUGACAGAAUAUUAUCUUCUCUUAUUUAUCUUUGCUCAUUAUAAAUACAGGUGUGUGUUAUAAGCAUCUCUAUAUACUAACUUGAUCAUUUUUUAUUAGUCAUGUUAGGUAAAUCCGAUGUAGAUUCUGGUCAGGCUUUCUAGUAGAUGAGUGUAACUUAUGAAUAAUGCAGAUUUCUGUCGUUGAGGAGAAGAAGAAGGAGGCUUCACCAAAGUCCAAUGAGGAAACUAAAAAACCUAAUGAAACCGACAAAUUCCCACGUAUAGGCCAAAUCAAUCCUUCAGGCAAAAUACCUGACAUGAAAGAUGUCUUGGCGGAAGAAGUUCAGGUAACAAUUAAUUUCUAUAUGCUUCCUGGCUGCAUCUUUCUCUAUAGAAUAUGCCUACUUCUACCAUUACCAUGAGUUUCCAUAACGUAUUUCAAUUUAUUUGUGGCCACUAUGUGGACCCUAGUGCUUACUUCCAUAAUAUAUUUCAAAUUAUUUGUGGCCACUUUGUAGAUCCUAGUGCUUGUUUCCAUUUCAUACAUAUAUUAAAAGGCUGCUUCGAUUGAUAUGCUUCGUAUAUUUUCGAUGUUCACUUUGACUCUCACAACUACCACUUAUGAAAUACAUGCUCGGUGGUGGUUCUACAUCGGUGGCAUGUUUGUAACAAUCAGAUUAGUUCAAGUUGGGAAGGUCAGAAGGAUUGAAAUAGUUAGUUAUUUGCAUUGCCCUGUUCAAUGCGACCUGGGAUGAAAACUGUAAUUCCAGUAUACUUGGUGUAAAGCAGAAAGUUAGCAUCUAAACUUGUUGUUCCACUGAACUAAAGUUGUGAAUCGAAGGUGGCGAGAUUGAUAUACUUUGAAUGAUCUGUUUAUUAAUCUGUCUUUUGUUCGUCUUCAAUCAUGCAGUCUACUGGCUUAGCGAGCCUCGAGCAGCUAGAUAUCUGGUCAACCUCACGCCAUUUAUACUUUGGAAUAGGAUUCCUUUUGCUCUGAUACCAUCCUGUUCUGUAUUACCUGAAUAGUUGGAUCAAACAAUGCUUGUUGAUUUGUAUGACACAGAUAUUGAUGCUUGGGGGUUUCAAGAGAUGCGAGUGAAGUCCUAAUUUUAGUAUCUUUUUCCAGGUACCAUACAAGGAUCAGGUUCCUUCAGAAGAGGGUAGUGGAACUGAUUUGGACCUAAGUCUGGGUUUGAGAGCUCCGGAGGGUGAUCAUGAGAAGGAACUCAGAACAAGUAAACAAGGCGAAGGCCAUGGCAAAUCGGAGAGAGCAGCAAUAAAAGCAGAAGCGCGAAACAAGUUGAAGCGGAAGGUCGUCACCCCGGACCUUGAAAUGAGAGUGUAAUGUAGGAGGUUGAGUUUGUGCUUAGUGUAAGCUCUUCGUCAUGCACGCGCAACUGAUGCAAUUGUAGUGAUCUAUCGUUUAAGCUUUAAGCUUGUGCGGUGUGGUGUUGUGGUUUCUUCUCUGGGCCUUUUUAUUAUCUCGAGUUAAUUUGGAUGACUGCUGUGGUUGUGGUUGUGAUUGAUGAAUGAGGCACUUGGUGGUUCCGACGAUAAAAUAAAUUGCAAAUUCUGGAUGCAAAGGUCGAUCGAUGCGAAGUCAAUUGUUUGCAUACAUCUGAACAGGAGUGAAGCUGUGGAGCUGAUCAAGUACUCCUCCUUCCCACUUGGACGAAGGCUGGGUCGGGUUGGGCUUGCAUGCAAGCCCUGUGGGCCUGCAUGCAGUGUGGGUUUGAAGGUUACCGGCCAUUGUUGCCCGCCUUGUUUCCCUUCGGCUUCUUUUCCCGUAAACCAUCUCCCCGAUCACUAUGGCAUUGUUUAGUAGAGCUCUGGGACAUGAUGGGAUAGGUGGAACUUUCGGUGUCGAUGCUGAUGAGUCUGAGAAAGGGCGGGGAAGGAAUCUUCCGAGGGAAUCAAUAGGCAGGAAGAUUGUUGGGUAAACUCGAUAAACAUCCCCAGUACCUUUUUUACAUCCACUCUCUCUUUCGCUGCUUAACCCCCCAAAGAUCAUGUCGCCAUCGACUAGAUCCGCAUCAUCGAUCUGAAACAUAAUCUUUUGCUUUGUUGGCACUGGAAUCUCCCGAAGUUGUCUAUUUUGACUAUAAGGAUGAUCUUGGAGAUGUACCUUUUUUUUCCUCUAGCAAAUCUUAUGAGCAGAUUCAGUGUGAGUGGAGCUAAAGGAGCAAACCAGAAGAAGCUAGGAAGAUGACCCGAGAUAUAUCCUUUACAGUCUCAGUUGUACGUGGCAGAAAACCUCUGUGAUGUUUCGUUGGUUGGAUGAGUUUGACUUGCGAUUCCACGGUGAGACCAAAUCUAAAGAGGGGGAGAUUUGGGACUAAAGAGACAUUAAAGCGGACUAGUAGUCAAAGUUACUUGGUCGACGGGCUGGUAGUGGAAUGGUUAGUAGGGGUAAUCAGACAUUAUGAUAAAGAAAUUGGACAGAUUAAAAGGUGUAAAGUGUCUUAGCAUAGAGAUUAAGUGUUAGAAGAUAUUUAAGUAGCAGGAGAGAUUAAGAGAAAAUAAUCUCACAUCGAUAAAUAUCGAGAGAGAGAGAGAGAGUCUAUCUAGUUCACAAUCUAACAACCUAAGCUUUUGGAUUUAAUUGGUGUCUAAAUCAAUAUAAGUUAACCUGACUAAUUUGACUCACUUACCAUUAAUGAACUUUUUAACAUGGUUUCAUUGAUGAAAUAUACUUUUAGGAAGAAGGCUUAUGGAGAGAAUCUUUAGCACAGAAAUCAUCACCUUUUUCAUAUUAAUCUGUAAUAUUACUCACAAUUAAAACGCUAUAGAAAGAUGGAAGCCUCGAACCAAAGGGAGAAGUCAAAAAAUAUAGCACAUAAAUGAUGGGGAAAAUAAAAAAGGCAAAGCUGCAAAAGUUGGAAGAUUAAUAAAGCGGAAUAUAUGUUGGCAAAGAUCCGACAAGUUACAAAAUGAAACAUAUACAUCAAAAGCUUUUCUUGGAGAUGAGAAUCAUAGCAUGACAAUCGAAUAAUUGUCGUCGAUAGGCUUCUCAAUUAGCAUAUGUUUGAAUCAUGCUUAUCGUGAUAAGAAAAACGAAAGAAGAAAGAAGCUUCGAGGAUGGAUGCCCACAGGUAGGUAUUAGCCUCCAUCCCAAACUCGGUAUGUGUUGGUGCAAAAGUACGCUGGGCUAUGGUAUCCUAUGUUUCUUCUGCAGCUUCGCACUGCUUUGUGUAUAUCAACCUCUGUCUGUCUUAACGAGUCUCCUCUCGAUCGCUGUCGCUCUCGCUCAUCGAUCGAUGCAGGUUAUUAAUUAACCUUUCUGGGCAUUUGUGUGUAUUUUAUUUAUAUAUUGACCUCCUUUUUUCCUUGGUGCUGAUUCAUGAUCGAUCACCCCAUUUAAUUAUAUUACGGUCGUCUGACAUGCAGAAAACUGGCUUUUGCACUUAUGAGACCAUGGAAUUGCACCCCUUCAUCGAUUGAGAAUCUGGACCCUGGUCCGUGGCCGAUAUCUUCCUUGUCUUCUCCGUAGGCAAGAGGAACAUUUUGGUCCAGCUCCUCUUAGUUUUCCUCUACCAACCAGUCACUCUCGAUGGUUGUAUUCGAUCAGAUGUAAGAGCAGAAAACUGUGUGUAGCGCUGCAACCGAGCUUUCGUGUCGUGAGUUAUCUUCACGACGGGUUCAUGUGCUGGACUGCUAAGAGAUUGCGACACAAGAGAGAGAGAGAGAGAGAGUCGGAAUCAAUCAAUGAUGUGUAGAGGUGUCUAUGUGGUGGACUAGUGGUGCAUAUUUGUAGCACAUAUGUUUUUCUAUGUUCCAAUUCUUCCAUUGCUUUUCAUGAUAUCAUACUUUGGUCCCCAUGUGUUUUGAUCGAGUGCGUAACCUUUUCCUGACUUUAUUAACUCCACCUGCGCCUACUUCCUCAAACUUGUCGCUGCCCGUCUCAGUUUUUAGGUCAUUCUUAUGGCGGACUUGCGCUUGCUAAUGUAAAUGCUCAGCAUGAGUGACGUGGUGGUCAGGAAAUUAAGGAACGGAUGCAGGGCAGAAGCGAGGAGAGGAAGUGAUAGAAACGGAGAGAGGGAGAACCACAAGACCUCCGAGGGGAUUCCUUAGGGAUGGACUUCCGAUGACGUCAAGUCGGUGCAGUCAUUGCGGUAGAGGUAAAACUCAGCAAAAGAAGAGCAGCUUUUGUUUUGUUUGGCUGUCUGUUUGGCUAUUUGCUCCUUCUCUUCUUCUUUUCCAUCCCGUUUUGCUUUAGAUUGUCUUCUUGCAGCUUGUUCUCAUUGAUUACUGCUCUUCCCGUUUAGCCGAUGGCACGCGCGCGGAGUAGAAGAGAAGGGAGAAGCAGAUUCUCUUGCCGCUUUGAAUUGCCGAUGAGUGAGAUCUCUUACACUCUGUUCAAGCCGGUUGACAGCCGUGGCACGUAGAAUUGGCCUACGACUCCUCUGAUAAUAAUAUCAGUGACACCUUAAUUUCUUUACCAUCUUAUAUUCGGGCGGAGGAGGGAAGCAAUGAAGAAGAAGAAGAAGAAGCUGAAGUUUUGAUCGUGUCUGUCGAUAUAAAGCCCCGGAUCCAUCAUCGCUCGGAGUGUGCGAAUCAUGAAAGGGAAGGCAUAUGCAAUGAUCGUGAAAGUAGACGGCGGUGGUGAUGGAGAAUUCGUAUCCGGAGGUGUGGGCCCGAAAGCAUUCCAUCAGGUUUGGCUAAUGGUGCUUUCGCUUGGGGCCUGCAAUAUUCCAUUUGUUGGCUAAUCAGCAGCUUCACCGAGAUGCCUCCUUGGUUUCGUAUUGAUGUGAGAGAGUUCGGUGGACGCUGGUCUUUGAGGGUGUGCUUCUUCGCUAGGUUAUUGCUGUGUCCCUCUCUCCCUGCAGACACAUGCUUAAACCUGGGAGAAACUAGGUAGAGUUGAUGAAUAAAAGUAUAGAGAGAGAGAGAGAGAGAGAGAGAGAUUGCUUGUUCCACAGUCUCCUCAUGCUUUCCGACAACAGGGGGAGGGGAUCUACAAGAAAGUUAUCGGAAAGGCCAUUAACGGAGAUCCCACUAGGUGAUUAAACAAAAGAAUGUUGGAGUCGGGAGGGUGUGCUGCAUGCCUGCCUUCCUCCAUUCAAUUAUUGAAAGCUUUGGGGGGGUGGGGGGGUGUCUAGCUAGGAUUGAAAAGGAGCGACAAGAAAAGAAGAAAAAGAAAAGACGAGGGACAAACAGAAGAUGGCUGAUGCCGCCAGUUCGGAGGAUUAGGAUCAGUCUUUUCUUUUCUUUUCUUUUCUUUUUUCGGUUGAUCACGCCUCAAUGUAAGCAUCUCUUUUCGUGUAUCCUAUGCGUGCUUCUUCCCUACUCCCCACCCCACCCCACACCAUCUCUCUCUCCUCUCCAUUCCAUAGUUUCCCCUGCGCUUUCUACCGGAUUGGAAUGCUCCCUGCCCACUCCUCGGCAUCGUUUAGAUUCCUCCUAUCUACCUUCGAUUAGCCCCAUCAUCAUUCAUUCCUGAGACGACACCAGACGGAGCCCCUAACCCAACCCUAGCUGGGAGCCCCCAAGUCCCACCCCACCCCGGGCGAAUUGCUGGUGAGAGAUCUGGGGGUUGCACCACAGUGGAUCUGCAGAGAAGCUGCCAACCUCUGCUCCUGCAACAACUCAAACUACUUCUACAACUAUCGCUACUCCCACACUGGUGUUUUUUUUUUGGCAGAUCAUGUCCUGUGAAGAUAGCUGCUAAAUCUCGACAUGUCCUAUUAAACCAAAGGGAUGCAAGUUCCAGAAAUCUCCCUCUACUCAUGUUCUUCUUCUCCGCCACUGCAUCACCAAUCCUCCUCUCUUGGCUCCCCCACCGCCCCCAUCCACCACUCUGGAGACAUGCUUAGCUCACUGAUGUCCGAUGGAGGAGGAGCUCGAGAAACCCACCCUCAUCCCAGUCAUCACCACCCGAGCCCUCAAAACGGCCUAAUUUCCUCGACUAUCCAUGCUCGACAACUGUUGAUCAGCUGUGCCGACCUUGUCCACCGCGGCGACCUCCCUGCUGCUGACCGCGCGAUCUCCAUCCUCUCUGCAGCAGCAUCCCCCUGUGGCGAUUCCACCGAACGCCUCAUCCGCCAAUUCUGUCGUGCCCUCUCCGUCCGCGUCGGCCGCGUUUCGCCCUCCGCUGAAUCUUUGGGUUCCCUCCGAUCAUCAUACUUGUCCUUCAACCAAAUCUCCCCAUUCCUCCGCUUCUCGCACCUCACCCCAAACCAGGCAAUCCUCGAGGCGGUUGAUGACCACCGCCAGAUCCACAUCCUCGACUUUGACACCUAUUACGGCCUGCAAUGGCCGCCUCUCCUUCAGGCCAUCGCUGAGCGCUCCGAUCCCAGUGAUCCUCCCUUCAUUCGUAUCACCGGAACCGGAAGCAACCUGGAAGUCCUCCGACGAACCGGUCACCGGCUUCAAAACUUCGCGCACUCUUUGGGCCUAGGGUUCCAGUUCCACCCUCUUCUCCUCCAUCCCACAAGCACCAGUUUGAAUUUCACCCCCUCUCCUUUCCGACUCCAUCCCGGCGAGACCCUUGUGGUGAACUGUGUACUGUUCUUGCAUAAGUUGCAAAAGGAGGGCGGGAAUGAGGACGGAUCCAGGGAUCUACAAGCAUUUCUGCGAACCAUACGAGCGAUGAACCCGUCGGUGGUGACGGUGGCAGAGAGGGAAGCAAGCCACAACUCGCCAAACUUCAUGCAGAGGUUCGUAGAGGCGCUGGACUACUACAUGGCAGUGUUCGAGUCAUUGGAGGCGACGCUGCCCCCGACAAGCCAGGAGAGGCUGGCGGUGGAGCAGGUCUGGCUGGGGCAGGAGAUCGAGGGCAUUGUCGGCGGGGAGGGUGGCGGGCACGAGAGGUCAGAGCGAUGGGAGAAUGUACUGCGUGACGCCGGAUUCUCAAGCGUUCAGCUCAGCAACUUCGCGGUGUCGCAGGCGCGGCUGCUGCUCCGGUUGCACUAUCCUUCGGAAGGCUAUCAGGUGGAGCUGGUGAGGGAUUCCCUCUUCUUAGGGUGGCAGAACAGGCACCUCUUCUCCGUGUCUUCUUGGCGUUAAAGAACCCGGAGGAGGAGAAAAAGGAAGUUCCACACGUUGCUCAACUACAACUAUUGUUGCCAACCUACUCGUUCUUUGGUUUCGCGAUGAUUAGCCAAACCAUAUCAAAUGGGCAAGUUUCGCACAUCGAUCUAUGCAUAUCGCUGAGCGUUCGUUGUGUAGACCAUCAUUAGACACCCUGGCUGGAAACCCUAACCCUAGCUUCUUCCAUAUUCUACUGGGAGGGAGGGAGGACAAUGCGGAUGCAAUGCACGUUGCAUGGGAAGUCUCGGAAGUUGUGAACACCAAAAGUCGUCUCCUCCUGCUUCCCAAGGUAAUCUCCCUUCUGGUAGGGUUCUCUUCUUUCUGUUCUCUCUCUCUCUCUCUCUCUCUCUCUCUCUCUGCUUUAUCUUUUGCAUCCAUUUGCCUGUGAACUGUAACCAGGAUUGCUGCGCCAUUUGUUAAGUAAUCGCCUUGCAUGCUGUGGAUCAUGUAUUCCCUUUUUGUAGGUUUGCAAUGAUGUGAUUUUGGCAUCGAGGAUAUGGUUCUUUUCUUUCUUUAGGGAAGAAGCAUAUGAUGGUAGUAUUAUGUUGUGAUGUAUGUUUUUGGUUUAGUUUAUUCUGGCUAAUUGGCAACCCACCAAAUUGUUGGUAUUUUAUGUUGCAGCUUGCAGUGGCAUCUUCUCUUUUGCUUGGUGCAUGCAGGAUGCUUUUUCGUGUAAUAAUCACGCUUGGUCACCACUAACCAGUAUCAUACAAUAUGCUUGAUCAGCAAAGUCUCCUCCCAUAAACAAAUCAAGGGAAGAAAAAGCUACAAGAGGCUAGAUGUGUUAAGAUUUGAUCUACGAGAGCAAUCAUGGCGUAGUGGAUAGAGAUCCUCGUCGAUAGAUUAGGUCGAUCCCUUGUGCUCCAUUCCUGUCUUUCUAACCUUGUUUAUAUCUUGUCUUUGUGUUCCCUCAAAUCACCAAAAGAACAAGGUUACUCACAAGGCCAAAUUUGGUCACACAAGUCAUUCCAUUUGGAAGAUUUGAUCUUCCAUGUCCGAUAAGCUUGCUUGGUUUGUCCACCCCCAAAUUAAGAUAGCUUAUUAUUUCGAGAAAGAAUAUAGACUCAGAUGUGUGUAUAAAACCAAAAAAAAAAGGAUGCAAGAUCCAACUGUUUAUAGGAAUUAAUGAGAGGUCUAUCAGGAAAAAACAUUCGAAAAUAGUAUGCAAGAUCCAACUGUUUCUUGUGAUCACACAAGGCAUGCAACAUCGUUCAUACGUCCCAUCAUAUUCUCUCCUAAUGAUGAUUAAACUGCAUUCUUUCUGCCUUUAUAUCCCUCUCUUCUACCUUGAGAUAGACGAAGACCAUUGCGGAGAUAUUCUGAUGGAGGGCAGCACGGUUGGCCAGAUAUGGAUUACCAUAAAUGAUGAUAUAUAUAUAUAUAUGCACCGGGUUUUAAUUUCAUGUAAUCCUAGCGACUAAGUAACUUUGAAUUUUAUUUGUUAAUGUAAUGUUUUUUUAUCAUUGGAAUCGUCUCUGUCGUCUGAGGGCAACCGAAAAUAUAUAGACUUACAAAGUCAUAUGGCCGGCCAUCUCUGGUCAGUUGUCUCCCAAAGUUCUUCAUGACAGUAGCCAUAUGCAAGAUAGUUUAUUCUUCAAAGCGGUCUUACCUUGUUAUAUAAAACAAGACCCACCCCCCUUUUUAUAGUCAGUUCCGUUCCAUGGUGCGUGCCAAUUCCGAUGAUGCUCUCCUCGGUUCUGUUCCGAUGAUGGUGCUUGCCGAUUCCGAUGAUGCUUUCGUCGGUUCCGUUCCGUGGGACAGAAGAAGAGAUGGUGCAUGCCGAUUCCGAUGAGAAGGAAGGAAGGAAGGAAGGUAGCACAUGAAAUUAUGAACUGGAUUUGCUAAUCGCCUGCGAUGAGAAGAAGAUCAUACGAUACAUCAACUCCGAGCAUUGCACAGCACAGCCACUGCGCUUACGACAGCAUUAAAACAAGACAUUUAUUUAUGUAUUCGAGCGUUGAAAACAUAGGAAUUUAAACAAACAAUGCUUAUGCACUAUGCAUUCCACCUAUGAAUUUUUGGCCUAGCGGUUAAUAUCCUCAUGGUGAAGAGAUUAAAGAUUGAAUUAGUGCUCUAGAUUUGACGCACGAUCUAAAUUCCCCAAGUGGAAGUGGUGAUUCUUCCUAGAAAGACCAAAGAGCAGCACCGUGUAGUCAAUUUCAGAGAGGCAUGAGAUGAUGGAUGGAUGGACUGGGAAGGGAAACUACUGCAGAUGAAGAUAUGUGUAAAUGACUCUACAUCUGUAGUUGCAAUGAUUAAGGUGGGGCGAGCGAGGACGAAAGGAUGGAAUCACUUUUGCUGGAAACUGAGCUUCUUAUUUCCGUCUGCAUGCACAAGCAGUGCAGAUAGACAUCCUAGAUAUUUUGUCCAAGUGCAAGUGCCAACACUCAUGAAGGAGACAUCAUGCCCCCAUUUGCAUCGGGCCAUGGCAGAUGGUUGGUACCUUGGGACAAAGGCUUGGAACUCUACCAUGCUCCUGGUACAAAUGUGAGUAGCUUUUAGUUUCUGUGCCACACACAGCGAUCGGAUACCGAUUACCAAAGGGAUCGAUCUGAUGUUACAAACUCAGGCUUUAAUCGUUCCUGCAAUUAUUGUAGUGCUUCAUACGCUCUUGUUCUUCUUCUUCUUCUUCUGUGCAUCGUCGGGAUAAGAAGAACCUUAUUCUCUCCACUGAUUCAUCUGUGUGUGAGACGAAGGAUGAAGGAUGAGAUGUACUGGAAGGAACAAACAGGCCCGUCGCGCGUUUGCCUUUCGGAAGAGAGUGUCUGGCUCACAAGGAUCCUCUGGCGAUUCUAAAACCAUCGAUUCAUCCACCCGUAGCGUAGGAGAAGCUGUGGGAAGCAAGUGUGAAAGCGGUCUUUGCAUCUUUUCGGGCAACAGUACCCCGACAUCUGACGGGAAGAGCCAAGCUGAGAAAGCACGCAUGCAUGGUCCACCCUCACCCAGCUAGCACAGGGAGGGCGACCGGCUUCCAUUGAUGCAUCAUCAUAUCUGGGCAUCUUGUGCAUUCCUUGGGACGUCAUCCCGUGGAUUCAUGUGAUCAUCCCACCAAGUUAACUAGUAGAUUAGAUGUUCGGAUGCACCUUCCUCCCCCUUCCUCCCUGCUCGAUUUGGCCUCUUGUCAGAUUCUACAGCUGGUGACAGGGACGGAACAAACCCAGGCUUAAAGCAUGCCUCCUCCGACGAGAGGCCACCCACAUCAUGCGUAGGCAGGUAGGCAGAGAUACACAAGUAAUUAGAAUGAUUCUAAGCGGGCAGGCUUGUGUAACUGGUACACACUGUGCACACGGACGAGCUCCGGUAGAUGCUCCAAUUAGAGUGCAUCUUUGUUUUAUUUUUGUUUUUGUGUUUGUGUUGGGUUUUGAAGUGAGCUGCUGCUGCUGCUGCUGCUGCUGCCUAAGCAAUGAGAUUUUGGUACGUUGUGCAUAGAGUUUACAGCAUUACGAGAACGCACCCGUUGCUUCUCAUUUUUCUAAAGGCUUUUCCUUCGAAUGGCCGCCAGAAGGAAUAUGGUUUGACAAGUAGCGGGAGAGGAGAUGGGAAUGGGAAUGGGAAUGGGAAUGGGUCCACACAGCACCAACAACGACUGACGAGAUGAAAGUGUGUGAGCAGACAUGGAUUUAUUACUGACUGGCAGUAAUGCCAAAAAGUGUGCCCCCUCUGCAGAAUCUGACUGACUUAUUUGAGGCCCAGUAAUGAGUGUGUGCGUUACCUAAUAAUUGGCAUGCACACAAAUGCACGCCAGGUCGACGGAUGACACAAGUGUGGUGGCACGUAUAAGAUAUACACCACAGAAGAAGAAGAAGAAGAAGAAGAAGAAGAGAUGCGACAACACGCCCUCGCUCUCCAUCUUAUCAUCAUCAUCAUCUGCUUAUGCAACAGCUACCUGUAUUUAUCUGACCAUCCAUCCAUCCAUCGUACGCUCAAGCAGCAGCAUGCCAUCGACGAGUAGUAGUAGUAGUAAGUAACACGCAACGCAAAAGAAAUGUGUAUUAGCUACUGGAUCAUCGCUACACAAUCAAAUAAAAAGAAGCAUAAAUGCCAGAUUGUCCUGCGAGAUUUGCAUGCAUGGACGGAGGAUCCCCGAGAUACAUAACACAACAAAGACGACAACGACAGGCAUUAGGUUCACAGAGAGACGACGGAAGAACCAUAAAAACGGGACGGGAGGUAAGAUUUACAAGUUAAAACAGGACAUACAUAUUACUAGUAUUAUCGUCGGUCGUUGUUUCAGCAGAGAGAGCAGAAACGAGCUAAACUCCUUACCGUGCUGUGUCCACUUCUAUAAGUGAGUGGGUGAUUCACAUAAAAAAGAUCAGAGAGACAGCUCGAUAGUGGAAAUAAGAAUGCCGUCACUAUCGGCAUAUAGCCAUUCACCAUCGUGGAUGAUGGUGCCCCCGAUGUUGACUGUGACGUGCUUUUCACCGAGACCCUUCUUGUUGGAUUUGAGGGGAUGGCAUCCCAGCGCUCUGACCCCGAUGUCACAGCCAUUGAUCUCAUACGCAUCUCUGAUGCACCCGUUCACCACAAUCCCUGCCCAUCCCAUGUUCUGGGCUAAUUGCCCCAGGUUCCCUCCCACCAAGGCGCAUCUCAUGCUCCCACCACCGUCUACCACCAGAACCCGCCCAUCCCCCGGCGCCUCCAGCACCUCCCUCACCAACACAUUGUCCUCGAACACCUUCAGCGUCACUAUGGGUCCACAGAAUGCUCGGCACUGCCCGUACAUUUGAAACAAUGGUUGAAGAACUCGUAGCUCCCCCUUCGCCAGAAGCGAUGCAUUUGCAUCGCAAAGCUCAGCGGUUGCCAAUGAACCCAUCUGCAGCACAGCACAAGCCACCAUGUUCAACUAGCAAGCCAUGUAUCUUUGUCCAGCAUUAAAGGAUAACAGGAGAACAGCGGUCGUAAGGCUCUGGAUCUACUGAUGAUUGCUAUUGCAGCCACAAGCUGCGUCGGUUGGCAUUCAUUUUUCUCGCUCGGUAGAAGCAUGCAUGUGGCAGAAAACCAUCGGAAAAGAAAGGUGCACUCAAAACAGUAUAAUAAGAAUGCAAUACACAGUUGAUGGAUGCUCGGCGACAAAAUAAACAAACGAAACAGCAUUUAGCGCAAUCUGACCACUCAGGAAUUUCGCCAGAUUGUCGGCAAAUUUCAUAUAAGAGAAAAAUAAAAUGUUAUUUGAGAGUCCUUAUUAGGUAAAUAAUGUGAUAGGAUUCUGUAUUUGAAAUCCUUUUACUUUCUUUAUUAUGGACCCAAAACAAGCUAGAUGGAAAAUUCAAGUUAUUGGCCAAAUGGCACUCCGACUUGGCUGCUUUAGUAGAAGAGGAAAGAUGACAUUUGUUGCUGUUAAGCAAGACUUCCAAGAACCAAGAUUUCUGGUAUGCAUGCACUAACUAGCUCACCUAAAGCAGCAACCAAACAAAUUAUGAAGAUCUACAAGACAGAACUAGAUAUGAUCAACAGCACCAGUAAAAUCACUAUUCAGUUGGGAGGAUUCCUGAUGUUUUUUCAGUGUUCAGUAGUAUUCCCCAUCAGUCCAUGCACAGAUCCACCAAUGGGAAUCUUUUUUAGGCUGGCCUUCUGAUUCUGUCUGCUUUGGUGCAUACUGAUGCUUCCUUUCUAUAGGAUGGGUCUUUUAUCUCUUCCCUUUUUUAUCAGAGGCUAGGUUCGGUCACAUUCUUCCGAUAGCAAAAUAUACUAUCACAAUCUUAUGUGACAAGAUCCAGCAAUAACAUUCCAGUCCAUUUCGGUCGAUGUCGACAGUCAUAGAUUUCUUGCCUCAGACCACACUUGUCUUACCACUUUAAUUAAAUGUUCCCCCAAAAGUCCCCACAGGAAGUGGCUGUAUGGACAGAUUGGUCGGUGCACUGUGAAGGCAAAUCCCACAAUGAAACUUUCCAAGGGUUUGAUAGUUCUUGCAUUUUACACUCUUUGUAGAAUGAAGGCAAUGCUAUAGACCUUUUGAUACCCUAAUCUUAAAGAGAAAACUAGAUGAAGAAACGGCUACACUUGAAAUAUUUGGUGCCCUGAGGUAUCAGCUUAAAAGCUGAUAAACUCGAUUUUUCAUUCUCCUGAUGUUUUCUCUUCCUUUGUUAAAUUCAUUUUCUUGUUCUUUGGUUGGCAAGACUUUUGUGUCUUUUGUUACAUCGAUUCCUUCUACCAAAUUUUACAUGAAGAGCAAGUGGAUGAACUAAAAUGUCAUACUCAUGGAAAGAAGAAACACCAAAGCAAUAUGAAAAGGUUAAAAAAGAUUAUAUUAAUUUCAAAUUUAGAUUACCCGAUUGACAUAUCUUACUUACACAAUGGUUCAAGAAACGAAAGGCAAAAUUGAAGUCGAUCAGCAAAAACAGGAAAGGAUCGCAUGACGCAUUAACCCCUUUCGUUUUAAUUGGAAUCAAAAAUAAUUUUGUUGGUUAUUCCAGUCUCCAAGAAAAAAGAACUAAAAGAAUCUGCUCCUUAACUUUCCUCUCUAAUUUUUCUCAUCUGAUCUCUAAAUAAGAAUGCAUACUUAGAGCUAAAAGAAUAUGCUCCUUAACUUUCUUCUCUAAUUUUUCUCAUCCGAUCUCUAAAUAAGAAUGCAUAAUCUUUGGUACUUUGGUGCCAGCCCAUCAAUCAAUUGUCUCUGCGAGUUACCUGAUACAGUGAUUCUUUCUUGUUUUGCUUCCAUAUGUGCCAUGUAUCAAACUAGGAACUCUUGUCCUUGGUAGUAAUUGGAUUGUCAUUGUGUGAGAUAUAAUGGUAACAUAUACGCAUAAGAGACUUUGUGAACAUCAUGAUCUGCCCAUUGAUAAAUCAAUUGUCCGUGCGAGUAUUUAGAUUGUCAUACUGUGAGAUCUACUAAUAAACCAAUUGCACCUAAGAGACCUAUGCGAGCAUCAUGAUCUGUCCCUUGAUAAAUUAAUUGUUGUCUAUGCCAUCUACAAGAGAUUGACGUGAGCAUCAUGAUGCAACCUUAAUAAAACAUCUAUGUCAUCUCGAUUCCUUCUUCUACAUCAAUUAGAGCUCCAAGAAAAGAUGGCACACCCCUGUUGAAGAUGCGUUCAAAAAUACAUGGUAGAAUACUAACAAAAUGAUCUGAUUUUUUUUUAUCAUAUCACAAUUUAAUCCGCACAUGAAGACCCUCCUACAACAGAAGUCUUUUAUUCUUGUACUACUUUAUAAGCAAGCAUGAACUAAUGAUGCACAUGCAUCAAGCAAGAAGCCUAUGGUAUCAUCUUUCUCCUGAUGUCUAACUCACUGCACUGAGCAGAAAACGGUAGCUACCAGUUGCUAUUUAUUGGAAAGUAAGACCUUUGCCGCUUGAUCUAUCACCAAGAUGGACUCUAUCAUGGUUUUUCUGCUGUUUCGCGCAUACAAAUAAGACACUCAGACAAAUUUAUAGAUUGUUUUGGACCACACAUUGAUUCCAAGCAACAGUCAAAAACUCGAGUCUCCAAAAUCCAGUCCUGAAACAUCUUUUGAUGCAUGAAAAUCCAUAGCAAAACAAUCGAAGUCUGGUGUACGUUUUCUCCAUAAUAAAGCAUGCACCUCAGGCAAAAUUACCUGAAAACAUCUACCUACCCGUGAAUAGCACCAGACAUUCCGUGGACAGAUCAAACUCUAAUGGUCAAUUCUGCUGGUUGUCCGACGGCAAGAAACACGUGACAGCCCUGACUAAUCUGAAAAUGAUGACAGAUAGAACUUGCCACUGCACAGUAAUACGCGACGUGCACUAUUGCCCAUCAUAAUUUCGAUCCCUUAAAUCUACUAGUGUCGAACAGCCAAAAAACAUAACCAAACGUAAAGCGUGAUCAAGAAUUCUGAACAAGAAAAAGAAUAAACACGUAUGAGGGAACGUAAGUUCUUUUGGACAAUACAACAAGCAUCUAAAGCGCACUGAAGAACAGCGAGAUUGGACACCGCUUAAAUUAACAGGAAUUUAAAAGCGCAUCUCUACGCAGAUUUCAUACCUGGCAAGACCGCAAAAGGCGAAACAAGGUGUUGCCGAAUUGGAGGUGGUCUCAGUGGGAUCUGCUGGAGCGCGGGGACUGCCGUAUCCCUAUCGGAACUGGGGUGGGAUAUCGUCCUGGAUCAGAAUGGAUGAGGCAUAAGACGGGGAUGCGGCAUGGUUGGCGGCAGGAAGUUAGAGCUUUUGAAACGGCUUACGGAGUUGGGUCUGACACGCACCCAUACCCCGUCCCGAUAAAGACGGCGUAGGCAUAUACCAUCGAGAGGAUCCCCAGCCAACCGAUGGGUGUAGCUUUGACUGAAGACCACCACCAUGGAUUCUAUCCUGGCAGGCGAACUGUUCCCAUCUUCAUCCAGUCUAUCGCCUUUUUACCGGCACGAAGGGCAAAGGGACUCCCUCAGAUUCGUGUUUGACGACGAGGGGGAGGCAGCAGGACUAUUCCUUGCACAUGAUGGACGCAGGUCAAUCAAAUCUACUUGGUGUGAUUCCCACAAAAAGAGGAAAGAGACACGAGGGUGAUGUAGUCAAUUCCGAUGGGCUGACCGACUCCGCACGUGGCGUACCACUACAUCAUUCAUUCUCUUGAUGCCACGCCACUACGAUCUACAUACCACCACGACCCACGUCAGCUAAAUCUCUCUCUCUCUCUCUCUCUCUCUCUCUCUCUCUGUGUCACACACACACACACACACAGUUGCAUCGCAUGGAAGAGCAUAAACAAGGAACAGGGAUCACAAAGGAUAUUGCAGCAUCUCGCACCACACUGAACCCUGUUUACAACACCGCAACACACGAUGAUUUGCAUUGAGAAACGAAUAGUUGCAGCAACGAAUCAAGGUGGCAGAGACAUUGAAUUUUGUGCAGCGUUCGUUCAACAUAUAACAAUGCACCAGGAACAACAUAACCAGAAGCUAUACCACACGGCAGGGAUAUGCUGAACCUAACACUAGUCAACAUAAAUGAAAACAAUUCGCAUGUUGUAUGCACAAGUCCCUCUGGUAGAAUUCUAGAAUCCCUUUUAUUGAUUAAGCUACCAGAUAUCUGUCGACAAUCUUCCGCAGAGGAUCAUGCUACCUGACUCUAUUCUUCGCCUCUGUCUCAGCCUUUCACAAAGAAUAUCUUCACUUUGCUUUAAGCUGAGAUACUCUUCCAUGUCAAAUGAAGACGCGGUUGUUCUGCUAUUAUAAGAAUUCCCCUGGUGGUUUUCUGCUCCAAACUUGCUCCUACUUGGGUCGCUAGAAACUACAGAAGAGCUGUCAGUGCCAUCAAAGCUCCGACUCCCAAAACUGCUUGCAAUUUGAUAGCAAUUACUGAAACCAGCACUUGCUUCCUGCAAAAAAUUUAGCUCAAGACUGUCAUUUAACUAAAUAGUCAGAGUCAUAACAUGAUAAGAUUCAAGCCAGGUGCUGUAACAAAUGCACAAGCCAAGUUUCAGCAUCAUCUAGGGAGGGGUCAAGUCCCAUGUGAUGAUAUACUUCACCGACAGGCUUCUUCAAAGAUUACAGGGGAAAGAAAUCUAACGACCAUCCAAAUAGAUAAAACUGUCUCAGAGAGAAAAUGUGAAAGAGGUGAAACCUUAAAUCUACUAGAAAAAUCAAUCGUUCGUACUGAAAAACAUCAAAGCAAAUGUAACUCACAAAUCCAAACCUUUUUAUGCUUUGUGCACGGGAUUUUCAAUUUUAACAGAAUGCAUGAACUUGGGAAACUUUCUAUAAAUUCCAAUGUCAAAAGAGCUCAAGAACGAAACAUAUUGGUUCAAAAUGGAAGGUCAGCUGCAAACUGAAAGCAUGCUUUUUGGAGCAAUGGAACAAACUAGAAGAGGAUAAGAAAUUCUUAUCUCAAGUUAUACCAUAGUGUUUCAUAUGAAGAUUAUUUUCAAAAUGAUGGUGAAACAAGAAUCCGAGCAGACCAACAUAUACAUCAAUGAAUAGUAUCAGUAAUCACAUGUUGAUAUCUUCAAGUUUGUUCAGCACUCAGACAACUAAAGAAAAAUAAUAUUCCCAACUUUCACAGUCCAUUCAGAUCCAAAAUGAGAAAAUGAUUACCCUAACAAUGCUACUGGCAUAGUAAAUGAGAAGAAACUGUAAAGAUCAAAAAGACCAAAAAUAAAUAAAAAAUGUGCUGGAAGUGCUGCAGUGCAUAACUUAUUUCCUGAGGAGACAGACAAUCCUACCUUGCUUUUGCAUGGUGAGGAAGGAGCAACACUAGUUUCCCACUCCAACCAGGGAAGUACAACACCGUCUCCAUCAGCAGGCAGAGGAGCAGUUUUCAAUACUCUUUCAUAAGUUCCCGCUACAGAAUUACGUAAUCCAGGAUCUCUUACGAUUGAACUAGCAUCACUUCUUUCUUCAUCGAAAGAAGAUAUGUCUGUAUCUUCAACAUUGAAAAGGAAAUCUUCAAAAUACUUCUCUGCCUCUUCAUUCAAGCAUUUAGACAGUCUUGUUCUAUCUUUGCUCCUCUGGGUAAUACUUUAAUCUAUUAGAUAUGAUGUCAUAAGAACGUAUAUGCUUUUAAUCAUUAUAUACAAUAGAAUUCUUACUCUUCUGGACUGUGAUUGCCUUUCUGGAACAACAGAUAUUUUUGGCGAAGGAAGCAACUCUUUGACAAUUUUGCUAAUCUCCUGACCACGUUCCUCCUCCAUUGCUAACUCAGCCAAUAAAUCCUGCUUGCGCUUCUCUGACUGAAGUACGUAUAAAUAUUAGUCAAAAUAGAACUAACAUAAAUCAACAUUGCACUUGAAAGGUCAACGAGACCUUUCCACAUAUCAUUAUCAAAUAGGCAUCUCAAAGUGGAAAAAGGUAAAGGACCUAACCCAAUAUGCCAUAUACCGAUUGCUAGAGGAAGACAAGUGUCAUUCCACAUGACAGAGAAGUAAUUAGUGUGCCACAGAGUCCAAGUAUCAUCAUGUUCAAAGAGGAAUUCUAUAUUCUGUGUUUAUAAAAUGACUGACAGAAAAUGGUUUCUUUUUUUUAAAGGAUAUAUAGAGAAAGAAGAAGAAUGACCAAUUGAGGAUACAUUUAUCCUAGCCAAUGAACAAAACAGAAUCAAGACCAUGAGACCCCUGGGGAAUCAACAUAACAGUUUAUAGGUAUUCUUUAUCUCAAAAAUUAUUAAAGACAUGUUUGAAUUUUAAUUUGUCUUACAAUUUCAAGGAAAACAGGCUUAUAUGAACCAUCUAAAGACACUUAGUUCAUAAAGACACAAAAAGAAUUUGAAUGAGUUCCAAAAAUGACAGUUUAAGAAAACCGUUCACAAAGGCUGCACCAUCACUAGCACCCACAAAAAUAAGUUUAACAUGCCUGCUCCAGUUUGGUUGUGUAAUUUCUUCUGAUCUCAGAAAUAGCUUCCAGAACUUCUGAACCCUUCGGUCGGAUACUAUCAUCACUGAUGAUGGCUGAGGCUUCAUUGUUCAACAUGACCUAUACAAAAUAUGAGAUAAUUGUAUUGUCAAGAAUUUGUCUGAGUCCAUGUUGAUGCAGGAAAGAUGAUAAGGACAAGAUAAGACAAAAGGUGCAGUGAAACAACCAAUAAGACUACAGGAAUGAAACAGAAAACUAAAUAUGGCUUAUCAAAAUUAAGACAUGAGAUCAAAACUGACAAAUGAGCUCGACGGAGGAGCAAACAUGCCUUUUGAAGCUCUGUCCUGAUCUCUUCAACUGCAUGUCUGACUUCUUUACGCACAACUUCAUAUAAUCCAAUACCCUCGUCAUCCCCUAUGGGAUUUUCUCCCUGAAAAUGCAACAAGAACCACAAAGGCUUGCAGUUUAUUCAAACAGAAUAGCAUUACUAUGACAUUACGAUUCUCAGAUUGUUUCAGAUGGUGGACAUGACUAUAAGACACCUUUUCCUGGGCAUAAACCGCCUGGAUUGUCUUCUCAACCCCAUGCUUCCUUGAAUGAAAAUCCCCAGCUUCAACAUCAGUUAAUGAAGAAGAAUGGCUCUGUUAGAAAAAAAAAGAAUAUAUUAAUGUCUGAUCAGUUGUCAAAGACAAUAUACAAAAACAAGGUUGAACUGUACUGUUUGAUGGUCAACAGAGUGCAGAAUGGCAUGAAUACAAGAAUGUCUAUGCUAAAGAUCCAUUUCUUCUUCUAACAACCUGUUUCCCAUUCUUACUUAUGCUCACAUCGACACCGUCUAAAUAUUAGUUCAUGAUCAUGUAAAAUAUAAGAGAAUUUACCGAGUAGCUAUCUUGUGAGUGGAAGAAAUCCUUGUGACUCAUUGUCCUUUUUAAAACAUCAACAUUAUUCACAGGCCUAUGUGAUGAAGGCUGCUGCAAUAUACCAUUGUCCGAAAUCCUUGAUAUGACUUGAGUGCUGGAACUGAGAGAAUCCAUGUCAUUCUGUAGUCAAGAAGAAGAAAACUAAUAGUAAGUCCUCUUUUGACAUUAGAUCUAACUAAACAACUUUAAAUCCUAACUUUUGAAGCUUCAAAUACUUGAUGCAAAAGCGAUAACAUAUAUUAUAUAACUGACGAGUUCAUGCAGGUUCAUACAUUGGAGAAUGAGGGCUGAUGAGGGUUACAUGCAAAAAAUGGUACAAGCUAAAGGAUAUCAUUCUACUUUACCAACCAACGCCCACAUAGAACAAUAGUCAAGGUAUCUUCAAUGGAAUUAGCUGAAUGUUUGACACCAAUAUGAUAGAUGUUUAAACUAAACCAUUCUUUUAAUUCUUUUCUGAAAAGUAAGUAGCAAGUUGCUGCAGAAAUUUGUUCGAUGAUGGUUGGCUCUUAGCAAAUGUUUAACCAGAAAACCAUGUCAAAAAAUGCUGACGAAUAAAAAGAAAAACAUAAGCAGCAAAAUCAGAAAAAGAUUAACAUAAUGCCACAACUGCAAAACCCUUGACUUAAAAAAAUUAUAUAACACAUUAAUAAAGAAGAUACUAUCGAGGUUGUGGCUUUGAGAAGGCUAAGAUGUACAGAAACCACAAGUCACAGCAAUGAUAUAGCAUGUUGUAUAACCUUUAUCUACCCUUAUAAACAUGGAAACACUACCAUCAGAGUAAACUUUGAGUAUGUUUACUGCAUCAGAUGCUAUCAGAAGUACAUCAAGCUUUGAUUGGACAACAAGAAGCACCUGUUGAUCCAGUUGCAUAGGAUUUUGAAUAUUCCACCAGCAAUAUUUGCCAAAUUCUGAUCGCCAACCACCAGCCAGCUUACUGCCUUAAAAAGAGACAUAUUCAAUUUGGACAUGUACAUAUCCAUUUUGCAUAUGAUACUCUUUUCUUUGGAUAAAAACAAAAGACCUGAAUUUUGGCAGCCACUUUGAAGGUCAUAAAUGCUCUUAGCCACUUAUUUCUCCUAGCAGUAGAACCAUAUAAACAAUCUUCUACUUUGUUAACCACCAUGUAAGAGCGAUUCAUUAAAUUAGUAAAGAUAUUAGAAAACAAAAAGGAACCCCAAGGCAUGAUGAUCACGCCAAUUAUGGAGCCUAGAGAGGAUUUAUGUACAUAGCCUUCCAUCUAAUUUGAUUUCAUGACUCAAAUUCUAGUUACCCAAAAAAGACAUUCUUUUCCCUAGUGUUGUUUAACACAAAAUCCAAGUAGCAAAAACUCAUUCCAUCGACUAAGAAACUAAGAAUAGAGAUGUCGAACUGUGAACGAAUAAAAAAUGCAUUCGAGGGCUAAUCCAAUAUGCUAUCGAGUCAAGCAGUCAUGACAAAUCAAUCUCUGAUCAAUAAAGAUUAUUCCAAGCUGAAUACAUAUGUGAUGUUUCCAUACCAAGGAAAAGGACUUUAAAAGGAGAAUCCAGGAUGAUCGAUUUGUCCAGAACUUGGCAUCGAUCCAAUCAUGAUGGAUGUUUACGCACACGAGUCAGUCAACUAUCUGGUGAAGAAGCAUUUCCUCCUUCCAUGGUCAUUCUAUACCGGAGACUCGUCGGACUACUCACAUGAUCAUAUUUUUCCCAGCAAAUUGUUUCUCUUUCCGUGGACUACGUAGUCGUUUAGUAAUCCGAUCACAAGGGCAACAGAGCGAACGAAAGAUCAUACGGUGGUCAUCGGACGCCAAAGAUUGCAAAUUUAGACAAUCUAGAUGAUCGCGGGGAGAGACAGGUACCUCGGAGUCGCUACACCGAUGGCGAGCAACGGAGACAGAUCGCCGCCGCCUUAACACACUAUUCGAGACGCCCUUCGGCGGUCCAGUUCGGCACUGGGGGGGCCUCGUCACGGACCUUCCGCGCCGACCAGACGACUCCGUCUUUAUCGGGUAGCUCGUGACGGAAUUGCGGCACCUGGACCGUGCAUCGGAGGGCUCGCUCUCCUCCUCCUCCGACUCGGCCCUCGCCCGGAAGAACUCAUCGACGACGUCAUCGAGGCUGAUCUCCGGGAAUACGCACCCGCGCGCCUCGUUGACGAACCUGCCGGGGGGCGUCGGAAAAUCUUCCGCAUCCGGCUGAGACGGGGGGAACCGGCCGGAGAAGCGGCUGAGGCUCCUCGACCGUCGGGGUGGCCCGCCGCUGCCGGAAGAACCGGUGUCGCGUGCGGAGCGGGCAACGGCGCGCCCGCCAAUCGAGGAUCGGCCCGUGGCCGAUCGGAAAGCGGCCGUCGUCAUCCCCGGCGUGAACAGUAACGUCUGAAGGAGGCGAAGAGAUUUGGAAACGGGGGGGGGGGAGAGAGACGGCGGCGGAGGGACCAAAGUUUUACGUUUUUUUGAGACAUUUACCUAGAAAAGCCACGUUUUAUGAACUAAUGUCAUCGUAAUGGGGGUAAAUUAUAUUAUAUUUAUAUUAUAUUAUAUUAUAUUAUAUUAUAUUAUAUUAUAUUAUGAUAACAUUAUUCAAAAUAUGUAAUAUUGAAUCGACAAAAUAUUCUCUUUCGGCGUCGUUGGAUCAACAAAAUAACAACAUUCCUCCAUUCUCGUCAUCUACAAAACACAUGAGAGUAGAUAUUAAAAUAGCACAUGGAGCCUUGGUGUUAUUAUGUUUGCCCUCCUCAGUCAGUCCCACCUAAGACGCUGGUGGUAGGCGGAAGGACGGAAGGUUUCUCCUCCACUGUUUGCUUUGCUGAGUAUAGGCGCCUCAUUCGAAGUUCAAACCCGUGGAGUGGAGGGAUUUAUGUGUGACAGUGAACGGACGUCCGGCGGGGAAUUAAAUAUUUAUCGGUGUGUGACGAGCUACCGUCUUCUUCAUAUAGCUGAAAUUGAACAUGAACAUUUUAGAGGGGAUGAGAUGGGAAAGGCUUCGGUUGGAAAGCAAAUUACGCACGAGCACAGAGCAUAACGUAUGUAUGCUGGUACACUGGCAUUCACACUGGCUAAUAAAAAUAUUUUAUUUGACUAUUACUAAUAAUAAUAAUAAUAAUACAAUUGUACCUUGUGGAUUACAUCGUGGAAUUCCAUAAGUUACAGUUAAUGCUUCGACAUUAAUUGUUAAUGUCCAUGUCGACGGCUCAUGCUUUCAUGUGAGAAGUUGGUGGUGUAUGAAUUAUAGGAGAGAAUCCGACGGGAAUUCACUCACAAUUCGAAGACGACGGCCAGUUCGAACCGUGGGGAUGGGGUGCAAGCAGCGAGCUCGUGAGAGCAGCGGACGGUAUAUGCUCGUGGGGAGUCAUCGGAGAAGAGGUCAAAGCAGCAAUAGAGUGGAGGAGAAGUCUCACUUACACGGGGCAGGCAGGGUAUUCCAUGAAUCGGUCAUAUAUACUUCAGAAGUCACACACGUAUGAAUACAUGAUAUAAGCAACAACAUGGAUCGGUAAUACGUAUGCUCCGGAAGUCACAUGUAUGAAUACAUGAUAUAAGCAGUAACAAAAGGUGGAGGAGAAGUUACAUGUACACAAGGCAAGCAGAGUAAUUCAUGGAUCGAUCAUACAUACACUUCAGAAGUCAUACACAUAUGAAUGCAUGGUAUAAGCUACAAGAGGUGAAGGAAAAAUCACACGUACACGAGGCAAAUUGAGUAAUCCAUGGAUUGGUCAAGCGUACGCUCCGGAAGUCACACGUAUGAAUACAUGAGAGAAAUCACAUGUACAUGAGAUAGGCAGGGUAAUCCAUGGAUCGGUCAUACGUAUGCUCCGGAAGUCACACGUAUGAAUACAUGGUAUAAGCAAUAAUAAUAGGUGGAGGAGAAGUUACACGUACACGAGGCAGGCAGGGUAAUUCAUGGAUCGAUCAUACAUAUGCUUUGGAAGUCACACACGUAUGAAUACAUGGUAUAAGCAACAACAAGUGGAGGAGAAAUCGCGUGGUAUAAGCAGCAACAGGUGGAGGAGAAAUCACACGUACACGAGGCAAACAGAGUAAUCCAUGGAUCGAUCAUACGUACGCUCCAGAAGUCACACGUAUGAAUACAUGGGAGAAAUCACACGUACACGAGGUAGGCAAGGUAAUCCAUGGAUUGGUCAUACAUAUACUUCUAAAGUCAUACGUAUGAAUACAUGGUAUAAACAGCAAUAGAAGAUGAAGAAAAAGUUACACGUAUACGAGACAGGUAGGAUAAUCUAUAGAUCGAUUAUACAUAUACACCGAAAGUCAUACACAUAUGAAUACUGAUAUAAACAGUAACAAGUGGAGGAGAAGCCACACGUAUAGAAGAUAGACAGGAUAAUCGAUGGAUCGGUCAUACGUACACUCCGAAAGUCAGACGUAUGAAUACACGAUAUCAUUAGCAUGCCGAGUAUUUUGGACGUAGUUUUCCUGGGCGGUGGCGGGGGCCCCGCACGGAAUCAAACCAAAACAAGAAUGGGCCCUUUCUCGUGAGCCGCGCCAACAGCCAGCGGCCUAAGCUCCCACGUGAUCCUAUCGCCCCACCCAUACGCCUACGGCUUUCCCGCCGGCCACGUGGCAUAUCGCCUUCCCCGUCCCCCGGUAGGAUCCCACGCCGCUGCCUUAACGGACGGACGCUUCGGUGGACACGCGUACGGUUUGCUCCAUUUGUUGGGAUUGGACGUUAACCAAGUCAUCAUAUUAAUCGAAUUGAUUAAUACUCAACCAGUGCACGAGCUUUCGAUCGAGAAGCGUCGCCUCACAACUUGUGCUUCUAUUUACUCCACUCGCUCGCUCUUUAUAGCGCAGACGAGAAAAGCUCCGUCGCUCGUUUACGAAACCCGGCGGUGCGAUGGCGGCGAUGGGAAUCGCAAAAUUACCGCCGCUCAACAAUUCCGUUCAUCCUGCCCAUCGGAAAUCUCCGACGCCCUUCCUUGCAUCUUCCGAUCCCCGCCUUUCCUCUUCCUUCCACGUCUCCGGUGGAAACGAUAAUAUCCUCCUCCUCCGUAAGGCGGCGAUUGCGUCAGGGCGGAGGACGGCGUCCGGUGCGAGGACCCCGGUCCUGGUCUCCCCCAAAGCCGUUUCCGACUCGCGGAGCUCGCAGACUUGCCUCGAUCCUGAUGCAAGCCGGGUGAGUUUGCGUGGGACGCACAUUUGCCUCACAUGCCCACAAGGUUUCUUUAGAAAGAUUUUGUCAUCGGAAGCGAUCUUGGAAUGGUUCUCGGUGAAUUGCUUGAUGUGGUUGAUUGCUUGAUGUGGUUGAUUGCUUGUUUCUGUGGCAAAAUUAAGCUACCAAAAAAAUUUUUUUUUUUUCUUCUCUUCUCUUUGUCCGCCGCUAGGUUCGUAGAAGAGUUGUCGGGUCUACAUACUUGGGUUACAUCAAGGUCGAUGAUUGUUCUCGAAUGUUGUUAUCAACCAUUUCGUAGAUCCACAUUAUAUCCUUUCUUGUCUUUUAAGACGACCCUUUUUUAGCUUUUUUUUUUCUCUUUCUUCCCAAAUAUUGACUGGAUCGAGCUUUUAGAUUUUUAAUCGAGUUAGAAAAUAAAAAGGAGAAACGAUCGGUGAUUUGGUGAAGAUUUGUUCAUCAUUUAGAAACGAAAAGGACGCAAUUACCUGAAGUACAUGUUCAUAAGAAAUUUAUCAGGUUUCUGCCUAGGAAAGCAAAUCGGCCAAGGCACGAAUCGAUUCCAUCGGUUAAAAGUUCUACAACUUAUGGAAACCCAAUUUAUGAUUCUCUCAGAUCUUAUGUACCUUCUUCAAGAUAUGCAGGAGAUAUUGACUACUAGCAUAAGACGAUUGGAGGGUUGCCUAUUUUCUACAAGUUGCUAAUCGAACACAUUGCAAAUAGGAUCGAUCAUAUAUUUCACAAGCCAAAAGCGAAUUCUAUGUUUCAGAAGAAACUUACCUGCGAUAGUGUAUUUGACUAUUAUUUAUGUUGGUUUUCUUGAAAUAUUUGGAAGUACAUGCAGAUUAUUCUCAUCUUUAAAAAUGUAGCUUCAAACUUAGCCUGGAGCACAGGUGGUUGAUGGUUUUAUUUAUAUGAUUCAACAUGAUCACCUCAUGCACAUCUUUGUGGAUGGUUAUUUUCUAGAAUUUGUUUGUUUUUUUGUGUGUUUUCUUAAUUGUCAUGUGAAUAUUUAAGAUAAUUAAGUUUUGAAAUGGUGAAUUUUUGUUUUCUCUCCGCAGAGUGUUUUGGGUAUUAUACUUGGGGGAGGAGCCGGGACGAGGUUGUAUCCUUUAACAAAGAAGAGGGCUAAACCUGCAGUACCACUUGGAGCCAACUACAGGCUAAUCGACAUUCCUGUCAGCAAUUGCUUGAACAGUAAUAUUUUAAAGAUCUACGUUCUGACACAAUUCAAUUCUGCGUCUCUGAACCGCCAUCUUUCACGGGCCUAUGCGAGUAACAUGGGUGGGUACCAGAAUGAAGGCUUUGUUGAAGUUCUUGCUGCACAACAGAGUCCAGAGAACCCAAACUGGUUUCAGGUGCUAUGACAUCUUGGUCUUUUCAUCUCAGUUUGAAUUUACUUGAAAUAAAGGCUUGGUUCUCUAUUCGCCAUCUAAUUGUUCCUCCUUGCUCUUAAAUAAGGUUUGAUAUAUCAGAUCCUGUGAGGAGUCUCGUUUUUUGAACUUUUUUAUCCUUUUAGUAGUUCCAACUAGACAAAGACUCCUGCCUUAAAUGUCAGGAGUUCAAACUAAGAGUUUUAUUCGCUGGCUAAAUGCAUGCUGUUUACCAUGUGUUCCUAGGGUACUGCUGAUGCUGUAAGGCAAUACCUGUGGCUCUUUGAGGAGCACAAUGUCAUGGAGUAUCUAAUUCUUGCCGGAGACCAUUUGUAUCGCAUGGACUACGAGAAGUUCAUUCAAGCGCACAGAGAAACAAACGCUGAUAUUACUGUGGCUGCGCUUCCAAUGGAUGAAAAACGUGCAACUGCUUUUGGUCUGAUGAAAAUUGAUGAAGAAGGACGGAUAAUUGAAUUUGCAGAAAAGCCAAAAGGAGAUCAGCUGAAGGCGAUGAAGGUAGAGACUCUUUCAGUAGUGUUUUCUUGGAUUUGUGAGACCAUUCAUCGUUGUGCAGUUCACAAAGUUUAUUACUUGUCCUUAUAAAAUUAUUGAUCGGUGAGCGGCAGGUCUUUAGUCCUAAUAAGUCUGUUUUGCUUUUUAUUUUUACAGGUUGAUACCACAAUUUUAGGCCUGGACAAUGAAAGAGCAAAAGAGAUGCCUUUCAUUGCUAGUAUGGGUAUCUAUGUGAUCAGCAAGGAUAUAAUGUUGCAGUUGCUUCGUGAUAAAUUUGCUGGAGCAAAUGACUUUGGGAGUGAAGUUAUCCCUGGUGCAACUAAUGUUGGGAUGAGGGUAUGUCUGAUAUAUUGAUCUACAGAUGAUACAUUUAUUUAAUUUUCCUAAUGUUUAUUUCUUUGAGAUGCUUGGAAGUGAGUAACCCCACAUAACAGCAAAAAGGCAUUGCAAAAUCACCCUUACCAAGAUGAGGACUUGCCAAAAACUUAUACAACUUCCAUGGCACAUUAUAUGCUCUAUAUCUGUUCAUUCGAUACAUUUUUCAUGAAAUAAAUCCAAUUGACUCAUUAACUUAAUAGGACCAAAUCUGAAACCAGAAAACCCAAAAUGGAUUGAGUCCAAACUAAUGAUAGUAAGUCCAUAUGGCCAUUUAUGACAUCAUAAUAGUUUUCUCCCUGAAAACCCAAAAUAGUGGUUAGUGGAUCCAUCUAGUCUUAUAAAUCGCCAAAAUCAUUUUACUUCCAGUGUGAAACCACUUGGGGUGUCACAGUACUAGGCUGAGUUGGGUCAUCUGUGUGUGUUAGGACCACCAUUAUUUUAGUAUUCCUAUAUCAUUCUCUAAAAAAUUAUUGAAACCUGCAAACUAUUAAAGAUUACAUGCUUUUAAAAGUACAAGUUAUUCCACAUGGUUUAUGUAUGACUCGAAUAACCUUGCUUUAGCUGGAAGGCAUGUUUUUCAUACCAUGCUGUCGUUUGACUUGUGCCUUUGCUGCCAUGUCAGAGCCAGUCAAUGCUCCAACUAUUUCAUGUGUAUGAUGCUGUCUUGUCCUUGUGGCCAGUUGGCAACACUCACAAGGUGCACUCUAGCCAACAUGGGAUCAUAUGGCAUGGGCAAUCAAUUUUGCAACCAAAAUAGCUCCUCUACAUUUAAAUUUCUCAAACAUACAGUACUCAGAUGCUAGAUCUUUAUGAUUCUCAGUUAUUUUCAGAAUAUCAGUGACCAAUCUUAAUUGUUUUAUUUUGAACAACAGGUACAAGCUUAUUUAUAUGAUGGUUACUGGGAGGACAUUGGUACAAUUGAGGCAUUUUACAAUGCAAAUCUUGGAAUUACUAAAAAGCCAGUACCAGAUUUCAGGUAGAUUACUCAGAAGACAAAUAAGAUAAUGUGCUUUUCCAUGUUCACAGGCAUGUCAUGCUUUAGUAACUGAUUGAAUCUUAACUUGAUUUCAGCUUUUAUGAUCGUACAUCUCCAAUUUAUACACAACCCCGAUAUUUACCUCCUUCCAAGAUGCUGGAUGCUGAUGUAACUGAUAGCGUGAUUGGCGAGGGAUGUGUGAUCAAGGUGAGUUCACUGCAUAUCAAUCUUUUUCUUCUUUUUUUUUUGUCUGAGAUUUGUUUUACAACUAGUCGUUAAUAUAAGUGAAAUAUGCCCUAUAAUUUAAUUACCAUAUGUGAAUUAAACAAUAUGUAACAUAACUUUGUAACAUAGUUUCUGGGAGCUUAGUUUUAUGUUGUCUCGUAUCAAUGACUAGGUAAUAUCAGAAAUUUAUCUGCUACAAGAUCUCAAUCUAUCUGGUUCUUGUGAAUUCAUUACUGUCUGCUGCUUUAUAACAAUUUGUAAGUGACGUUUGUUAUUCAUACAGAAACAAUGUAAUGCAUGCCUAUUUACAUGUUCGACAUGAAUGUAAUGUCUAAAUGCGAGUAUUAAGUGUUUCUUUCUUUUUUCUUUUUUUAUUUCCUGGGUGGACUUGGGACCCAUAGAAGCACAGUUAUCUCGCAUUCUUUUUUGUAGAAGCAAAAAAUGCUUGGAAACCUAAUUGCAGGCGAACUGGCUAUGUGGUGUUGGUAAAGUAAUAAAGAGAUUACAAUUUAUACCGUAAGAUGUGCAACAGUAUAGCAUACUGAUGAUUGCUGUGUAUUACGUAUCUUUUCUUCCAUGUGCCUUGCGUGAUUUUCUUUGUGCGACACUGAAUGCUUAAAUUCCAGCACAUGGUUGACAUUUAUAUGAUGAUCUUGUGUGUGUGUACGUGUGUGCGUGCAUGCUCAUGCACAAGCACACUUGUAUUUCUCAUAUGUGCUUUUUUACUCCAUAGCUCUGCCUCCAUACAUGUCUACUAAAAAGUUAGGUCCUGGGAUUAUCCUGUUUCAUUUCAUUUUGGAAGUGCCAGAUGGCUAAACUCUCAAAAUUUUAAAAAGACUACUUUCAUGUCCCUGCAGAACUGCAAGAUCCACCAUUCUGUAAUUGGUCUUCGUUCUUGUAUAUCAGAAGGUGCAGUCCUCGAAGACACUCUACUGAUGGGAGCAGAUUAUUAUGAGGUAAUGCCAUAGAAAGAAAAAAAAAAAAAACCCACCCGAACUAGUUAAUCCAGAAGUAGUAUAUGAUACUUGUUCGUUUGAAUAGAUAAUUUAGUCUUUGACUCUGUGCCGCAAACCAUGCUUGUAGACUGAUGCUGAUAGGAGGCUGUUAGCUGCAAAAGGCAGUGUUCCCAUGGGCAUCGGAAGAAAUUCUCACGUCAAAAGAGCCAUCAUCGACAAGAAUGCUCGCAUUGGAGAGAAUGUCAAGGUAAUAGUAACCCAGAUUAUGCAAUGAAACUGAGAUCUUUCCUGUUGCUACAUUAAUGUUUCUUAAUUAUCAAUUUUCUAGGUGUCAGAAAAAUAGACAAAUCAUAAAAUAGCAAAUAUGUCCAGAAAGUACUCUAACCCAAGUGGGUAGCAAUUUUUUUUUUUUUCUUUGGCCUCUAAAUAAUGGUUCACUGGUUUCCCAGAUCAUCAACUGUGAUAACGUGCAAGAGGCGGCAAGAGAGACGGACGGAUACUUCAUCAAGAGUGGCAUCGUCACCGUCAUCAAAGAUGCACUGAUCCCUAGUGGAACUGUCAUCUAGUUCUCAACGUAAAACUGCUACGCCUGUGGUCUGCUGUCUCGGGCUUUGUUCAUGUUCCGUUGCUACGUAUAUUUCUCGUUCACGGAAAACCUUUUCUGUGGCAUUUGUCGGACAAGACGUUUCUUUUCGAUAUAUUACUUUGAUGAUGUUUGUGGGAGCACAUUAAUAGCAAAUCGUACGAGUUUGAGUUCAGAUUUAGCUCGAAUUGAAUCGAACGUUUUAAGAUGAAUACUGUAAGCGGUGGAUUGGGAUACAGGUGGAAGGACAGUAGUGACGCGAAGCCAUGUAAGAGUGGCGCGCGCUAAUGGCCGACGCCAGGCGACGGGUUUUUGGCAGGAGAGGGAGGCCCGGGAUAUCCACCGUGCCGGAGCAAUCUGGCUCCACCACGUCCUCGGAGUAGCGUCAUCUCAUGCCCUUCGAGCGAUUGCGCAUGAGCAUCAUCACCUGCACGCAAGAAUAUGAACGAUAAUCUUUGAAAGAGGUUGUCGCCAGCCAAGGAAAGCAGUACAGAUGCAGCUCCUUUGCCGAUCUAAAUAGAUCCUAAUGAUCGAUCGUUAUUUGUUUACAACGAUAGAAACAGUUACGAUGGUAAAAGAUCAACAACAAUCUUACGGGAAUAGGAAGAGAGUUCGUAUAUACCAUGGGCUGCACCAGUGAGGAGGUGGGCGACUCUUGAAUCAGCUCCAGGGGAAAAGGAGACGAGUAGUACAAGCAACACAGCCAUGCAAAGGCGUCUCUUCUGAUCCAUUAUCUACUACACUUGAUGCACUCUGUUUCUUUCUCGUUGCGGGUUCAAUGUUGAGUCCGGAGGACUCUCUCUCUCUCUCUCUCUCUCUCUAUGCGGAACAGGUGAAAGAGAAUUACAUCUUUGUGCUGGAAGAUUUGUUUUGGUCAAGUACGUUGUUGAGGUCAAUUGAUUUGAACAUAGACUGGCGACUCUGUCUCCCUUGGAUGAGAGACACAAUAAUAGGUUGUGUAUUUUCAGGCCUUUGCAAUAGCUUGUUUAUCAAGUCUAGUAGAAAACGAAGCUUGACAGCUUCGUUGAGAGACCGGCGUUGGCUCUACGAGCUGGGAGAGCAGACCGACAGAGGUGAGUUGGGACGACCUUGUUGGGCUGGCAGUCCACAAAUUCAGUCCAUAGUGGGCUUGGGCAGUCCACAGCCCACACCCCCUCUUAACAUAACCCUAAUUAACAUUAGGGGGUGUGAUGACAAUUCCUAAUGCACCUCAACAUAAAGCUAUUGUAAAUAGGAUGAACUGCACCAUCGUUAAAAAAAUCAGAUGUAUGCUUUCAUAGGCUAAGUUACCAAAAAAGUUUUAGGAUAAGACUUUGAGGAUUACAAUUGAUGUGAUCAACUUGUCACCAUAUAGAGCCCUAGAUAAUGAUGUUGCAAAGCAUAUAUAUGGUCAGGGAAAAAUAUUUCCUACAGAUAUUUGAGAGUGUUUGGUUAUCAUGCAUUUGCACAUAUUCUAGACAAUGAGAGGUCCAAGCUGGAUGGUAAGACAAAAGAAUGUAUUUUUAUUAGCUACUUACAUAAUCAGUUUGGUUACAGGCUUUGGAAUCCAAAGAAGCAAAAGGUAUUUAGAAGCAGAGAUAUGAUUUUUUUUUAGGAUUAAACAUUUAAAGAUUUGAAUAAGAAAGUAUCAGCCAAGACUUCUAUAGAAGGAUUAGCAGAUUGUGACCUAGUUACUUCUCCAGUAUAUCAGGGUGAUUGGGAGAUGUGUAGGAAGAUUGUGUAGAGCCCGAUGUUAAUCUACUUGUAGGAUAUGUUGAGCAAAAAGAAGUUGGAGAGCAACUUCCUAUAAAAUCUCAAUUGAGAAGAUCUUCUAUACAACAUCAACAUUCUAAAAGAUACUCUACAAAUGAGUAUGUGAUGUUUAUUGAUGCAGGUGAAAUAGAGAGUUACUAGGAAGUAAUUGAAAGUGAGUAAAAAAAAAAUUAUUAAUUGCUAUACAGAAAGAGAUGGAUGCUCUACAGAAGAACCAUACAUAUGAUUUAGUGCAACUACUAAAGAGAAUUAAGACCUUAAAGAAUAAGUGAGUUUUUAGGUUGAAAACUCAAGAAUAUUGUUCUCAACCAAAGUACAAAACUAUAUUGAUUAUGAAAGACUUUGGUCAAAAGAAAGGUAUUAACUUUGAAGAGAUUUUUUCUCCUUUUGUUAAAAUGUCUUCUAUUCGUGUUGCUCUCGGUACUACUGCUAGCUAGGACUUAGAGGUUAAGCAGUUAGAUGUGAAUACAGCUUUUCUUCAUGGUGAUUUCGUGGAGGAAAUUUUUAUAAAGCAACCAGAAGACUUCAAAGUCAAAGGUAAAGAGAACUUUGUUUGUAAGUUGAAGAAGAGCUGGCCUAAAGUAAACUCCAAGUCAAUGGUACUAAAAGUUUGAUUCAUUUAUGACAGAAAAUGAAUACAAAAGAAUGACUUUAGAUCAUUAUGUGUACAUCAAAUGGUUUGGUGAGAAUUUUAUUGUUCUCUUACUUUAUGUUGAUGACAUGCUCAUCGUUGGAAAAGAUAUGUCUAUAAUUGCUAGAUUGAAGAAAUAACUGAGUGAGUCUUUUGCAAUGAAGGACAUGAAGCCAACAAAGCAAAUACUAGACAUGCAGAUUUCCCAUGACAGAAAAACCAAGUAGAUUUGGUUGUCACAGGAUAAAUACAUCGAGAAGAUAUUGGAAAGGUUUAGUAUGAGCAAUGCAAAGCCAAUUAGUUCUCAUCUAGUAUGUCUCUUCAAGUUGUGCUCAGAACAGAGUCCGUCGAUUGAUGGAGAGAAUGAGAAAAUGCAAAAGGUUCCUUAUACUUUAGUAUUUAAAAGUUUAAUGUAUUUAAUAGUAUGUACGAGACCAAACAUCGCGCAGUGGGUGUUACUAGUAGAUUUCUUACAAAUCUAAGUAAAGAGUACUAGACAACAGUGAAGUGGAUCUUUAGAUACCUCAGAGGGAGCUCUAAGGUUUGUUUAAACUUUGGAGUUAUACUACCUUUAUUAACAGGUUACACAGAUACAAAUAUGACAUGAGAUAUAGAUAUAAGAAAAUCUAAAUCAAGUUUUACACUUAUUUUUGCAUGGGGAGCUAUAUUAUAUGGUGAAUUAUGACAGCUAGAGUGCCAUACAUUUGUAUAAGAACCCAACUUUUCAUUUAAAGUCAAAGCAUAUAGAUGUCAGAUACCACUGGAUUCGAAAUGUCCUUGAAGAAAAGCAGUUGCAGCUUCAGAAAAUUCAAAUAGAUGACGAUGGAGCAGACAUGUUGACAAAGACCUUACCAAAUGAAGGGUGGGAGAUAUGUCGACAACUGGUCGACAUGGCUUCACAUUGAGGUGUCAUCGGACAGCCUCCUUUAUGGGCUAAAGGGGGAGGUUGUUGGGUUGACAGCCCACAAGUUCAGCCCAUAGCCCACCUCUCAUUUAAUCUAAUCUUAGAUCUAAUAAGGGGGGUGAGGUGACUACGAAAAAAGGGAGAAAAGCUAUAGUAACGAGACAGAAAACUAUAACAGCAACUUGAUUUAAAAAAAAGAAAAAAAAGAAAGAAAAAUAAGAGAAGGUAAGAGAAGAAGAGAAGGAUAAUGUAGAGAGAUUGUUCUCAAUUAUCCAAGCAGUGUUCUCAUCUCAGAUUAGAUCAGAUUUAUAGUAGAUUCUAGUUGUGAUUAUUUGUGAAGAAUUUGGAUAUUGUGUAUAGUGACGUAAUCCAUGUAUUCCGGUUAUUCUUUUGAAAUUGUUGUUUGGGUUUUGGGUAAAAGAUUAUGAGAUUUGUAUAUUUAUUAUUUUUAUAGUGGAUUAUCUCUAGUUUGUUCCAUCGUUUUUCUCCUCACUUUAGAGGGAUUUUUCACGUAAACCUUUAUAUUAUAUUUGAUUAUAAUUUUUAUUUAAUUUCGUUGUGUGUUAUGAUAUGUUUAUAUUUAUUCUUAUAUAAAUUUUCUUCUACUUUUUAUUAAUUACAUGAACGAGUACCCAAAAACUUCAAAGUCCACGAAAAGUACCAUUUUUAUACCGAAUCAAUGUGACUUUCGAGGGUUGGACGAGUCUCUACCACACACACGGACACCUAAUGGGUGCCCACUCCGAGGAGUUCAGCGACAGACAAUGACAAGUUCGCAUCAUGUGAUGCAGAAGACGCACAGCUCGUUUUCCAUUUCAAACUCCUUCUCAUCGAUCAACAACGCUACACAAGUUGACUCCACCAAAUACCUUUGUCGCCAUUACGGACAGUACAUCUAGAAGUGUUUUAGUGAAAAGUUAUGGAAUGAAACUUUUCUGUAUAGAGCAACCUCUGAAAUCAUUUCGAAACUCUUGGAUUACUCGACUUGUAAGUUUCUGUAUGGUUCAUCAAAGUAUUAAACUGUUUGUGUUCAUUCAAACACACGACAUAUCCAAGUCUUCAAUUUUAUUCGUGAAUGCUCACAACCGAAAGUGAAUUAUUCUUGUUCAGCAUAAACUACGUUUGCAGUGCAUGGUACAGGUUAUAGAUUCCAGAGCAAAAGCCAACGGGAUGUAUCAGCUGUGGAUAAGGUCGUCUCUAUCAGAUCGAGAGUCAAACUCAUGUAAUCAAAUGAAUCUUUGGGGGAGGGGGGAUUUACUUGAGAAGAAAAAACUGGCAUAUGCUUCCUCAGAAAAGGGACGGAAACUAAAUUCUUUUGCUCAGCGCAACCACAAAGCAGCAAGCAAACAUAUCAACGAAUUCACAAUGGAUAGGGAUACAGCAGCAAUACAACCUCACCUGAAACCAGCCAUGCAUGCUGUGUCUGCAUGGCUCCCCAGAUGCCAACUAGGAAGUAUGCCAACUGCAUCGACAAAGCUUCUUAGAUGGCAUUCAGGGAGCCAGGCAGAACAUGCAUCAGAGCGAGCAGGAGACGAUGGUCGUGACCUACAAGAACCCCAAGACCACAUGCAUCAGUAAUCAGCUUUCGUAUCAACCAAAAGCCUUAAAAGCUGCAAUAGAAAGGAACUCACGCGUACGCUUUCUUCUCUCGUCAGCUGCGGAAGCCAUAAAUGUCUCCUUUCUCUCUCUCUCAACUCAUCUCCCAUGUCACAUGCAUUGCAUGUCUAGUGCACUUGGUAAAUGACUCAACUCCACAGCUAGCAGAGACGGGGAGGCAGCAUAUACACGAAGCAGAGCAUGAAGGACAAAGGAAAGGCCAAAAGAACCAUGUGGAGGUUGGGGGAGGGCCAUUCCUUCCUUCUCUUAAAAUGGGCGCCGGUCGUGACUUCUUCUGCAGUAUGAGUCCACAGGAAGAGCCAAGGGCAGCCUGGGUCUUGCACCACGGCACCUUUGGCUUCGUCUUCUUCAUCUCUCCUCGUAAAUGGUGAACGAUGUCAUGAUACAUACCACAUACAAUAUGUUAUGCGAUACUGCAAGCUCGAUCAAGCCCCAGUCGGCACUAAAAGCAAGUAACCAGGUGAUCAGUCUUCUUUUUCUCCUUUGGUCCUACCUAAACAUCCCAACUUCUUACGGUGUAUCAAUGUGCGUGCAUCAUCCAUCGUUUCUGCAUCUGUCGAUGAGCAUGACUUUGUUUAGAACAAUAUAGUCGUCGAACUUAGCUAAUCUAUGAUAUCCAAUGUCUGUUGCACCUUCAUUCCGUCUGCUUGGGUCACAUGAACAACUCUGCACAAGGUCGGAGAAGAGCCCGCACCGUUCACACCGCAAGUCAAACCUUUGACCGCAAGUCAAACUGGCCGACGUUUCCCUUGACCGGUAGCUAGCGGCAAGAUAAUGGGAUUUGACCGUGAACAGGCCACGGUGGCCACACCAUCCGCGGGGCCCGCCUCCUGAUCGUUUAAUUUAUAUACGACGAUGCGAUGAUGUGUCGAAGUGUCGAGCAACAAUUCCCGCGGCAAAAAAUAAUAUAUCUUGUUUCGAUAAAUAAAAAUAUUAUUUAAAAAAGGUGUUCAUAAACCUUUUAUUAUCUUUGAUUAAUAUCACCGAGGCCUUCUAACCCGAUAAGCAUACUUCCUUCGUGUCGCCUUGUUUACGAGGCUUGAUGAUUGGAUAACUGACAUGGGGCCCAUCAAAAUCGAACCAGUUCGAGCGGCGAUGCCACAGAACACCCUAACCCCCUGAAUUCUUACCCAAAACCCUAAUCGCGUCGCCGUCCAUCCGAAGCGCCCUACCAUCUCCCAUCGGAUCAGCUCCCGCUGAGGAUGAGGAAUGCGUGGAGGAAUCUCUCGCUGCGAAGCCUCCCUUGGAUCGCUUCCCGCGGCCCCAGCGUUAGCCCUCCCAACCUCCUGGUGAAGGUUCCGGAACCCAAAAACCCUUCCUUUCUCCUCCCGUUUGUCGGCAGGAUUCGCUCUCCGUCGUACCUUGGAAUCCGCUGGUUCUCGCCGGAUCCGGCCGGUUCGGAUGAGAUCAAAGCAGAGUUGGAGUCCCUCGACCUCUCGUUCGACCGGGAGACCAUGGAUUUGGUGCUUCGGGAUCUCAAGUGCGUGCAUUCCGCUUCGGAGGAUGGACGCGUCAAGCUGAAUUCAGAAUCCUACAAUCGAAUGCUUCAAACCCUUGGAAACAAUGGGCGGUCAGAGGAAUUCUGGCGUGUUGUUGGGACCAUGAGAAAGAAAGGCUUUGGGAUCUCUAAAGCCACCUACUUGUCCGUCUCAAAGAGUUUUCGCGAGGAGAAAAUGGAGAAAGAUGUCAAUUUGUUGAAUGAAGCCUACUCUCUGAGCACUGGUAGAAACGAGGCUGAAACGGCGUGUCAGGAAAUUUGCAAGAUCUUGAGGGAAGAGGAACCAGGUGAAAUCCUUCAAAAGAAGCUGGAUGAUAUCGAUGACAGCUUGUUAUCCGAGUUGGUCGGUGUGGUCUUGGAGUUGACUACCGAGCACCCUGAGAAAGCUUUGCUGUUGAUGGAGCAGGUAGAAAAGAGGUCGUCCUUGAAGAUUGAUGGCGGUGUUUAUAAUGCUAUGGCCAGGAUUUUGGGUCGAAAAGAUUGCAUCAAUGAGUUUCAGGAUCUCCUUCGGAAGAUGAGAGAUCAGGGUCAUGAAUUGGAGUUGAAAACAUAUAUCAAAGUGUCACACUGGUUUCACCAGCGAAAGAUGAUUGCAGAAGUGGCAGAUUUGUAUGAGUUUGCGAUGAGUGGUACAGUGAAGCCUCCACCUCAGGAUUUCUUGUUCCUCUUGAAGAAGAUAGUUUUGAGUAAAGAUCUAGAUUUGGAUUUGAUUACCCGGGUUGUCCGCAUUUUUGUGGAAGAUGGAAAUUCCAUCAAGAGAUCAGUUUUUGGUGGAGUUCUUAAAUCCUUGAGGAGCGUUGGUAGAUUGGGGGAGUGUGAUAAGGUCUUAGCGGCCAUGGAACAGGGAGGAUUUGCGGCUGAUAGUUCUGUACAUGAUCGGGUAGUCAUCGGACUUUGUGAUGCUGGGAGGUCGGAUGGAGCCUUCAAAUACUUGGACAAUAUUGAAAAUGAAGGCUAUAGUUUGGAUGUGAAGACAUGGACAUAUUUGGUCAAAAAACAUUCGGUGGCUGGCGAACUAGAACAAGCAUUGUCUUGCUUCAAGGUGAUGACAGAAAGAAGGGGUGGUGAAAAUGUUGGUUGUGCCUUUGAGGAGCUGAUGAAAGGAUAUUGCCAGAAGGACAAAAUAAAAGAUGCACACAAGGUUCUAAAUGAGAUGGUAACUAAAAGAAAUGUACAGCCUUGGCACAGCACCUACAAGUUUCUAAUUGAAAUGUUCAUAAAUCAAGGGUACCUUAAGGAAUCUUUUAGUCUUCUGGAACCGAUGAAAAGUCAUGGUUUUCCUCCGUAUAUUGACCCGUAUAUAAGUUAUCUGUCAAAGUUAGGGACCGUGGAUGAUGCAAUGGGUUUUCUGAAGGCUAUGACGGUGAAGGAGUUUCCUUCUAGAACGGUGUUCAUGCGCGUUUUUGAAACACUACUCAAAGCAGGCAGGCAUGACGUGGCGCAUGGUAUACUUUCUAAAUCUCCAGGAUCCGUCCGUAAUCAUGCUGAUGUCUUGGAUCUGUUCUACUCAAUGAAACCAGACGAUGCUUCUGCAGUCAUUGCUUAGACCAUCCAUGGAAUUCAAAAAUUGUUGUGCUUCCUACAACAGCUAUCCAUCUUUUGAUUUAUGCAGUAAAACUUACUUGAGGAUGAUAAAUUGGCCACGAAUAAUGCCAAUAUUUAUAACCAGUUCCUCUGAAGACUUCAAUUUCAUAGACUCGGUAUCAAUUUGAGAAUUAUUGGCUAACCGAAGAAUCACCUUCCUGAACUGACACUCAACCUAUUAUUUUGCAGAAGGGAUGAUUGCCGACGCUGAUAUUCAGGCUGCUAUCCUCCCAAGUUAUGAACUGUUUGUUUUAAUUAGCUGAUUUUUGAAGUUUGAGCACCCUCUUCUUUCACAUAUUGGUUAGGUUAUAAUGGUAAAUUGACAUCUUAUCAUAUUUAAACUGCAUUUGAUGGGCCUAUGUGCCAUGCGUAUUUAGUCGAUUUUUUAUUUUUAUUUUUGUAUAUGCAUGUGCACUUGUAGGUAGGAUCCAAUAUUCACACUCAAACUGCAUUUUUAUUACAAUGACCGAAAAAUGGCGUAAACACCAGAGCAUCGCCUCGGUCCAUAAACUAGGUAGGAUCCAAUAUUCAAUCCUGUUCUUAGUUCUGAUUUUAUGUCUGGGUUCAUUGAUCUCUGGUGAUGCCCGAAGCCUCACAUAAUGGCAUCUUAGUUGAAUUUGCCCGGUGUCUCCUGCAAUGAACUGACCAUUUGGUGUCUCCCUUACCUUCCUUUUCUGCAGGGUCUUCUCUGUGUCAUCUACGCAUGCAGCUUCAUCACCUUUUCAUUAGUUCCUCCGUAGCACAACUAUGAGGGGGCAUGCUCGAUUUUGUCGAUCUAGAAUUUUAUGAAUUUGUUGAGGUUUACUACAUAUUAGGUCUGAAUUCAUUUGAAGCUUGCAAAAUCUCGACAGCUUGUCUUGUAGGUGCUUCGCAUGGAUUGUGACUAAGAAAUUGAUGGUGCCUCAAUCCUCAUAAGGAAUGCAGCCGCAGUCACUGUUGAAGGUAAAUGCUUAUAGAAUUCUUUGUCUCGAGACAUUAGAAUGCUAGCUUGGAUUCAUUGAAUGGUGAACCCCCGCCCCCGCGCCCCCUCUCUCUCUUCUGCAAUGGAAAUGAAGAAAUGGAUUUCGAAUGGCUACCUCAUAGUUGAAACCUUGUUCAUGUAAUCAUCAUGUAACUCCUUGGUUCAAAUAAGCUCGUGGAGAAACUCCAUGAGGUGAGCUGAGUGGUAAAACAUCUUUUCGAUGCUUUUAAGUAAUUAUGAAAGUGGCUAUGCAACACAAAAGAUCAAGAUUCGUCCUUUGUUUCGUUAAGGUUUUCAAGUUUCCGUAAGUUGCCCUAAAUCGAGUAUUAGUUUUAACCAGUCCAGAGACUUGAAACAAUGUAGAAUAUUAGUGAUAUAUAGAUUAGCCCAAGGUAGUCUAGGCUCGAGUGUGACUUGUAUGAAGAUCGAGGUUGAUUGAGAUUCUAGAUGUGAUUCCUCCAUGAAGUAAUUUUGGUAUGGUUGGCUUUGUAUAGUUGGCUUAACUAGAGAGGAUAUUAUGAGAUAUGACUAAAAUGUGCUCUUGGCAUUCGUCCGAUUGGGUUGUUGUCACAUGUCGAGCACUAAAUAAAGGGAUUUGAAAGUGCAAUCAUGUGCUAGUUUGAUAUAUUGGUGGUCAUCAAUCUUUGACGAUUAGCUUGGGAUGGGUGUGUCAAGUAUCUUUUGAUGCUUAGCCUGAGAACGAAGGAAAUAACAUUGCUUGAAUAGCCUCAAUGCUAGAUGGUGUGGGAGUCUCGCGAUCAGUUGGUCGAUCAAUGGCUCAACCAUCGAGCAAUGGAGUAACUUAGCUGAUUUGUCUGCUUUGGAUGGUGGAGAUUGGAUCGAAGUUGAUGUAGCAAAGUACAAUUGAAGUGCCCACUCCAUCGCAACGGGGGAAGUUUUGGUCUAUUUGCUACUACUAGUUGGUAGAAUGCCUAUGCCGGGCGGUGGAAGAAACUGAGAUGAUAAGAUGUUGUGGAGGUCCAUGGGCAUCCGCAUCCAGAUCGUAUUUGAUGGGCCGACGACAAGUUGGAGGUCGGAUGCCGAUCCCUACGCCGCCCAAGAGCCCGAUUGUUGCAGCCCCACCACCUUCGAGCACACUUUGCAUUCGAAGCGGUGGAGGAGCUUCCGCGGCUGGCGCACACCAAACUCUUGUCACCCAAACUUUAUUGUAGGGGAUGUCCAGGGACCCACACCGGGCGGUGGGCUCUUGCUCUUGUUGCACUGGAUUUAGAGGGCCCACGUCGUGCGUCCGCCUGGCCGACUGGCAGUGGGGCCGAUGGACCCACACCGGGCGGUGGGCUCUUGUUGCUUUGUUGGGCCAAUCAAUCAGCUAUAAAAGCUCCUGAUCUGCUGCCCGCAUAAGGAAUGCAGGAGGACACUUGGCUUGGUUGAUUUGUCCACCUAUUCAAAUCUAGUGAAUUAGCUCCGAGUUCGGCUGAUCUGCUCGCCUUACGUCGAAUUCGAUCCACCCACAUCCGGUAGAUUGUGUUAAAAAGACAGACAGACACUUUUGGUCUACGGAGGAUGCAUUCAACAGAAUUUGAUCCGAGUGCCGACCAACCCACAUCAGGCAAGUUGGGUCCACGUUAAAGAUAAGAUACUCGAAGGAUCCAUCAAUCGAUGAGAUGCUUUCGUUUACAAAGGAUGCAUUAUCAUGCAUUAAAGAUGCUUGUGUCCGUGAAUGAUGCUUCGACCAUUGGGAUGCUUUUGUCCGCAAAGGAUGUACUAGAUGCUUCGAAUGCUUUUGUCUGUUAAGGAUACAACGAUCACUUCAAAUGCUUUUCCCCGUAAAAGACGUGACACUUAUGGAUGUUUCAAAUGUUUUCGUCCAUGAAAGACACUUCAGAUGCUUUGUUUGCGAGGAAGGUAUCAUACGCUUCGGAUGCUUUCAUCUAUGAAAGAUGCAUCGGAUGCGUUUGUCUACGAAAGACGCAUCAGACGCUUCAGAUGUUUUCGCGCGCGAAGAAUAUGUUGAAUGUUGGGAUGCUUUGGCCGUUGCAAUCACGCUAUCAUCGAAAAAAAAUACUUCGAGUCAUUUCGACCACAUUGUUGUCGAUGGGAAUGCUUCGAAACCAUUUUAAUUGUGCUCUCAUCGAACAACGUGCUUCAAUAUGGUUCGAGGCAAAAUGUCCUUACUAGAGCACUCAUUGAGCAAGUUGACAAGAUGACAUUCUUGUGAUAUGAGCCUUCUUCGCAAAAAAAUGAUAAGAAAAAUAUCGAUAACUCUAUUUAAGUCUAUGUGCACAAGAAAUCCGAUAUGACCAAGGGGAGGGCUUGAACGUUCGCUCGGAGAUUGACGUGGACUUAAACGCUCAUCUCAAAAUCAUCUUUCACGAAGAAGAAAAUUUUAAUUUGAAUAAAAUUAAAUAAGAUUCUCGAUGUGGGCCCUUCAAUGCUUUAUCAAUAACCGAUGAAAACAAAAUAACUUUAAUAAAUAAUAAUUUUUAUAACAUAAUUAAUUUUUUAAAUCGAUUUACCUAGAAAAAAUAUAUUCUGAGAAAGAAUAUUCCUUUUGACAAUCAUCUCCUAUCCUCAUAUUAACUGAGGUGCCACAUGCCGAGCCUUAAUUGGGACGAAUAUUUCCCCAUCAGCGAACAAAGUCCCCAUAUGCAAUCACCAAUAAUUUUAUCAACCGCAUGAGUGAAAUGAUAAUGAACUGUUAUUUCCAUCAUACCAAAGUACAACAGUGGGUAUACAUUCUCUUGCCAUCAAAAUUUACUUUACAGGUACGACGCUAGAAAGAAUUAUAACUCACCAACUUAAUGUGUUACCCCUCCCAAGUUUUUGUCAUCUGAUGCACAUCAGAAGAGGAAGAUCCAAAAGACAAAAAUUUAAGCUUUUCACCAAUAAGGACAACUCCGGCAACUGAGAGAGCAAACAAGCAGGAUGUCUCUGAAGUAUAACCUCUACUAUCGGCAACAUCUGAUAACGAAAUCUAUCCACACCCUUUUGGAUCAGGCUUCCCAAGUAGCUUUCCAGAUGCAAUCAAAACUAGCCUCCAAACCUUUUGAUUCAUUGCUUACUGUUGCAAAGCCUCAGCUUUCCGCUCAAUAAUUACCAGUCCAAUUUAUCUGUGCAUGUUGUGGCUGUUGAUAAACACCCGCAGCAGGGCCCACCAUUUCUACUGCUCCAGCUGCAGCCUGAGACUGCUGGACAAGAGGAUGAACAGCAGCGGAUGCAGGGUGGUAGAUCCCACCCA
rnacentral:lncRNA from 1 species